rnacentral:lncRNA from 1 species
UUAUUGGUUAAUUAGCACUGAUCUGCAUGGACCCUCAUGGAUAAGUCUCUCGUUAAUGUGCUCUGUAGUUGCACGAAAAAUCCAUGUCAGAGUUUACAAAAACAAUAGUCAUCAAUUUCAAACGUCAAAAUCAUCACCAAAGGAACGUAAAAAGUCAACGCAAGAUAAGACCAUCUUGGGAAGUAUAUUAAUUUUAUUAUACGUAAGAGGUCUCGCAUUUGCAUGCAUAAAGGUUGAAAAUUACAAAUGACACACCGGAGAUUUGAUUGACACACACAUCAACAAUCCAUAUGCAUGAAAAUGACAAGAACUUAAUUUUCUGUUUCUACGCGUGGCAGUUUAUUUUUCUUAAAAAACAAAGAUAAAAGAGAAUAAAACGCAGCAACUCGAUUGAUCGCUAUCUUGCUCCAAGUAAGCCUUCCAUCAAACCCUUGCUUUCUUUAUUCGGAUACCAUUCGCCUCUCCUACAAGAACAAAUUAAUCAAUCUCUUUUAUUUGUCACUUAAUCAAUAGGAACGCAAUUAAACAGAACACGGUGCUUAAAAUUGAAAUGCUUAAUGUAAUUCUGAACUACUAGUCUUUACAUGUACAGUUUUAAAAAUAAAUGAGAUUACCAUAAAAGCAUGAGCUAUUCAUGGCCGCUUUCUAGUAGUAGUAAGGAGGAGGGGGAGAUGCAUAGACGUAAGGGUGAGGUGGUGGUGGGGACUUGGGGACAGGAGGUGGCGGGGAAUAGGAAAUUGGAGUUGGUGCCGGAGCAGGCACGUAGACUGGUGGAGGAGGUGGCGGGGGCAGGUAAACAGGGGGUGGUGGUGGAGAAUUGUGAACCGGUGGCGGGGGUGGUGGAGACUUGUACUUGGGAGGGGGAGGAGAUGUGUAGUAGUAUUUGUUUGCGGAGGCUUCUAACGGCAAGUAGCUAAGAGAGACUGAUACUACCAAAAGAGUGGCAAAGAGGCAGCCCAUUUGAGACCCCAUCGUUCAAUAAAGUGGAGUUUCACUUGUGCUAUAAACAAAGCUCGUUCCCCUCCUUAUAUAGACUUCCUUUUUACCUUCUCUACCAAACUUCUCAUAUUUAACCUUGACGUUAAACAAUUUUAUGUAUGAAAAGGAUGUCAUCAAGUGGGACCAAUUUGACUAAAUUUAAAAUUUAUAUGAUUUUGUUUAGUGGCCAGCUGUUGGCCAAGCAGGGAAUAAAGUAAUUAACAGUCCGAGAGUCACGAUCCUGUUAAAGAUAUGGCUUUUUGUUUUUUAAUCAAUGUAAUAAUUUGCGCAGGGGUCUUUGUGAUUUAUUUCAAUAACGUUAUUCUUCAUGAAGAGCUUGAAAACAUGUACUUAAUUACCUAACUUAUCAUGAAUGUUUUGGCCUUGGAUCCAGGCGGCGAGACUUAUUUUCAACGUCAUUUCAUUUAUUUAUUCAUUUUCACUUCGCAGCUUAUUAAUUGUUUUAAUUCCUCCAAAAACAAGUAGCUAGAGAUAUAUUUAACAUAGCUUUAAUUUAAAUUUCUUAUGAAUUCCUUUUAAUGCUCUUAUCUCACGGUGAAAUUAAUUUUCUCCUUGGGCAUAGCAGAAGCAAAAUAGUAGAUAUCGUUCAAGUACUCGAUCAAGUCAAUGCGAUAAAGUUACGCUCUAAUCGAAGUGUGAUUAAACUCAAAGGGAUUUUCAAUACUGCGUUAAGCAAAGCUAGAUGAUGCUCUAAUCAAACAACUUUAAAAGAGGGGUUUUUAAUAGAUAAUACAAAAGGAAAUUAUAAAAGAGGGGUUUUUAAUUGAAUAACUGAAAUUGAAGUUAUAAAGUAAUAACAAGAUCUCUUUAUUUAUAAUACAGUAAAUAUAUUUUCCGAAGUUAGCUUAAAAAGAGAAAGUAAAUUAUAAUUAUAACAUAAAUAAAAGAAAACUAAGACACUUACUUUAAUUAAAAAAAAAUAUCAGAAGACCUAAAAAUUAAAAUUCUAAAAUUCUAAAAUAACGUCCUACAUCAUUAACAAGCAUAGGAAACAACCUAGUCAUUAUGUAUUAACAAAUUAGUUUAAUUUGAUUCGUUGUCGUUGAUAGCUUGUGGAUCUUUGAAUAUUCAACAUCAACCAACACGUUAAGGACUUGUACAUAUAAUUGAACAAAGUAUGAAAUUGUAAAAUUAACCCUAAAUACAAAAAAAAAAUCAUAUUUUAAAACAUAAAAUUUGUAUGUAAAAAAAUUAUGACGCAACAAUUAAUUUACAAAAUAAAAAGCAAUAUUAGUAUUUAUGCUACACUAGUCCCAUAAUUAGUGCCACAAGGACCGUUUUGCAAUAUAUGCAAAAUUUCUGUGAAAUUGUAUAAUUUAUAUAAUUCAAGGAUUUUACCUUCUAUUUUUGUUUAAUUGAUUUUGAAUAACUGGAUGAUUUCUUCUUCCAUCUCUUCUACAUAUAUAUUUAAAGUUUUAUUAUAAUAUUAUGAAGAUCUAAAUGAUUAUUAAAUUUAUAAAGAUUUAUAAAACCUGAAUAUACUAUAGCACCGGCAUUUAUAAUUUAUUGUCUCUCUUGAGAUAUAAACUAGAUUUGUUCUUCCAACAUAUAUAUCCAUGUGUCCAAUCUAUUUUCCCAACCAAGGUACAUGCCAUCAAUGCUUUCACAUAGAUAUUAUAAUCUAAAUUGAGCAUUCAGAAUAAAAAAUUUCACAUCACUAUUAUUGUUAUUAUUAAUCAAUAGACUUAUUAUGGACGGUUUAGAGUCCUGUUAUUUAUUUUGCAUCAAUCUUGAAUUAUCUUAAGACCGGUUAAAAUAGAUUCUAUUAAUACUAUUAUAUUUUCUUCCUUAAAUGUGUCAUGUAUUUCAUUGUUAUCUUCAAAGUUUAUUCUCUCCAUAUCUCUCUAAAAGAUUGGGGAUACACUUGGGUUAAGAGAUUGGAGAUAAUCUCUAGAUGUAAAGGUUGAUUGACGCCUAAGAAGUCAAUUGUAAGUGUUCUUGAAGCCUUGAAGGCUUGACUAGUGGAAUGCCCAAGCUCGGUGUGCUUGGAGGCGUGGAUGUAAGCAAGGUUGGCCGAACCACGUAAAACUCUCUGUGUUUUAAUCUCUCUUCCUUUAUCUUUUUAUAUUUUGGUUGAUUUAUUUAUUAUUGCUUUAGAUUCGUUUAAGAUUUGCAUUAAGUUUUGAUUAAGAAUUGCAUAAUUUUUAGAAACCUAAUUCACCCCCCUCUUGGGUUGGUUAGAUAUUAUUUCACUAACAUGCCUCUGUUUGUGCAAAAUAUAAUAAGGUAAUUUAGAGUACUAACCAGAGUACUCUUCCUCGAAAUUCUAGAAUAGGUUCGCUAGUUCCAUGAGCCCAUAGAUUGGCCCAUGCUCAGCACUGUUAUAGCUCCACACAUCAUGCAAGAUCACUCCCGCAACUAUUCCACACGACCUAAAGCAACACAUUGCCGACUAGCCCAAUAAGAUCUGCCUUAGUUCAUUAGUUGAAUAAUUUGUUUUAAUUCUAAUUUAUAAUAAGAAUGGCACUGAUAAAAUUACUGUAGCAAUUCCUAUAAUAAUAAUCCUUGUGGAGACGAUCUUGAAUUUUUAUCGUUAUAUUACUUGUUGUCUACAUUUUCACAUUGACACUAAUAGCAUUAGAAAAUCGACAGCAAGUUUUUUGCGCCGUUGCCGGGGAUUGGUGCUUAUUGUGUUUUGUGAAAUCAAUUUUAGUUGGUACAGUGGAGUUCUUUGCCACCAGACUCCAUCACCACAUGGAAUGAUUUGGCUGACAAAAUUUUGAUGAAAUAUUUCCCACCAACAAAGAAUACAAAGUUGAAGAAUGAGAUCACAUCUUUCCAUCAACUUGAAGAUGAAAGCUUGUAUGAUGCAUGAGAAAGAUUCAAGGAGUUACUCAGGAGAUGCCCUCAUCAUGGUAUUCCUUAUUGCAUACAAUUGGAAACUUUCUACAAUGGGUUGAACUCAAGCACUAGGGGCUUUAUUGUCUAACUCAUAUAAUGAGGCUUAUGAAAUUUUGGAAAGGAUAACUAUCAAUGGCCAUCAACUAGACAAGCCACAGUGAGAGGAGCGGCAGGAGAACACAAUGUGGAUGCACUGACAACAUUAACAACCCAAGUAACCUCAUUGACAAAUAUGGUAAAAGCAACGGCCACUGUUCCAGCAACAUUUAACCAAGUUGCUGAAGUCUCUUGUGUUUAUUAUGGAGAGGGACAUCUAUAUGAUAAUUGUCCUAAGAAUUCAGCUUCAGUCAAUUAUGUGGGCAAUUUUAAUAAACAAAAUCCAAGCAAUCCAUUUUCAAACACCUAUAACCUUGGAUGGAGACAUCACCUAAAUUUUUCAUGGAGCAAUCAGAAUCAGCAUGCUGCAGCAUCCAGUGGACAUAACAGACUUGCUCAGCCACCUGGUUUUCACCAGCAAUUUUAAGGGUAAAGAAACACCAGUAAUGAUCAAUUUAGUUCCCUUGAAACUCUAAUUAAGGAGUAUAUUGUGAAGAUUGAAGUAGUGGUCUAAAGCCAAGCUGUAUUUUUAAGAAACUUGGAGAAUAAGAUUGGAUAGCUUGCUACAGCAUUGAGCAACAUACCUCAGGAUAAUUUACUAAACAAUACAGAGGAUCUAAAGAGAGAAGGAAAAGAGCAUUGUAAGGGGAUUAACUUAAAGCCUGGAAAGGAUGUUCAUAUUCUUGUUAAAGUACCAAAAAGAAGAAUGGAACCUAAUUCAACCCAAGGGGAAACUCAAAUUAAAGAAGAGACACAACAACCCUUUUUCCAGCACACUGGUGAGAGUUGCUAAGCUAUAGCAACUGCAAAAAAAAUGAUUCAGUGCUUGUUGAGGAAGUAGCUGCAGCACCAACAAUAACAGACCAUAAUAGAGCAAGAGAAAAGCAAUCUGUAUAGUCUGCUGCAGUACAACAAUUUACACAUCCACCACCCUUCCCACAAAGAUUUCAAAAGCGAAAGCAAGACAAGCAGUUCAGUAAAUUCUUGGAAGUAUUGAAACAACUGCAUAUCAACAUUCCUUUUGUGGAAGCAUUAGAACAAAUGCCAAAUUAUGUAAAGUUUUGGAAAUGUAUAUUGGCAAGGAAAAUGAGGCUUGGAGAAUUUGAAAUAGUUGGUCAAACACAAGAAUGCAGCCAUAUGCUUCAGAGUAAAAUGCCUCAGAAGUUGAAGGAUCUAGAAAGUAUCACAAUUCAUUGUUCUAUAGGAACUAAAUACAGUGGCAAGACACUUUGUGAUUUGGGAGCAAGUAUCAAUCUUAUGACAUUAUCAGAAUUCAAGCAAUUGGGAGUUGGAGAAGUCAGACCAACCACAGUGACAUUGUAAUAUGCUGCCAGAUCUCAUGCUUACCCUGAAGGCAAGAUUGAAGACGUAUUGGUUAAAGUGGAUAAAUUCUUUUUCCUAGUGGAUUUCAUAGUGUUGGACUUUGAGACAAAUAAAGAAGUACCAAUUAUUCUAGGCAGACCCUUUUUAGCCACAUGAUUUUCAAACUUAUCACUAUUACAACACUAAUUUUUAAUAUUGAUAGGAUUUUCAGGUCCUAUUACAACACUUUCAUGAAAUGACUGACCACCUGACCUAGUGUGCACCUCAAACUCAAUGACAGGACAACUAUUGAUAAAAAAAAACUCCUCGAAAACCCAAUACAAUUCACUAUCGUUUGAAAUUAGUUUCCACUGCCUACUUGUACUUUGAGUGAGUAACUGAGUGUCGUCAUUACAAGUGAUAGGCAUUCACAUGAAAGCUCAAUGUUGCAUUGAAGGGUUUAACUGAAAAAAAAAAUUAUUAUUAUUGUAGCACAGUUUGAGUAUAUUUAUGAUUUCUGCUCCCCCAUAUGUGAAUAUAUUUGUGUUCUACCUCUGAAUUAUAUGCAAUGUUUGUAUAAUGUUGUAGCACCUGUGGAAUUUGAUUAAAAUGGCACACAUACACUCUGGACAAAAUGAGGCCUAAGUCUAAAACUUGAACUAUUAUGGCAAUUUUGUAUGAUUAAGAGUGAGAUCUGAGGGUUGAAGAAUCCUUGCAAAUUUGAUGACAGAGUUAAGUUAUUUGUUGCAUGAUUGUGUGAUUAAAGUGUUAUUGUUGUUGUCAUUACUUGAGGACAAGUAAUGGUUCAGGUUUGGGGGUGUGAUAACUUUAUAAAAUAAGAGUUAUCAUGGCACUUUUAGACUUAAAUCAAUAAUACUUAUAGAGUUAAUAAUGUGUUUUCAUUACAUUUUUAUUUUAUUUUACAUAAACAUUCAUCUUAGUUUAUUCGUAAUAAAUUUUGUUUGAUUUAGAAUAAUUUGUGUGCUAAAUCAUAUGCAUAAUUGUAGGUGUCCGGAAGCCCAAAUUUCAAGAAAGGAAUGCUGAUGCAAUAGACUUUCCAAAGAUAGAAAAGAACUUGGCUACAAAAGAAUUAAAACAAAUCUGGAACAGUGCAAUUGCUGUAGCUAUUACUGUAGCAACCAUUGUUGUAGCAAUCCUAGAACAAUGACGGAUAAAAUUCUGUACGAGAUAAUUGCAUAAUUGCAAUCUGAAGUUUCCUAAUCUGACUUAUGUGCGACCUAGGCUUCCGUUUACCCUAAUUUUCAACUACAAAAGAAGCACACAUCAUAAGGAAAAGAGGGAACCGUCACCCAAGGAGAAAAACAUAAAGAAACAAAAGAAAAACAAGCUUCAAGAGAGAGAUUAAGAGUUACACAAGAGGAAAAAUUACAGAGAUCAAUUGAGAGCUCAAUCCUUCUUAUCAUUCUCUUGUUUUCGUGUUUUCUAUUUAUUCAUGGGGAUGUGUUUCAUGGCCGAAACUUUGUUCUUUAUUUUUCUUUCGCAAAUCAUGAACUAAAUUUAUUUGCGGUUGAGUGAUAAACAAUUUUGAUGGUUUAUUGACUGAAAAUAUGAGUUGCUGCAUGUUUGCUAUAGCAUUUUGUUUUGAUAGAAUUUAUUUUUAUUCAUUAUUUCGGUUGAUCACCCAUUUAAUGAUACUAGCUAAGGAAGAGCCACAAAAGGAACCUAUCUUAGUGGAACAUAUCAAAGCAAUACUUGAUCUUAAAUUGAGUUUCCUGGAUUGAGUUUUACUUGAGUCUCAAAAGGGCCAUUCUUGAUUUAAGAUUAGUGUGAACUAGACAUAGGGAUUCACCUUGUAGGGUAAAUAGAAUCUAAGCGUGUAAUGCUAUAUUUUAUGUUGGCAUAACAACUGAUCACUAUUAGGUUGCAUAUAGAUAUAUGAUAUCCAACAUGCGACGGCUAAGGAUGCAUAAGAAUUUUGCUCAGUGCUGUAGCAUAUACUGCAGCAACCUAGCCAACAAUUAGAAAAUAGUCAAGACCAUUAAGAGAGUUUAUUCACUCAACUACUCUAUAUUCCCAUUGGUUUUAUCCUUGAGUUUGACGUGAUAAUUUACUUUGUUGCAUUUUAUUUAUUGCGUUUUUAUUUUAAUUAGUAUAUUUGUUUCAUUAAUUAUUUUAUUUUAAUUUAAAACAAAAUCUGCACUGUUGAAAUUGCUGUAGCAAAUCUAAUAACAUCAAUCUCUGUGAAGACGAUCUUCAAUACUCAUCAUUAUAUUACUUGUUGUGUACACUUGCACAUUGACACCAAUAGCAUUAGUAUUUAUACCCAACAUACCUACAAAAAAAAAUCAAGUUAUGCCUUUUGGAAUCCAAAUACAUUUUGCUCCAUAAUAUGCAUUUCUUUUAACUGGACAUCUAUUCUUCAUGUGACCAUCUUGAUUGCAAUGGUGGUAUACAACUUGAUUGUUAAUGGAGGUACUCUUUACAAAUUAUUCUUAUAAUACUUCUGUUUCAAAUUUGGUUUAUAGCCAAUACCUCAUUUGUCUAACACACAUUUUUGUGAAUUAAGUUAUCCAAUAUCUUUUGCCUAUUUGUAAAUUUUAAGACAACAUCACUAAGUUCAAUAUUCCUUUUCUUGAGCAUCUCAUUUUCCUUUUUCAAAUCAUUUACAUGUGAUUUUAUAUGUUCAUGUGAAGUGCUAGGUUUCUCAUUUGAUAAUGCAACUCUAUCAUGCAAUGCUUUAUUUUCUAAUUCUAUGCAACUAAUCUUUGCACUUAGAGAUUCAUUUUCAUUUGUGAGCUCUGUUGUUUUCUUUUUAAGACAUGCAUUCUUUCUACCAACUUUCAUCAAUUCAUCCUACAAUUCUAUAAAAGCAUCAUAUAACUCAUCAUAAGUAGGAAGAUCAUUUACCUCAUCAAGUUCAUCAUCUCCUAUUGCCAUAAGUGUUAGGUUUGAUACUUCUUGUGAAUCUUCUUCAUCACUCAAUUCUUCAUCGCUAUCGUCCCAAGUAGCCACCAUGGCUUUCUUCUUGAGUUUGUCGAGAAGUGGACACUCCGAUUUUAAAUGACCACGCUUUUGGCAUUCAAAAGCGUGGAUAAGACAUGAAUUAGAAUUGUAAAAAGUUUGAUUUAUCAUAAAUUCUAUAUUUAGUCUAGGACAUUUGUAUACAUUUUUUUCCCAUUUUCUAUAAUGAUAUCUAUUUAUUACACAUGUUAAUUAAGUGCAAUUAUUUAUCUUGAUGUGGAUCAAGUAAAAAAAAAAAAAAGAGAUAUCAAUAAAAUUAGAUCUAAUUUUGAAUAUUAUGUAUACUUUAUGUAGUUUCAAACUUUUUGCUUGUAUUUGGAGACCAUUUAAGGCUGUUGUUGAAGAAGUGUAGAAAGAUGUAAAAUAACCUCAUCUUACAACAACUAUGAAAGAUAUUAAAAUAAUAUUUUUUUCAAAAUCCGAUUUUGAGAAAAAAUUUCAUCCUUAAUUAAACAUCACAUGUAUUAUAGAAAUGCAAAACUACCAUUGUUAUAUUUAAAUUAAAAAAUAAUAAAUAUAUAAGGUAAUAAACAUUAUAACGAGUUUUUAUUUUAAAAUUGUAAACUUUUUUUCCGACAAUAACUCUUAUAUUAAUUUAUUUAUUUUGCCUUUUAUUCAUAAGUUUUAUGCAUAAUCUACAAAUUUUAUGUUUUAUUUUGCAUUUAAUGUUGAUUUUCUUUUUUUAUAUUAUACGUAUAAGUUUUCAUUUUAUUUACCAGUAAUACAUCUAUUUAUCAGUUUUAUAGUAAUUUACUUAUUUUACCUACCUUUUACAAUUCUUAUGUUUCAUUUCCAAAAUUUAUGUUUUAUUUUACAGUUGUUGAUGAUUUGCUAGUUUUAUGUUAUGUUUGCAAGUUUUUGUUUUGUUUACUAGUAAUAGAUUAAUGGGUAAUUUUUAAUUGAGUCCUCAUUAGUUCUAGAAAAAAAAUUCAGAGACCAGAAGUUUACUAAAUGAAUCAAUUAAAUUCUUUCAAGUACAAACUAAUGUCAUUCAAGUCCUUAACUUAAUUGCUCAGUUAAAAAUAUUAACAACGUUGAGGACAUUUUAGUAAAACAACAAUUGAGUUGUUUCUCAUUCUUUAUUUUUGACAGGUGGAAAUAGUUUAAAGUAAACUCAAUUAACCUGAUUAAGUUAAGGAUCAGUUCUUUCAAAUGAAAAAAAAAAAACCUAUAGAAAUUGCCAUAUUCUUCAUGUGAGAGGAGAGAUCGAGAGAACGUGGGAUGGUGCAAAAAAUGUUGUAUAAAUCUACUGUGAUUUUGACCAAAGCUUUGGUAGCAUUGAUUGAGUUCAAGUACUAGAGAGAACCUGAGUUUAAAGGUUAGUAACUCUAUUUUUUUAGUGAUUUCUGCAAGAAUUUUCUGAUAAAAUUUUUUCCAUAUUGAGUGAUCGUUGUGAAAAAUUAGGUUUUUCAAGUCUAUUUUUCAAAAUGACAAACUAUGUUUAAUUAUUGAUGGAUUCUUUUUUUUGUUCAAUGUUGUAUUUUGUUAAUUUGUUGUUUUUAAUUUGCUCUUUAUGUAAUUGUUAGACCAAAUACACCAUUAUUAUACCUGUAUUCAUUUCAACAAUUUGGUAUCGUUAUAUUAAUAAGAUUGAAUUCAUUGUAUUGGCUUCUUUGUUCAUGUAAAAUUGAAUUCUAUGUAUUCUUAUGAGUGAUAAUUUUUCUAUCUAUUAGACUAAAGUCACUAUAUUCACUACUUUCUUUCUUUUUGCUGGGCUAUUUUUUCUUUUUAGUUUAUAUUUUUUAUAUGUAUUAGAUUGAAUUUGCUUUUGUACAUUUUUUAGCCGAAUUACAUGUAUAUUUCAUUUAGGUUGAGUUUUUUUGUUGUUUGCUAAAUAAAAUUAUAUUGGUUUAUCCUUUUUUGAUGCAAUACUUUUUGUUUAAAAUUAAUGCAGGUAGCCAUGUUACCCUUUUUUGGGUUAAAAUUAAUGGGGUGAUGUAUGCGAUAAGAUUAUUAGGCUGUUUCUUGAAAUUCAAGAUGCCAUGAUUAAGCAUGGACACAGUGAAAUGGAUUUGAUUGAAAUUUCUGUUGUAUUGCCAUGGACUACAAGUAGGCAGAGGAAGCUAAUUUCAAACGAUAGUGAAUUGUAUUGGGUUUUCGAGGAGUUUUUUUUUAUCAAUAGUUGUCCUACAUUGAGUUUGAGGUGCACACUAGGUCAGGUGGUCAGUCAUUUCAUGAAAGUGUUGUAAUAGGACCUAAAAAUCCUGUCAAUAUUAAAAUUAGUGUUGUAAUAGUGAUAAGUUUGAAAUUCCUGUAGCUAAAAAGGGCCUGCCUAGAAUAAUUGGUACUUUUUUAUUUGCCUCAAAGUCCAACACUAUGAAAUCCACUAGGAAAAAGAAUUUAUCCACUUUAAUCGGCACGUCUUCAAUCUUGCCUUCAGGAUAAGCAUGAGAUCUGGCAGCACAUUGCAAUGUCACUGUGGUUGGUCUGACUUCUCCAACUCCCAAUUGCUUGAAUUAUGAUAAUGUCAUAAGAUUGAUGCUUGCUCCCAAAUCACAAAGUGUAUUGCCACUGUAUUUAGUUCCUAUGGAAUAAUGAAUUGUGAUACUUCUUGGAUCCUUUAACUUCUGAGGUAUUUUACUCUGAAGCAUAUGGCUGUAUUCUUAUGUUAGACCAACUAUUUCAAAUUCUCCAAGCCUCAUUUUCCUUGCCAAUAUACAUUUCCAAAACUUUACAUAAUUUGGCAUUUGUUCUAAUACUUCCACAAAAGGAAUGUUGAUAUGCAGUUGUUUCAAUACUUUCAAGAAUUUACUGAACUGCUUGUCUUGCUUUCGCUUUUGAAAUCUUUGUGGGAAGGGUGGUGGAUGUGUAAAUUGUUGUACUGUAGCAGACUAUACAGAUUGCUUUUCUCUUGCUCUAUUAUGGUAUGUUAUUGUUGGUGCUGCAGCUUCUUCCUCAACAAGCACUGAAUCAUGUUUUUUUGCAGUUGCUAUAGCUUAGCAACUCUCACUAGUGUGCUGGAAAAUGGGUUGUUGUGUCUCUUCUUUAAUUUGAGUUUCCCCUUGGGUUGAAUUAGGUUCCACUCUUUUUUUUGGUACUUUAACAAGAAUAUGGACAUCCUUUCCAGACUUUAAGUUAAUCCCCUUACAAUGCUCUUUUCCUUCUCUCUUUGGAUCCUCUAUAUUGUUUAGUAAAUUAUCCUGAGGUAUGUUGCUCAAUGCUGUAGCAAGCUGUCCAAUCUUAUUCUCCAAGUUUCUUAAAAAUACAGCUUGGCUUUAGACCACUACUUCAAUCUUCACAAUAUACUCCUUAAUCAGAGUUUCAAGGGAACUAAAUUGAUCAUUACUGGUGUUUCUUUACCCUUAAAAUUGCUGGUGAAAACCAGGUGGCUGAGCAAGUCUGUUAUGUCCACUGGAUGCUGCAGCAUGCUGAUUCUGAUUGCUCCAUGAAAAAUUUAGGUGAUGUCUCCAUCCAAUGUUAUAGGUGUUUGAAAAUGGAUUGCUUGGAUUUUGUUUAUUAAAAUUGCCCACAUAAUUGACUGAAGCUGAAUUCUUAGGACAAUUAUCAUAUAGAUGUCCCUCUCUAUAAUAAACACAAGAGACUUCAGCAACUUGGUUAAAUGUUGCUGGAACAGUGGCCGUUGCUUUUACCAUAUUUGUCAAUGAGGUUACUUGGGUUGUUAAUGUUGUCAGUGCAUCCACAUUGUGUUCUCCUGCUGCUCCUCUCACUGUGGCUUGUCUAGUUGAUGGCCAUUGAUAGUUAUCCUUUCCAAAAUUUCAUAAGCCUCAUUAUAUGAGUUAGACAAUAAAGCCCCUAGUGCUUGAGUUCAACCCAUUGUAGAAAGUUUCCAAUUGUAUGCAAUAAGGAAUACCAUGAUGAGGGCAUCUCCUGAGUAACUCCUUGAAUCUUUCUCAUGCAUCAUACAAGCUUUCAUCUUCAAGUUGAUGGAAAGAUGUGAUCUCAUUCUUCAACUUUGCAUUCUUUGUUGGUGGGAAAUAUUUCAUCAAAAUUUUGUCAGCCAAAUCAUUCCAUGUGGUGAUGGAGUCUGGUGGCAAAGAACUCCACUAUACCAACUAAAAUUGAUUUCACAAAACACAAUAAGCACCAAUCCCCGGCAACGGCGCAAAAAACUUGCUGUCGAUUUUCUAAUGUUAUUAGUGUCAAUGUGAAAAUGUAGACAACAAGUAAUAUAACGAUAAAAAUUCAAGAUCGUCUCCACAAGGAUUAUUAUUAUAGGAAUUGUUACAGUAAUUUUAUCAGUGCCAUUCUUAUUAUAAAUUAGAAUUAAAACAAAUUAUUCAACUAAUGAACUAAGGCAGAUCUUAUUGGGCUAGUCGGCAAUGUGUUGCUUUAGGUCGUGUGGAAUAGUUGCGGGAGUGAUCUUGCAUGAUGUGUGGAGCUAUAACAGUGCUGAGCAUGGGCCAAUCUAUGGGCUCAUGGAACUAGCGAACCUAUUCUAGAAUUUCGAGGAAGAGUACUCUGGUUAGUACUCUAAAUUACCUUAUUAUAUUUUGCACAAACAGAGGCAUGUUAGUGAAAUAAUAUCUAACCAACCCAAGAGGGGGGUGAAUUAGGUUUCUAAAAAUUAUGCAAUUCUUAAUCAAAACUUAAUGCAAAUCUUAAACGAAUCUAAAGCAAUAAUAAAUAAAUCAACCAAAAUAUAAAAAGAUAAAGGAAGAGAGAUUAAAACACAGAGAGUUUUACGUGGUUCGGCCAACCUUGCCUACAUCCACGCCUCUAAGCACACCGAGCUUGGGCAUUCCACUAGUCAAGCCUUCAAGACUUCAAGAACACUUACAAUUGACUUCUUAGGCGUCAAUCAACCUUUACAUCUAGAGAUUAUCUCCAAUCUCUUAACCCAAGUGUAUCCCCAAUCUUUUAGAGAGAUAUGGAGAGAAUAAACUUUGAAGAUAACAAUGAAAUACAUGACACAUUUAAGGAAGAAAAUAUAAUAGUAUUAAUAGAAUCUAUUUUAACCGGUCUUAAGAUAAUUCAAGAUUGAUGCAAAAUAAAUAACAGGACUCUAAACCGUCCAUAAUAAGUCUAUUGAUUAAUAAUAACAAUAAUAGUGAUGUGAAAUUUUUUAUUCUGAAUGCUCAAUUUAGAUUAUAAUAUCUAUGUGAAAGCAUUGAUGGCAUGUACCUUGGUUGGGAAAAUAGAUUGGACACAUGGAUAUAUAUGUUGGAAGAACAAAUCUAGUUUAUAUCUCAAGAGAGACAAUAAAUUAUGAAUGCCGGUGCUAUAGUAUAUUCAGGUUUUAUAAAUCUUUAUAAAUUUAAUAAUCAUUUAGAUCUUCAUAAUAUUAUAAUAAAACUUUAAAUAUAUAUGUAGAAGAGAUGGAAGAAGAAAUCAUCCAGUUAUUCAAAAUCAAUUAAACAAAAAUAGAAGGUAAAAUCCUUGAAUUAUAUAAAUUAUACAAUUUCACAUAAAUUUUGCAUAUAUUGCAAAACGGUCCUUGUGGCACUAAUUAUGGGACUAGUGUAGCAUAAAUACUAAUAUUGCUUUUUAUUUUGUAAAUUAAUUGUUGCGUCAUAAUUUUUUUACAUACAAAUUUUAUGUUUUAAAAUAUGAUUUUUUUUUGUAUUUAGGGUUAAUUUUACAAUUUCAUACUUUGUUCAAUUAUAUGUACAAGUCCUUAACGUGUUGGUUGAUGUUGAAUAUUCAAAGAUCCACAAGCUAUCAACGACAACGAAUCAAAUUAAACUAAUUUGUUAAUACAUAAUGACUAGGUUGUUUCCUAUGCUUGUUAAUGAUGUAGGACGUUAUUUUAGGAUUUUAGAAUUUUAAUUUUUAGGUCUUCUGAUAUUUUCUUUUUUAAUUAAAGUAAGUGUCUUAGUUUUCUUUUAUUUAUGUUAUAAUUAUAAUUUACUUUCUCUUUUUAAGCUAACUUAGGAAAAUAUAUUUACUGUAUUAUAAAUAAAGAGAUCUUGUUAUUACUUUAUAACUUCAAUUUUAGUUAUUCAAUUAAAAACCCCUCUUUUAUAAUUUCCUUUUGUAUUAUCUAUUAAAAACCCCUCUUUUAAAGUUGUUUGAUUAGAGCAUCAUCUAGCUUUGCUUAACGCAGUAUUAAAAAUCCCUUUGAGUUUAAUCACACUUCGAUUAGAGCGUAACUUUAUCGCAUUGACUUGAUCCAGUACUUGAACGAUAUCUACUGUUUUGCUUCUGCUAUGCCCAAGGAGAAAAUUAAUUUCACCGUGAGAUAAGAGCAUUAAAAGGAAUUCAUAAGAAAUUUAAAUUAAAGCUAUGUUAAAUAUAUCGCUAGCUACUUGUUUUUGGAGGAAUUAAAACAAUUAAUAAGCUGCGAAGUGAAAAUGAAUAAAUAAAUGAAAUGACGUUGAAAAUAAGUCUCGCCGCCUGGAUCCAAGGCCAAAACAUUCAUGAUAAGUUAGGUAAUUAAGUACAUGUUUUCAAGCUCUUCAUGAAGAAUAACGUUAUUGAAAUAAAUCACAAAGACCCCUGCGCAAAUUAUUACAUUGAUUAAAAAACAAAAAAGCCAUAUCUUUAACAGGAUCGUGACUCUCGGACUGUUAAUUACUUUAUUCCCUGCUUGGCCAACAGCUGGCCACUAAACAAAAUCAUAUAAAUUUUAAAUUUAGUCAAAUUGGUCCCACUUGAUGACAUCCUUUUCAUACAUAAAAUUGUUUAACGUCAAGGUUAAAUAUGAGAAGUUUGUAGAGAAGGUAAAAAGGAAGUCUAUAUAAGGAGGGGAACGAGCUUUGUUUAUAGCACAAGUGAAACUCCACUUUAUUGAACGAUGGGGUCUCAAAUGGGCUGCCUCUUUGCCACUCUUUUGGUAGUAUCAGUCUCUCUUAGCUACUUGCCGUUAGAAGCCUCCGCAAACAAAUACUACUACACAUCUCCUCCCCCUCCCAAGUACAAGUCUCCACCACCCCCGCCACCGGUUCACAAUUCUCCACCACCACCCCCUGUUUACCUGCCCCCGCCACCUCCUCCACCAGUCUACGUGCCUGCUCCGGCACCAACUCCAAUUUCCUAUUCCCCGCCACCUCCUGUCCCCAAGUCCCCACCACCACCUCACCCUUACGUCUAUGCAUCUCCCCCUCCUCCUUACUACUACUAGAAAGCGGCCAUGAAUAGCUCAUGCUUUUAUGGUAAUCUCAUUUAUUUUUAAAACUGUACAUGUAAAGACUAGUAGUUCAGAAUUACAUUAAGCAUUUCAAUUUUAAGCACCGUGUUCUGUUUAAUUGCGUUCCUAUUGAUUAAGUGACAAAUAAAAGAGAUUGAUUAAUUUGUUCUUGUAGGAGAGGCGAAUGGUAUCCGAAUAAAGAAAGCAAGGGUUUGAUGGAAGGCUUACUUGGAGCAAGAUAGCGAUCAAUCGAGUUGCUGCGUUUUAUUCUCUUUUAUCUUUGUUUUUUAAGAAAAAUAAACUGCCACGCGUAGAAACAGAAAAUUAAGUUCUUGUCAUUUUCAUGCAUAUGGAUUGUUGAUGUGUGUGUCAAUCAAAUCUCCGGUGUGUCAUUUGUAAUUUUCAACCUUUAUGCAUGCAAAUGGGAGACCUCUUACGUAUAAUAAAAUUAAUAUACUUCCCAAGAUGGUCUUAUCUUGCGUUGACUUUUUACGUUCCUUUGGUGAUGAUUUUGAAUGCCAAAAGCGUGGUCAUGGAUUUUUCGUGCAACUACAGAGCACAUUAACGAGAGACUUAUCCAUGAGGGUCCAUGCAGAUCAGUGUCUAAUUAACCAAUAAUUAAUAUAACUUAAAAAAUAUAGAGUUAACAAUUUUUAUGGGUCAGGCUCAAUUAUAGAUGUUCGUACAAAAUUUCUUGCUAAUGUAUACUUGAGUAUGAUAAUAAGUUUUAAUCAUUAUUAGUAAUUCACUUGAUAAUAUUAAACAAAUUUUCAUAUCAAUUAAGUUACAAAAUUUCUGUGACAAAUUUCCACGUACUGGAACCAUGCAAAAGGGCUUUGUUCAAACAGAGCUGCAUAGCCGUUGGCAAUUAAAAUUAUUUAUCAAUAAAGUUAAGUAGUAAGAAUUGGAUUGUGGAUUCCAUUAAUUAUUUCAAGGAAAAUUUUAUAGAUAAUGCCGUAAUGAAAUUUACGGCAUCAAUAUCAUGAUAAAUAUAAAUAUUGUAAAUUACAAAUAGAAUUAGUAAAUGUAAAGUAAAACCAGUAAAUUCAUAAAAGAUUAUUAAUUAUUUAAAAAAUUAACAUUGUUUCUACAUAAUUUUAGUGAAAAAUAUUUUAUUCAUUUACAAAAAAAAAUUCUUUAAUUAAACAAAAAAAAUUCAUUAAUUAAGCAAAAAAAUUAUACUGAAAAAAAAGUGGAAUAAGUUUUUUUAUCAGUGGUGUGGACUUUGUAAACUUUUCAUCCUUAAUUAAACAUCACAUGUAUUAUAGAAAUGCAAAACUACCAUUGUUAUAUUUAAAUUAAAAAAUAAUAAAUAUAUAAGGUAAUAAACAUUAUAACGAGUUUUUAUUUUAAAAUUGUAAACUUUUAUUUCUGACAAUAACUCUUAUAUUAAUUUAUUUAUUUUGCCUUUUAUUCAUAAGUUUUAUGCAUAAUCUACAAAGUUUAUGUUUUAUUUUGCAUUUAAUGUUGAUUUUCUUUUUUUAUAUUAUACGUAUAAGUUUUCAUUUUAUUUACCAGUAAUACAUCAAUUUAUCAGUUUUAUAGUAAUUUACUUAUUUUACCUUCCUUUUAUAAUUCUUAUGUUUCAUUUCCAAAAUUUAUGUUUUAUUUUACAGUCGUUGAUGAUUUACUAGUUUUAUGUUAUGUUUGCAAGUUUUUGUUUUGUUUACUAGUAAUAGAUUAAUGGGUAAUUUUUAAUUGAGUCCUCAUUAGUUCUAGAAAAAAAAUUCAGAGACCAGAAGUUUACUAAAUGAAUCAAUUAAAUUCUUUCAAUUACAAACUAAUGUCAUUCAAAUCCUUAACUUAAUUGCUCAGUUAAAAAUAUUAACAACGUUGAGGACAUUUUAGUAAAACAACAAAUGAGUCGUUUCUCAUUCUUUAUUUUUGACAGGUGGAAAUAGUUUAAAGUAAACUCAAUUAACCUGAUUAAGUUAAGGAUCAGUUCUUUCAAAUGAAAAAAAAACCUACAGAAACUGCCAUAUUCUUCGUCUGAGAGGAGAGAUCGAGAGAACGUGGGACGGCGCAAAAAAUGUUGUAUAAAUCUACUGUGAUUUUGACCAAAGCUUUGGUAGCAUUGAUUGAGUUCAAGUACUGGAGAGAACCUGAGUUUAAAGGUUAGUAACUCUAUUUUUUUAGUGAUUUCUGCAAGCAUUUUCUGAUAAAAAUUUUUCCAUAUUGAGUGAUCGUUGUGAAAAAUUAAGUUUUUCAAGUCUAUUUUUCAAAAUGACAAACUAUGUUUAAUUAUUGGUGGAUUCUUUUUUUUGUUCAAUGUUGUAUUUUGUUAAUUUGUUGUUUUUAAUUUGCUCUUUAUGUAAUUGUUAGACCAAAUACACCAUUAUUAUACCUGUAUUCAUUUCAACAAUUUGGUAUUGUUAUAUUAAUAAGAUUGAAUUCAUUGUAUUUGCUUCUUUGUUCAUGUAAAAUUGAAUUCUAUGUAUUCUUAUGAGUGAUAAUUUUUCUAUCUAUUAGACUAAAUUCACUAUAUUCACUACUUUCUUUCUUUUUGCUGGGCUAUUUUUUCUUUUUAGUUUAUAUUUUUUAUAUGUAUUAGAUUGAAUUUGCUUUUGUGCGUUUUUUAGCCGAAUUACAUGUAUAUUUCAUUUAGGUUGAGUUUUUUUGUUGUUUGCUAAAUAAAAUUAUAUUGGUUUAUCCUUUUUUGAUGCAAUACUUUUGUUUAAAAUUAAUGCAGGUAGCCAUGUUACCUUUUUUUCGGUUAAAAUUAAUGGGGUGAUGUAUGCGAUAGGAUAUAGGGAACCAGAGGAAUAUAAGAUUAUUAGGCUGUUUCUUGAAAUUCAAGAUGUCAUGGUUAAGCAUGGACACAGUGAAAUGGAUUUGAUUGAAAUUUCUGUUGUAAUUUUUUCUCAAAAUCGGAUUUUGAAAAAAAUAUUAUUUUAAUAUCUUUUAUAGUUGUUUUAAGAUGAGGUUAUUUUACAUCUUUCUACACUUCUUCAGCAACAACCUUAAAUGGUCUCCAAAUACAAGUAAAAAGUUUGAAACUACAUAAAGUAUACAUAAUAUUCAAAAUUAGAUCUAAUUUUAUUGAUAUCUCUUUGUGUUUUUUUACUUGAUCCACAUCAAGAUAAAUAAUUGCACUUAAUUAACAUGUGUAAUAAAUAGAUAUCAUUAUAGAAAAUGGGAAAAAAAUGUAUACAAAUGUCCUAGACUAAAUAUAGAAUUUAUUGAAGAUUGAAAAUUACAAUCUUCAAUCUCAUCGGGAGUCUUUAUGGAAUCCAGCACAUUGAUUGUAACUUGCUGGUCAUUCACCCUCAUGGUUAAUUCUCCCUUUUGAACAUUAAUUAAAGUCUUUCUCGUGGCUAAGAAAGGUCUCCCUACAAUGAUUGACACUUCUUUGUCUGCCUCAAAGUCUAGCACAAUGAAAUCCACCGGAAAAAUAAAUUUAUCCACCUUCACCAACACAUCUUCAAUCUUUCCUUUUGAAUAGGCAUGAGAUCUGUCAGCAAGUUGUAGAGUCACUGUUGUUAGUCUACAUUCACCAACUCCCAAUUGCUUAAAUACUGAUAAAGGCAUGAGGUUGAUGCUAACCCCCAGAUCACAAAGUGUUUUGCCACUGUAUUUAGUGCCUAUGGAGCAUGGGAUUGUGAAGCUUCUUGGAUCCUUCAUCUUUUGUGGUAUCUUACUCUGAAGCAUUCGGCUGCACUCUUACGUUAGAGCAACUGUUUCAAACUCUCCAAGUCUUCUUUUCUUUGUCAAAAUAUCCUUUAAAAGUUUCGCAUAAUUUGGCAUUUGCUCUAGAGCUUCCACAAAAGGGAUAUUGAUAAAUAGUUGUUUCCGGCACUCCCAAGAUUUUGCUGAACUGCUUGUCUUGUUUUUUCUUCUGAAACCUUUAAGGAAAGGGUGGUGGAUGUUUAAAUUGUUGUGCUGCAGCAGGUUGUGCAGACUGCUUCUAUUUUGCUUUACUCGGGUCUGUUGUUGCAAUCUCGUUAUCCACAGGUGUUGGAUCAUCAUUUUUGGCAAAUGCUGCAGCUUGACUGCUCUCACCAGUGAGCUGUGAAGUUGAGGAUUGUGGCUCUUUUUCAAUUUGAGUUUCUUUCUGGAUUGAAGUGGACUCAACUCUUCUUUUUGAUACACCAACGGGACUAUGAACAUCCUUUCCAGAUCUCAAAUUAAUCACUUUGCAGUGCUCUUUCCCUUCUCUUCUUAGGUCCUCUGUAUUACUGGGUAAACUACCUUGAGGUCUGUUGCUCAAUGUUGUAGCAAGCUGUUCAAUUUGAUUUUCCAAGUUUCUCAAAGAUACAAUAUAACUUUGGACAACUACUUCAUUCUUCACAAUAUAAUCCUUAAUCAAACCUUCAAGGGAGCUGAGUUGAUCAUUGUUGAUGCUUCUUUGCUCUUGAUUUUGCUGAUAAAAUCCACUAGGUGCUGCAGCAGUCUGGUUCUGACAACCCCAUGAAAAGUUCGGAUGUUGUCUCCAUCCAGGGUUGUAAGUGUUUGAAUAUGGAUUGCUAUGGUUCUGUCUAUUGAAGCUGCCCACAUAAUUGACUGAAGCUGGAUUCCCAGAACAAUUGUCAAAUAAAUGUCAUUCUCCACAAUAAACACAAGACACAUUAGAAAUUUGGUUAACAGUUGCUGGAGCACUGGUCAUACCUUUCACCAUGUUUGUUAAUGAAGUUACUUGGGUUGACAAUACUGUCAAGGCAUCUACGUUAUGAACUCAUGAUGUUCCUCUUGCAGCAGCUUGUCUGGUUGACGGCCACUGAUAGUUAUUGUUGGCUAUUCUCUCCAAAAUUUCAUAAGCCUCAUUAUAAGACUUAGAUAAUAAGGCCUCAUUUGCUGAAACGUCCACCAUCAAUCUAGUACUUGGGUUGAGACCAUUAUAGAAAGUUUCCAAUUGUAUGCAACAAGGAAUACCAUGAUGAGGACAUCUCCUGAGUAACUCCUUAAAUCUCUCUCAUGCAGCACACAAGCUCUCAUCUUCAAGUUAAUGGAAAGAUGUGAUCUCGUUCCUCAACUUUGCAUUCUUGGUUGGCGGGAAGUAUUUCAUCAAAAACUUUUUAGCCAAAUCAUUACAUGUAGUGAUAGAAUCUGGUGGUAGAGAAUUCGACCAUGCUCUUGCUUGGUCUCUCAAAGAAAAAGGGAAAAGUUUGAGUCUCAAUGCUUCCUGCGAUGCUCCAGCAAUCUUGAAAGCAUCACUUACUUCCAAAAAUAACUUAAGGUAUAGAUGAGGAUCUUUGAAUGGCAAACCAUUAAAUUGCCCCACUGUUUGAAGCAUUUGAAACAUCACGGGUUUGAGUUCAAAAUUGUCAGCUUGAAUGUCGGGUCUAACUAUUCCCGGAUGUAUGGCUUGAGGAGUCAACACUACGUAAUCUCGAAUGGCUCUAUCUAUAUCGUUCGCCAUGUGAAUAAUGUUGUUGUUCCCCGGUUGCCUUUGAACACAUUGUCCAUUCAGACCUUCAUGUACAUUGACUGGUUGUAUCUCCUCUCUACAGUUCAAGUUUCUCAAAUCUUGGAAUUCAUCUAUUAUUACAGCAGCUUGUAAUUCCUGAUGCUCUCUUCUCAAUCUCCUUACAGUUCGUUCAAUUUCUGGAUCAAACUGGAAUUCAAUAGAUUUAUAUUUGCGCAUGCAACGGUUGUUAGAUCACCUAUGUCAACAAAAUAAACAAAUCAAAAUAAAAUUAAAAAUUAGCACCGUUAAAACUAAUUUCACAAAUCACAAUGAAUAAUCAAUCCCCAGCAACGGCGCCAAAAACUUGUUGGGUAAAAAUACUAAUGCUAUUGGUGUCAAUGUGCAAGUGUACACAACAAGUAAUAUAAUUAUGAGUAUUCAAGAUCGUCUCCACAGGAAUUAAUAUUAUUAGAUUUGCUACAGCAAUCCCAACAGUGCAGAUUUUGUUUUAAUGAUCAAUUUAGUUCCUUUGAAACUCUGAUUAUCAAUUAAAAUAAAAAUGCAAUAAAUAAAAUGUAACAAAGUAAAUUAUCACGUCAAACUCAAAGAUAAAACCAAUAGAAAUAUAGAGUAGUUGAGUGAAUAAACUCUCCUAAUGGUCUUGACUAUUUUCUAAUUGUUGGCUUGGUUGCUGCAGUAUCUACUACAACACUGGGCAGAAUCCUUAUGCAUCUUCAGCCGUCGCAUGUUGGAUAUCUUAUAUCUAUAUGCAACCUAACAGUGAUCAGUUAUUAUGCCAACAUAAAAUAUAGCAUUACACACUUUGGUUCUAUUUACCCUACAAGGUGAAUCCCUAUGUCUAGUUCAUCACUAAUCUUAAAUCAAGCAUGACCCUUUUGGGACUCAAGUAAAACUCAAUCCAGGAAACUCAAUUUAAGAUCAAGUAUUGCUUUGAUAUAUUCCACUCAGAUAAGCCCUUUUGUGGCUCUUCCUUAGCUAGUAUCAUUAAAUGGGUGAUCAGCCGAAAUAAUGAAUAAAAAUAAAUUCUAUCAAAACAAAAUGCUACAGCAAACAUGCAUCAACUCAUAUUUUCAGUCAAUAAACCAUCAAGAUUGUUUAUUACUCAACCACAAAUAAAUUUAGUUCAUGAUUUGCAAAAGAAAAAUAAAGAACAAAGUUUCGUCCAUGAAACACAUCCCCAUGAAUAAAUAGAAAACACGAAAAUAAGAGAAGGAUAAGAAGGAUUGAGCUCCCAAUUGAUCUCUGCAAUUUUCAUUUCUCAUCAAACAACUCUCUUUUAGAAUGGAUAUACAAAUGAUAGCUCAGUGAAGAUUUAAUCUAUGAUGAUUUACGAAAUUGAAGCUCAAUAUAUGUUGUGUGCACUUGUUUAUGCUUUCAAGAUUACCAAAAAUGAAUUGGAUUUGAGUUUAUAUAGUUUGAGCCCAAAAACUAGCCGUUAUAGACUAAUUUUUUGUGAUAACUGGCUUGCUGCUUUGUGAAUCUGGUUAGCCAUUUUUAUGUUACUGUUACAGCAAAUAUUUGAAUUUUGGAACAUCUAGCAUGCUGCUUUCGGAAUCCGGUUAGUCGCUUUCAUUCCAGUGAGCUACUGCCCAUAAUCUGACUUGCCGCUUUGUAAAAUCUUGUUAGUCGCAUUGCUACAGUGACGACUACAGUGAACUAUUUUCUAAAAUUACAAAACGUCGUAAAACUUUGCACAAAGGUCCAAUUUUAGAAUUUCUAAAUAAUGCUUGUUAUUCCCAAAACUUUCUGAAAUUAUGAUACCGUCAAAAAUGCUAUAAAACUUUUCAAAUAAGUCCCUCUCCAGAAUUCCAAGCAAUACUUGUUGAUUUCAAAGUUUUCAAAACUCUUUCAAUUAGACCACAAACUUGAAAAACAACCAAUUUUAUAAAAUCAUUUUUUCAUUAAAUAUAAAACCUUUAUAAUGUGAAAAUAAUGAUUUAUUUAAAAUGUAUAAAAAAUAAUUUGAACUUUUAAAGACUUAAUCAUUCUUAAUUUUAUUUGUUAUCAUCAAAAUCAACAUUAUGAAUACAUAAAUGUUAACAAUCUCCCGCUUUUUGAUGAUGACAUAAUUUUCAUGUAUUUAAAGAAUGAUUGCACAAAUUGCUCCUCCUAAAUGUAAGCUCCCCUUACAAUUUGAACUUAAAAGAUUAAUAAUUCUUAAUAUUGUUUGUUAUCAUCAAAAUCAACACUGUGGAAACAUAAAUGUUAACAAUCUCCCCCUUUUUUAUGAUGGCAAACCUUCAUGUAUUUAAAGAAUGAUUCCACAAAUUGCUCCCCCAAAAUGUAAGCUUCUCUUACAAUUUAGCUAAAUUAACAAAUUUAAAUACAUGUAUUCUUCUCCCCCUUCAUCAUAAAAAAGAAAACUUAAUGGAAAAGAAAAAGAGUAGCAAAUUUGUUAUCCAUGUUGUUCGAGUAGAAAUUUCGAUAGAAUCUCCCCAUAACAACAAGCAUCACCUCAAAUACAAGUUUAAUAAUAUUACUCCUAAAUUAUUAUAAAUCAUGAUACAAGCCAACUUCAUAUACAAAUCAUCACACAAUCCAUCAACCAUAAAAACAUCAUGAACCAUUAUUCCAUCAAUUACCAAAUCAACAACUCAUAACAUAAAAUUAUCAUGUAAAACAACCAUGUAAUCAAAUCAUCAUCAUAUCCCAAAAUCAUCAAAAUCAUCACCAUAAUCACAUAUCAAUCAUCAAAACAAUACUCAAAGUGCAUAUUAUUCUCCUCCUUUUGACAACAUCGAAAUGAUAUAUUACUUUGUCUCCCCCUUUGGACAACAAAAAAGUUCAAAAUGCAUAUUAUCCAAAAUCAUAUUGUAUGCUCCCCCUAAAUAUAUGGCCAAUUUAAAAUUUUAACCAAACUGAUUUUAUCCAAAAAUAUAUCAUAUUUAUCUCUCUCUUCAUCAUAAAAAAAAAAAGAUAGAUAUAUGCAAUCGAAACAAGAUCAUCAAAAAUAAUUCAAUGAAGAUAUUACCCAUUUUGUGCGAACAAAAAUUUUGGUAGUCUCCCCUUAAAAUUAAACAAAUCCUCAAACACACAACAUGGUUAAAAACACUUCCAUAUAAGCUUAAAUAAUUAUAACAAACCAACAACUCCAUCAAUUCAUUAAAGCAACACACAUAUAAUCAUCAAUCAUCAAAAUCAUCAAGAAAUCAAUUUUAAUAGUAUUAAUAACAUGAUUAGAGAUAUUAAUAAAUUUCAUCAUCCUAAGUUCAUGCCGAAUUUUUGAAAAUUGUUCUUCGCAAAAGGGUUUUGAUUUGUUUACCAAAUUGGCAUGCAAAAGUUAUAAGAACAUAUUAUCAACUAUCCAAGCUCCAUAAUUACUAAUCACGUUUUAGAAAUUAAGACAACUAAACUCAUCAAAGAUCUAAUGUGACAUUUCAAUAUAAUUUAAAAAUAUUAUAUGCUUAAAUUCUCGAAGUAUAUGUAUUUUUUCCUUUUUCGAUAUCAUUUAAAACAAGUAAUGCAUAUUCAACAAUACAUCGAUAAAGUAUAAAAAAUGCAUCCAUUCAUCAAUCAUAGAUUGCAUAAGAUCAAACUUCAUCAAAUACAAUGUAAUCAUCAAAGCACAUUCUUUAUCAUCAAAACUUAAGUAAAGCAUAAGUACAUAAUGACAAUAUAUAGAUCAUCAAAAUCAACAUAUAGCAAUAUAUAGAUCAUCAAAAUCAACAUAGCUAUUAAGAAAAGCCAUCAUGAUGAGCUAAACAACAAGUGAUCAAAUCCAUUAUUACAAAUGCUCACAUAGGCCAAUUUAAUAAAUGAUGAUAUAAUACAAUAAAUGACAUAUGAAUUUACACAUACAUAAGUGAUGAACGAAUAAGGAAGAUGAAUAAAUGACAUGAAACAUGAUGAUAGACAAUUAAAAAAAAAAAGAGAGAUCAAAGGUCAUACAAUCAUUGAAAUCAAACAAAGGCAUCAUGAUAAGUUUCAUGAUAAGUUGACAUGCUACCAUCAUAUAGAUUUAUCCAUACAUCAUGAUUACAUACAAUAAUAAUUCAAUUAUGUAAACGUAUGAGUAUGCUUUUGUAAAUUCAAGCUAUUAUCCAUCCAUCAUGAUUCAUUCAGCAAAAUCAAUAUGGCAAGAAUUGUUACCAAAAUAAUUAAAUCAUCUUGCCUCAUCUUUUUCUCUUAGAUCAUAAUCAAGUGAUUAUCCUCACAAUCUUUCAUCAAGGAACUCUCUACCAUUUCUUGAUUAUGGUACCUUGAUAACUCUAUAAAAUAAGAGUUAUCAUGACACUUUUAGACUUAAAUCAAUAAUAUUUCGAGAGUAAAUAAUGUGUUUUCAUUGUAUUUUUGUUUAAUUUUGCAUAAACAUUCACUUAGUUUAUUCGUAAUAAAUUAUGUUUGAUUUAGAAUAAUUUGUGUGCUAAAUCAUAUGCAUAAUUGUAGGUGUCCGGAAGCCCAAAUUUCAAUGAAAGAAUGCUGAUGCAAUAGGCUUGCAAAAGAUAGAAAAGAACUUGGCUACAAAAGAAUUGAAACAAAUCUGGAACAAUUCAGUUGUUGUAGUUAUUGCUGUAGCAACCUAGAACAACGACAGAGAAAAUUCUGCGUGGGAUAAUUGCAGAAUUGAGAUCUGAAGUUUCCUAAUCUGACUUAUGCAUGACCUAAGCUUCCGUUGCCCUAAUUUUCAAUUAUAAAAGAAGUACACAUCAUAAGGAAAAGAGGGAGCCGUCACCCAAGGAGAAAAAUAAAAAGAAACAAAAGAAAAACAAUCUCUUGAUUGUAAGGCCAUCUCCAAUGCAUAACGCCAUUUUUGUGUAACACCAACACCAAAAAUGUACCUUUUUCACACCAACUUACUGUUUCAUCUCCAACCCAUUUACACCAAAUUUUACACCAAAAAGAAUAUUCUUCUUUUUAUUCUUUUAAUUCUCAAGAAUUAAUUCAAUUAACACAAUAAAUAUUACUAUUAAUAUAGAUAAUUACGUAAUAAAUAAUUUUAUAUCGAUUAACAAAAGAAAUAUAGAAAAUUAUUAAUUUUGUAAUAUGUAAUCUAGUAAUUAAUGUUAUUGGCAUUUUAUUUUUAUUAUUAAUUUUUGUGUUGAAUAUUUUUUAUUUAAAAUUUUAGUAUAAUAUUCAAAAAUUAAAAAAAUGAAAUAAAAAGAAUAACAAAAAUAAUAAUAACUUAAAAUAUUAUAUAAAAUAGGGCAUAUAUGUAAAUAAGAAAAAGUAAUAAGGAUAUUUGGGACUUUUUUUCCGCAACACCAAAUGAAUAGUGUUGCACCAUAUUUGGUGCAAUACUAUUCAUAACACCAUUUUGGUGUUGGUUUUGGUGUUACAUUGGAGAAGCAUUUUACACCAAAAAUGGUGUCAAAAGUGAUUUGGUGAUAGGUUUGGUGCUACAUUGGAGAUGCCCUAAAGGUCCAUUGACACCUUGGAAGUCAAUUGUAAAGAACUUGAAGCCUUGAGAUGCUUGGAUAGUGAAAUCCUCAAGCCGGGUGAGCUUAGAGGUGUGGACGUAGGCGGGGAUUGCCGAACCACGUAAAAAUCAUUGUGUUUGUUUUCUCUUCCCUUACUCUCUUAUUAUUAUGCUGUAUUGAAUUUAUUAUUUUUUAUUCCAUUAAUACAUUAGAUUAAAUUAUUUUGUGGUUUGCUUAUCUUAAAUUUUAAAAUUCUAAUUCACCCCCCUCUUGGGUUGCCUAGUUAGUGUUUCAGAAAUAUAUGACAACUUUAAGGAAGAAAAUAGAAUAGUAUUAAUAGAAUCUAUUUUAACCAGUCUUGAAAUAAUUCAAGACAGAUGCAAAAUAUAUAACAAGACUCUAAAUCGUCCAUAAUAAGUCUAUUGAUGAAUAAUAACAAUAAUAGUGAUGUGAAAUUUUUUAUUCAGAAUGCUCAAUUUAGAUUAUAAUAUCUAUAUGAAAGCAUUGAUGGCAUGUACCUUGGUUGGGAAAAUAGAUUGGACACAUUGAUAGAUAUGUUGGAAGAAAAAAUCUAGUUUAUGUCUCAAGAGAGACAAGAAAUUAUAAAUGCCGGUGCUAUAGUAUAUUUGGAUUUGAUGAUCAUUUAGAUCUUUAUAAAAUUAUAAUAAAACUUUAAAAAUAUUUAAAAAUAUAUGUAGAAGAGAUGGAAGAAGAAAUCAUCCAGUUAUUCAAAAUCAAUUAAACAAAAAUAAAAGGUAAAAUCCUUGAAUUAUAUAAAUUAUACAAUUUCACAAAAAUUUAGCAUAUAUUGCAGAAAGGUCCUUGUGGCAUAGAUUAUGGGACUAGUGUAGCAUAAAUACUAAUAUUGUUUUUUAUUUUGUAAAUAAAUUAUUGCGUCAUAAUUUUUUUACAUACAAAUUUUAUGUUCUAAAAUAUUAAUUUGUUUUUGUAUUUAGAGUUAAUUUUAUAAUUUCAGACUUUGUUCAACUAUAUGUCCAAGUCCUUCACGUGUUGGUUGAUGUUGAAUAUUCAAAGAUCCACAAGCUAUCAACAACAACAAAUCAAAUUAAACUAAUUAGCUAACACAUAAUGAUUGGGUUGUUUCCUAUGCUUGUUAAUGAUGUAGAACAUUAUUUUAGAAUUUUAGAAUUUUAAUUCUUUAGGUCUUUUGAUAUUUUUUUUAAUUAAAGUCAGUGUCUUAGACUUUUAUUUCUAUUAUAAUUAUCAUUUACUUUCCCUUUUAAGUUAACUUAGGAAAGUAGAUUUACUCUAUUAUAAAUAAAGAGAUCUUGUUAUCACUUUUAUAACUUCAACUUCAAUUAUUCAAUUAAAAACCCCUCUUUUAUAAUUUCCUUUGGUAUUAUCUAUUAAAAAUUCCUCUUUGAGAGUUGUUUGAUUAUAGCAUCAUCUAGCCUUGCUUAACGCAGUUUUAAAAAUCUCAUUGAGUUUAAUUACAUUUCGAUUAGAGCGUAACUUAAUCGUAUUGACUUGGUCCAGUACUUGAACCAUAUCUAGUGUUUUGCUUCCGCUACGCCCAAGGAGAAAAUUAAUUUCACCGUGAGAUAAGAGCAUUGAAAGGAAUUCAUGAGAAAUUUAAAUUAAGCUUUGUUAAAUAUAUCGCUAGCUACUUGUUUUUGGAGGAACUAAAACAAUUAAUUAGCUACGAAGUGAAAAUAAAUAAAUAAAUGAAAUCAAGUUGAAAAUAAAAUAAGUUUCGCCGCCUGGAUCCAAGGCCAAAACAUUCAUGAUAAGUUAGGUAAUUAAGUACAUGUUUUCAAGCUCUUCAUGAAGCAUAAUGUUAUUGAAAUAAAUCACAAAGACUCCCUGCGCACAUUAUUACAUUGAUUAAAAAACAAAUGCCAUAUGUUUAACAGGAUCGUGACUCUGGGACUGUUAAUUACUUUAUUCCCUGCUUGGCCAACAGCUGGCCACUAAACAAAUCAUAAAAAUUUUAAAUUUAGUCAAAUUGGUCCGACUUGAUGACAUCCUUUUCAUACAUAAAAUUGUUUAACGUCAAGGUUAAAUAUGAGAAGUUUGGUAGAGAAGGUAAAAGGGAAGUGUAUAUAAGGAGGGGAACGAGCUUUGUUUAUAGCACAAGUGAAACUCCACUCUAUUGAACGAUGGGGUCUCAAAUGGGCUGCCUCUUUGCCACUCUUUUGGUAAUAUCAGUCUGUCUUAGCUACUUGCCGUUAGAAGCCUCCGCAAACAAAUACUACUACACAUCUCCUCCCCCUCCCAAGUAAAAGUCUCCACCACCCCCGCCACCGGUUCACAAUUCUCCACCACCACCCCCGAUUUACAUGCCCCCGCCACCUCCUCCACCAGUCUACCUGCCUGCUCCGGCACCAACACCAAUUUCCUAUUCCCGGCCACCUCCUGUCCCCAAGUCCCCACCACCACCUCACCCUUACGUCUAUGCAUCUCCCCCUCCUCCUUACUACUACUAGAAAGCGGCCAUGAAUAGCUCAUGCUUUUAUGGUAAUCUCAUUUAUUUUUAGGCACCGUGUUCUGUUUAAUUGCGUUCCUACUGAUUAAGUGACAAAUAAAAGAGAUUGAUUAAUUUGUUCUUGUAGGAGAGGCGAAUGGUAUCCGAAUAAAGAAAGCAAGGGUUUGAUGGAAAGCUUACUUGGAGCAAGUUAGCGAUCAAUCGAGUUGCUGCGUUUUAUUCUUUUUUUAUCUUUGUUUUUUAAGAAAAAUAAACUGCCACACGUAGAAAUGGAAAAGUUAUUGUCAUUUUCAUGCAUAUGGUGUUGGGAAAAUAUGCUCUUUAAAAGCAUAUGUUUUUAUUUAAUUGUAAUAAAUAAUUUUUCUAAUUAAUAAAAUAAAUGAGGUAUUUUAUUUAAAUAUUUUAAUUACAUUAAUAUUUUUAUUAAAGUCCAUUUAAUCAUAUUAUAUGUAUUUAUGUGAUCACCAUGUGGAUUCACAUAAGACAUAAAUAUAAGUUAUCUUAUGAUUAAAUAAAUUUAGUUCGCAAUUGAUCAAUAAAGUUGGGCACUUUAUUUAGGUAUAGACUGUAAUAAAUUCAUUGAAUGAUUUGUCUUAAUCAUGUAUGAAUUUAUUGAUGUAGUACGACUACAUUGAACAAGAUCACAUAUGAGAUUUAAUUAACUUUGUAAUAACUGUCAGACUUAUUAAAUCUCAUAGGCAUUGAUUUUACUGUAAUCUUAAUCUUGAGUUAAUUAUGAUUUCAUGAUUGUAAUUGUUAUUCCAUUUGAGUUACCAAUGGGCACGACACAUACUUGUGGUCAAGAUUACCCGGUAUCUUGGUGGGAGCAAUUAUGGGUAUUGGAGUUAUGGAUUAACAAUAUAGAAUUUGUACAACACAUCUCUUGAUGGGUUUUCGGCACCUGAUCAUAGAAUUCUCUGGCCAGAGUGUGUCAACAUAUUUAGUAUGUUGAAAAUGAUCAUUAGAGAAAACUAAUAAGUAUCAAGGAACAAGAUGUAAUUAAAUUGAUUGGACAGUUGAGAUAUCGAUUUAAUUAAUGAUGUGGUACAAAAGAUUGUGCAGUAAAAAAAUCAAUGUGGCUUGGGACGAGUUAUUAUUCGAGCAUACAAUUAUGGAAGUCAGUUCCAAUCUUUUAGUGGAGUAGAUUUGGAAUUAAAUAAUUGGGCUAGUUUAAUUACAGGCCUAAUUAUUGUAGCCACUAUUGUAUGUUCCCAAAUGAUCCCCGGGUUAGCUCAUUUAAUUGAGUGCACCACUACUGGAUUAAUAAGCAAGAUAACUAGCUAUUUGGGACAAAAGCCUAAAUAUAUCAUUUAGUGGGAGCCUCCAUUUAAUUAGCUUGUGUGUAAGGGGCCUAAUGUUAUUUUACAAGGUGGGUCCCCUAUAGAAAAAGCAAGUAACGUGAUUUUUGUUUUUGAUUAUUUGGAGCCUAGGAUUUUCACUAAAGCGAGAUAUAAAAAGCUUAUUUUCUCUAAAGAAAAGAGAUAGCAGCCACUUUAUACAGAUCAGAGAAAAAUAUUUUUCUCUCUAUUGUUGAGAGAAAAAUUUUCUCGUGCUAGUUGCUUUGGUAGUGAUAAAGGCGCCCACACGUCAAGUGCAGAUCAAACCUGAGUCAUAACCUGGAAGAUCAUUGGUGACAGUUCGUGAUCUAACAAGCGUGGUGGUGACGGAUCGUGAUCUAACAGACGUAGUGGUGACGGAUCGUGAUCUAGAAGCCUAAAUCACUUCAGCGGAAAAAUUUAAAUCGGAUUUUCAAGGUACGAUUUCUAGAUUACAUAUUCUUAUAUAUUAUAUGAGAACGAUCUUAAAAAGGUUUUAUAAAAAAUUUAAAAAACUGAUAUUUCCCCAACAAUUGGUAUCAGAGCCAUCUCGUAUUAAUAUAUGAAUAAAGCGUGUUUAUGAUUUGUAUUAAUUCAUGGUUAGAGGGGUGGUUUUUUAUCAGCAUGUUUUUCUCUUGAUUUAGUUUACUGUUAUAAAAAUUUUGAAAGCCAAAAUUGGCGUAGAAAAUUUGUAAAUCACUGAAGAAUAAACACUGGAAAACGAACUCAAAGAAUCGAGGCUGGAUUUUUCAGCGGCGGCCACCAACCAGCAACACAGCAGCGCACAGCAGCCAGCGCGCGCGGGAAGCGUGCCUUGUGCCUGCAACGAGUGCUGGCACAGGCUGCUCAUGCAGCAAACAGCGCGCGUGGCCAGCGUGGCCAGCAGCGCGCGCGAGUUUGGUGCAUUUUUGGCGACGCGACGAUCGAUGGUUCGGUGUUAGAGAUGCGUCGGAGGUCGGCUGGCGUCUGAACAGUGGCAGAGGUUUUUGGAGAUGGUGGCUGGGGAAGAAGGGUAAGAAAAAUAUGGAUUUUAGGGUUUUAUGGUUUUUAUCAUUGAGGUCCCUAGAGUUCCAUAAUUAUUUCCUUUGAGCAGUCAAGUUUUAAUUUUUUGCAUUUAAGUCUAAAAACAGUUUUGGGCUUAAAGAAUCCUAGUUUUAGGCUCAAUUGAAAUUUGGGUUUAAUGGAUUAAAAUGCAUAGAUAAAAUUGAACACAUUAAAUCUAUUUUUGGUCCAAAAGUUUUAUUUUAAUAAAAAAAAUUUAAUUAUUUCCUUUCAAAAUUAAAAUUGGACCAAUUAUAAAUUUAAAAGCCUAAUUUCCUCUAGUCCAUUAACAAAGACAAGCUUAUGGAAGAUGAACAUUUACAAGAAGCCCAAUGAAGAUUAGGCUUAUGGUUAAUGUAUUUUUCAUUAUUAGGAAAGCCAUGAAUUAAGAUUAUUUAAUUAUUUUUCUAUAUGUUAUGUUUUGGAUAUUAACAUGUCAUGUAGAAUAGGUAGUGCCACUAUGCAUAAUGAUACAUGUCAUUCUUUAAUAAUAAAUCUCAUUAUAUUGUUUGUGAUUUGUCUAUGCUUAAUAAUAUUGGAUAUCAUCUAGAUAAUAUUAUAGGAAGCAUGCAAUUAACAAUAUGUAUGUUUUAAAAAGGAAAAAUCAAUUUUAAAAUAUUGAGUGGGAGAGGGAAAAUUCAAGAUAAUUUUUCCCACGGGCUUCAUUUUACUUCAAUAAUAAAAUUAUAUAUAUACCUCGACUUCAUGAUACGGUGAUGCUCCCUACAGAGGGUAUAUAUAUUAGAUAUUUUAUUUGUUGAAUUUCUUCAAAGAUAAAAUUAAAAUAUUUUUCAAUCGAUUGUUCGCCCUCACGGUGACUAUUGAUAUGAAAAAUACGUAGAUUGAAACAAUGGUUAUACACUCAACUGAAAUUUGUUAUUAACCUUCCCAACGAAGCUCUGUUAACAAAUUUAGGCCCAAAGGGAUAACGAUAAUUAUUUAUCAUGUCUCGACAUGAAAGUAAAUAAUUCAUUGGAUAAUUGGGUCUAGUAAGUGUAGACAUGACUUCCCCAACGGAUAGCUUGUCAAAGCGGUACUAGAUUAUCGUUACAAUAAAUUAAAAUACAUUUAUGAGUUUUUUUUUGCAUUUUUGUCAUUUAUUGUGAAUAUUGUUUCAAAGUAUUUAUGCAUGUUUAUUUUGUUUUUCCAGAAAAUGUCUUCCAUCAACCCAUUAUUAAUUAUCCUUGUUAAAAAUGAACUCACUGGCGAAAAUUAUUUAGAUUGGAAACGCAAUCUAUUUAAUAUUCUCACUGCUAAGGGCUGCAAAUAUGUGUUGACCUAGCCUUGUCCUCCUGAACCAUCAUUAUACGAUUAUAGAAAUCAGAGGGAGCCUUAUGAGAAAUCGUGUGAAGCUAACAAAAUGGCUAAGCACUAUAUAUUGGAUUCGAUUUCUGUGGAACUACAUAAGAAACAUCGGAGCAUGGAAACAACCACUGAAAUAAUGGCUAGUCUUCAUCAGAUGUUUGGGCAAAGUACUCAUUUUGCUAGAGAAGCAGCAUUAAAACGUAUUACAGAUACUAAGAUGGAAGAGAGCACAAAAGUUCGUGAUCAUGUCCUCAAAAUGAUGGACUAUUUGAAUGAGGUAGAGAUUCAUGGUGCUCAAAACAAUGAUAAAUCAAAAAUUAAUAUGGUGAUUGAAUCUUUACCUAAUACAUUCAAAGAGUUUAAGGUCAGUUAUAUCUUAAACAAUAAAGAUAUGAACUUAAUUGAAUUAAUGCACGAACUACAUGCUAUAGAAGAAUUUUAUCAUAGCAGAAAACUUCCUGAAAAAGGAUUCUCUUCAAGGCUUAAGUCGAAAGACAAGAAUGAGCAAGCAAGAGUUAGGAUCAGCAAACUAUCCACUAAAAGAAGUGGCAAAAGGCAAGUGUUACAAAUGUGGACAGAAGGGUCACUCGAAGAAAGAUUGUCCUAAGAUUAUUAAAAUCAGGAAACCAAGAGAUUAAGUGAAGAAAGCUUCAAACAACAGUUGAGGACAUGCUAGUUUAUAUCAAUUGAAAGGCUAGAUCAAUUUUACAAGACUUAAAAGUUUUGAUAUUUGUCUUUAUUUUUCCAAAUACUAGAGGAAUUUAAUUUCGGUGACUUGUUUUAAUAAACAGGAGUACACUGUUAUUUUUUGAUCCACUGUCAUUUAUUUAUUUUAGUUAUUUAUAAAGACAAUUAAUAUCAUAUAAAUCCAUUGAUCUAUUCAAAGCAAGAUAUAAUGAUAAAGAGUAUAUGCAUUUAUCUAAGAAAAGAAAUGUUUCUUCAAACCAAAAUCACCUCUGAUAUUUAGGCUUAAGUCAUAUAAACUAUAAUAAGAUUUUAAGAAAAUGAUUAAUGAUAGACUUGUUGGCCUAUUAAGAUUGAUCAUUGUAGCUCUAUAAAUCUUAUUUAGAAAAGUAAUAUGACGAGAAUGCUCAUUUAGAGCUAAAAGCAUAACAUUGUAUUUAAUGAUUUAGCGCAUACAAAUAUAUAUGGACUAAUCAGUUUACAUGUUAUAAGAGGUUAUGAGUAUUCUAUCAAUCUUGUUGAUGAAUAUUCAUUUUACUUAUGUUUGUCUAAAUGCGUCAUGAUUCCAUUGCUUUUGAAAUUCAAAAGAGUACAUGGAUAAGACAAAAGCAAUUAGACAGGAACAUAAAAGAACUUCGAUAUGAUCGAAACAAAGAAUAUCUCUAUGGAGAAUUCAAGCACUAUUUGGUUGUCAAUGAACACUAGAGAAACAAGAUUCUUUUGGAUAAAACAAGAUAUAUACUAAGUGGUUUAUCAUUUACCUUUUUUAUUCCAGAUACUAAUAUUUAAAACUACAAAGUUUAUUGAACUUAGUUUCAUCUAUCUCGGUAUCUACUACUCCAAGAAAUUAUGAAAAAGUCACAAACUUGGUUUGAGACACAUUCGUAUUUGGAGUUUACUAGUAUUUCUACUAGAAUCAGAGGUAGAAAAGAUGGAUUUGUGUUCAGAAGCUUGCAUGUUUAAGGUAUCGUAAUGGAAUAAGGGAAAGUCUGAAUUAUAGUCCUCAAGAUAGGAAUGUAUUUGUGGACAUAUUAUUUACUUUCUUUGAGGAAGACUAUAUUAUGACUUCUUACCUAAGAGUAAGGUAAAACUAGAGAAAUAAAAAAGGUGAUCAAGUUGAUACUCAGCUUUCAAUGCCUGUUACAAAACAGGAAGAACAGCGACAACCAGAUGAUCAACACAGGAUUAUCCCUGAACAACCAUCACUUUUAGAACCUCGUCGUAGUGGGAGGAUAACUAAGUUACCUGCGAGAUAUAUGCUUUUGGGAGAAACCUAUACGGCUAUCUCAGAUGAACAUGUACAAGAUCUCACUAAUUACAACAAAGCUCUAAUAGAUAUAGAUGUUGAAUUUUGGAAAAAGACCAUCAAUCAAGAAAUGGAAUCUAUGUAUUCCUAUAAAGUCUGGGAACUUGUAGAGGCACCAAAUGGGAUAAAACCUAUAGGGUGCAAGUGGAUCUACAAGAGAAAAAGAGGAGUAAACGGAAGGGUGGAAACAUUUAAAGCAAGAUUAGUAACCAAAGGGUUUUACUUAGAAAGAGAAAUCGAUUAUGAGGAAACCUUUUCUCCGGUUUCUAUGCUUAAAUCCAUCAGGAUUCUGCUCUCCAUUGCUGUAGUGCUAGAUUAUGAAAUUUGGCAAAUGGAUGUCAAGACUGCCUUUCUUAACGGGCAUCUUAAAGAAAACAUCUACAUGCAGCAACUAGAUGGAUUUAUACAAAAAAGACCAAGAACACAUGGUUUAUAAGUUGCAGAGAUCCAUUUUUGGAUUGAAGCAAGCAUCCCGGUUAUGGAACAUCAGAUUUGAUCAACCGAUUAAAUCGUUUGGAUUCAUUCAGAACAUUGAUGAACCAUGUGUGUACAAGACAAUUCAAGAAAAAUCUGUAGCCUUCCUAAUUCUUUAUGUAGACGAUAUUCUCCUAAUUGGAAACGAUAUAGGAGUAUUGACUACAAUAAAAUUACUACGAGACCAGAAUAAUAAAACUUUAGCCUUGUCUCAAGCAGUCUAUAUCGAUAAGAUAUUGGCUAGAUUUAGCAUGGAAAAUUCCAAGACUGGUUUAUUACCAUUCAGACAUGGAAUUACAUUCUCUAAGGGUCAAUCUCCUAAAACAUCUGAAGAGAUAGAGAGAAUGAGAUGAGUUCCCUAUGCAGAAGCUGUGGGAAGUCUCAUGUAUGUCAUGCUUUACACUAGGCCAGACAUCUGCUUUGCGGUAGAGAUGGUUAAUAGAUAUCAAUCUAAUCCUGGACCUAAACACUGGACUGCGGUCAAGCAUAUAAUGAAGUAUCUGAAAAGAACUAAAAAUUAUAUGCUUGUGUAUUCUGGUGAUGAACUCAUUCUAGUGGGUUAUACUAAUUCUGACUUUAUGUCAAAUAAGGAUUCCAGAAAAUUAACUUCCGGCUAUGUGUUUACAUUGGGAAGUGGAGCUAUUAGUUGGAGGAGUGUGAAACAAUCUUGUAUCGCAGACUCCACAACUGAAUCUAAAUAUGUGGUUGUAUCCGAAGCUGCAAAAAAAGUUGUAUGGCUACGCAAGUUCCUACAAGAUCUUGAGGUGGUACUUGCUGUAACUGCACCCCUUAAACUAUUUUGCGAUAAUAGUGGUGCGGUAGCUCAAUCUAAGGAACCACAAGAAACAAAAACAUAUUGAGAGGAAGUAUCAUCUUAUAAGGGAAUAGUGUAGAAAUGUUAUAUGACAGUACCCCAGAUGGGAUUAGAUGCUAAAUGGCAGAUCUUAUUACAAUGGCCAUUAGUGGAAAACCUUUAUAACCUGCACUUAGAGCCCUAGAGCAUGUGCAAUAUGCCAAAUAUGCUUUAAGAGCUAUUCGGAGAUUGUUGGGAAAAUAUGCUCUUUAAAAGCAUAUGUGUUUAUUUAAUUGUAAUAAAUAAUUUUUCUGAUUAAUAAAAUAAAUGCGGUAUUUUAUUCAAAUAUCUUAAUUGCAUUAAUAUUUUUAUUAAAGUCCAUUUAAUCAUAUUAUAUGUAUUUAUGUAAUCACCAUGUGGAUUCACAUAAGACAUAAAUACAAGUUAUCUUAUGAUUAAAUAAAUUUAGUUCGCAAUUGAUAAAUAAAGUUGGGCACUUUAUUUAGGUAUAGACUGUAAUAAAUUAAUUGAAUAAUUUGUCUUAAUCAUGUAUGAAUUUAUUAAUGUAGUACGACUACAUUGAACAAGAUCACAUUUGAGAUUUAAUUAACUUUGUAAUAACUGUCAGACUUAUUAAAUCUCAUAGGCAUUGAUUUUACUGUAAUCUUAAUCUUGAGUUAAUUAUGAUUUCAUUAUUGUAAUUGUUAUUCCAUUUGAGUUACCAAUGGGCACGACACAUACUUGUUGUCAAGAUUACUCGGUAUCUUGGUGGGAGCAAUUAUAAGUAUUGGAGUUAUGGAUUAACAAUAUAGAAUUUGUACAACACAUCUCUUGAUGGGUUUUCGGCACUUGAUCAUAGAAUUCUCUGGCCAGAGUGUGUCAACAUAUUUAGUAUGUUAAAAAUGAUCAUUAGAGAAAACCAAUAAGUAUCAAGGAACAAGAUGUAAUUAAAUUGAUUGGACUGUUGAGAUAUCGAUUUAAUUAAUGAUGUGGUACAAAAGAUUGUGCAGUAAAAAAAUCAAUGUGGCUUGGGACGAAUUAUUAUUCGAGCAUACAAUUAUGGAAGUCAGUUCCAAUCUUUUAGUGGAGUAGAUUUGGAAUUAAAUAAUUGGGCUAGUUUAAUUAUAGGCCUAAUUAUUGUAGCCACUAUUGUAUGUUCCCAAAUGAUCCUCAGGUUAGCUCAUUUAAUUGAGUGCACCACUACUGGAUUAAUAAGCAAGAUAACUAGCUAUUUGGGUCAAAAGUCCAAAUAUAUCAUUUAGUGGGCGGCUCCAUUUAAUUAGCUUGUGUGUAAGGGGCCUAAUAUUAUUUUACAAGGUGGGUCCCCUAUAGAAAAAGCAAGUAACGUGAGUUUUGUUUUUGAUUAUUUGGAGCCUAGGAUUUUCACUAAAGCGAGAUAUAAAAAGCUUAUUUUCUCUAAAGAAAAGAGAUAGCAGCCACUUUAUACAGAUCAGAGAAAAAGAUUUUUCUCUCUAUUGUUGAGAGAAAAAUUUUCUCGUGCUAGUUGCUUUGGUAGUGAUAAAGGCGCCCACACGUCAAGUGCAGAUCAAACCUGAGUCAUAACCUGGAAGAUCAUUGGUGACAGUUCGUGAUCUAACAAGCGUGGUGGUGACGGAUCGUGAUCUAACAGACGUGGUGGUGACGGAUCGUGAUCUAGGAGCCUAAAUCACUUCAGCGGAAAAAUCUAAAUCGGAUUUUUAAGGUACGAUUUUUAGAUUACGUAUUCUUAUAUAUUAUAUGAGAGCGAUCUUAAAAAGGUUUUAUAAAAAAUUUAAAAAAUCGAUCUUUCCCCAACAUAUGGAACCAUGCUAAAGGGCUUUAUUCAAACAAAGUCGCAUGGCCGUUGGCAAUUAAAAUACUUUAUCAAUUAAGUUAAGUAGUAAGAAUUGGAUUGUGGAUUCUAUUAAUUAUUUCAAGGAAAAUUUUAUAGAUAAUGGUGUAAUGAAAUUUACGUCAUCAAUACCAUGAUAAAUAUAAAUAUUGUAAAUUACAAAUAGAAUUAGUAAAUGUAAAGUAAAACCAGUAAAUUUAUAAAAGAUUAUUAAUUAUUUAAAAAAUUAACAUUGUUUCUAGAUAAUUUUAGUGAAAAAUAUUUUAUUCAUUUAAAAAAAUUCUUUAAUUAAACAAAAAAAAUCAUUAAUUAAAUAAAAAAAAUUAUACUGAAACACAAAAGUGGAAUAAAUUUAAUUGAAUUGGUUACCAUAAAUUCUAUAUUUAGUCUAGGACAUUUGUAUACAUUUUUUUCCCAUUUUCUAUAAUGAUAUCGAUUUAUUACACAUGUUAAUUAAGUGCAAUUAUUUAUCUUGAUGUGGAUCAAGUAAAUAAAAAAAAGAGAUAUCAAUAAAAUUAGAUCUAAUUUUGAAUAUUAUGUAUACUUUAUGUAGUUUCAAACUUUUUACUUGUAUUUGGAGACCAUUUAAGGUUGUUGUUGAAGAAGUGUAGAAAGAUGUAAAAUAACCUCAUCUUACAACAACUAAGAAAGAUAUUAAAAUAUUAUUUUUUUCAAAAUCCGAUUUUGAGCAAAAAUUUCAUCCUUAAUUAAACAUCACAUGUAUUAUAGAAAUGCAAAACUACCAUUAUUAUAUUUAAAUUAAAAAAUAAUAAAUAUAUAAGGUAAUAAACAUUAUAACGAGUUUUUAUUUUAAAAUUGUAAACUUUUGUUUCUGACAAUAACUCUUAUAUUAAUUUAUUUAUUUUACCUUUUAUUCAUAAGUUUUAUGCAUAAUCUACAAACUUUAUGUUUUAUUUUGCAUUUAAUGUUGAUUUACUUUUUUUAUAUUAUACUUAUAAGUUUUCAUUUUAUUUACCAAUAAUACAUUAAUUUAUCAGUUUUAUAGUAAUUUACUUAUUUUACCUUCCUUUUACAAUUCUUAUGUUUCAUUUCCAAAGUUUAUGUUUUAUUUUACAGUUGUUGAUGAUUUACUAGUUUUAUGUUAUGUUUGGUAAUAGAUUAAUGGGUAAUUUUUAAUUGAGUCCUCAUUAGAUCUAGAAAAAAAAAUUCAGAGACCAGAAGUUUACUAAAUGAAUCCAUUAAAGUCUUUUAAAUACAAACUAAUGUCAUUCAAGUCCUUAACUUAAUUGCUCUGUUAAAAAUACUAACAACGUUGAGGACAUUUUAGUAAAACAACAAUUGAGUUGUUUCUCAUUCUUGAUUUUUGACAGGUAGAAAUAGUUUAAAGUAAACUCCAUUAACUUGAUUAAGUUAAGGAUCAGUUCUUUGAAAUGAAAAAAAAAAACCUACAGAAACUGCCAUAUUCUUCGUGUGAGAGGAGAGAUCGAGAGAAUGUGGGAUGGUGCAAAAAAUGUUGUAUAAAUCUACUGUGAUUUUGACCAAGGCUUUGGUAGCAUUGAUUGAGUUCAAGUACUGGAGAGAACCUGAGUUUAAAGGUUAGUAACUCUAUUUUUUUAGUGAUUUUUGCAAACAUUUUCUGAUAAAAGUUUUUCCAUAUUGAGUGAUCGUUGUGAAAAAUUAGGUUUUUCAAGUCUAUUUUUCAAAAUGACAAACUAUGUUUAAUUAUUGGUGGAUUCUUUUUUUGUUCAAUGUUGUAUUUUCUUAAUUUGUUGUUUUUAAUUUGCUCUUUAUGUAAUUGUUAGACGAAAUACACUAUAUUGGUAUCGUUAUAUUAAUAAGAUUGAAUUCAUUGUAUUUGCUUCUUUGUUCAUGUAAAAUUGAAUUCUAUUUGUUCUUAUGAGUGAUAAUUUUUCUAUCUAUUAGACUAAAUUCACUAUAUUCACUACUUUCUUUCUUUUUGCUGGGCUAUUUUUUCUUUUUAGUUUAUAUUUUUUAUAUGUAUUAGAUUGAAUUUGUUUUUGUACUUUUUUUAGCCGAAUUACAUGUAUAUUUCAUUUAGGUUGAGUUUUUUUGUUGUUUGCUAAAUAAAAUUAUAUUGGUUUAUCCUUUUUUGAUGCAAUACUUUUUGUUUUAAAUUGAUGCAGGUAGCCAUGUUACCUUUUGUUUCGAUUAAAAUUAAUGGGGUGAUGUAUGCGAUAGAAUAUAGGGAACCAGAGGAAUAUAAGAUUAUUAGGUUGUUUUUUGAAAUUCAAGAUGUCAUGGUUAAGCAUGGACAUAGUGAAAUGGAUUUGAUUGAAAUUUAUGUUGUAUUGCCAUGGACUACAAGUAGGCAGAGGAAGCUAAGUUCAAAUAAUAGUGAAUUGUAUUGGUGUUCGAGUUUUUUUUAUCAAUAGUUGUCCUGUCAUUGAGUUUGAGGUGCACACUGGGUCAGGUGGUCAGUCAUUUCAUGAAAGUGUUGUAAUAGGAUCUGAAAAUCCUGUCAAUAUAGGUGUUAGUGUUGUAAUAGUGAUAAGUUUGAAAAUCCUGUGGCUAAAAAGGGUCUGCCUAGAAUAAUUGGUACUUCUUUAUUUGCCUCAAAGUCCAACACUAUAAAAUCCACUACGAAAAAGAAUUUAUCCACUUUAACCAGCACAUCUUCAAUCCUGCCUUCAGGAUAAGCAUGAGAUAUGUCAGCACAUUGCAAUGUCACUGUGGUUGGUCUGACUUCUCCAACUCCGAAUUGCUUGAAUUCUGAUAAUGGCAUAAGAUUGAUGCUUGCUCCCAAAUCACAAGGUGUCUUGGGGUAAUUUUUAGGGACCUCCCCUGAGGUUUGGUGUAUUAAUACUUAAAUAGAAUGUAUCCAUGUGCCAUUAGUUACUAAUUAGGUUGACCGUUAGUAGACAUUCAAAAUUAGUGAAAUAUCCUUCUUACUGAAAUAAUAAAUUAUUAAAUAUAGUUUUGAGAAAUCCAUUGGCAGUGAGGAUUCCGUUGAAAAUCCAUUUCAACAAAAUGGAUGUUGGUGGUGUGAAAAAGUGUGCUACCUGGUUUGGGGUUGUUUGAUGGAAUGGACAACAAUGAUAUGGAACCAUCACUGUCCUCUGGUUGUUGCUUCGCUGGCCUCCUCGAAAGUGAGCAAAAAUGGUUCAAAGUCUCACACACCACAAGCGCCAUAGCUAUGCCACCAAGUCCAACCAGCACCGCGUCGUCAAAACCCUUGGGGGGAAGCUGCUUUACUAGAGAACCAAGAAGAGAGCAAGUGAGCCUAAGUGUCCUGUCACUGGAAAAAGGAUCCAAGGAAUUCCUCACUUGAAAUAAAUUAUUAAUUUUCUUAUGAAAUUUUGACUUGUAUGAAUUAUUUAUAAUGGCAUUUUGUGCCGUUCUAUUUAAAUGUGAAUGGGUAUUCGGUUUUUUCUUCGAAGUUUCUUUACCCAAAAAAAAAAAAUUGUAACCAUCACCGUCGGCAGAAAUUGUGGCAGUGGCAUGUGGCAUGACAAGCCGCCUGCGAGGGUUUUGUGAUUUGUGUGCAAUUGGGUUUUGGGAUGUCAGAGGUUGCGACGUGGUAUUGUUGAGUGUUAGAAAAUGCAUAUUUAUAAAGGAGAAAACCAUUAUUUUACAUUUUAAGUCUUACUAACAACCCUUACUUUUAUGUUUUUAACAUUCUUGUGAUUUAAUUACGUGUGUUUUAUUUUAAUUAAGUAAUUUAUGUAUUUUAAGGGCAUUAUAGUCAUUUCACAAUAAAGGAGAGAUCAGACGGCAAAACGGACAUCACUUUUGUACUCAGGACGGUCAAAAACCUUAAGAGGAGCAUAAAAAGAAAAAUGGCACUAUUCACAUGUACGGUACUGUAUACGUUACUGUUCACGACACUGUUCACAUAGACGGAUGAUGAUGUGGCAUUGACCGAUGAUGUGGCAUUGACUGAUGAGGUGUCACGAUCCUGUUGGACUAAAAUUCUUAUGUACUGUUGAUGGUGACGUGGCAGCAUAUCAGUGGACGAAAAAUCUCGCGUACGGUGCAUGCAUCACACAGGAUUAUUUUCAACCAAACUGCGUUACUGUUCAUCCGGGUCAAACCGCGUUACUGUUCAAAGUCAGGUCAAACCGUGUUACUGUUCAUCCGUGUGGUCAAACCGUGGACUGUUGACUGAUGACGUGGCGCAAUCCUGAGCGUCCAAACUGUUUUUAAUCCGAUGGCCAUGAUUUACUCCAUGUAUCUAUAAAAAGGGGGCCUCUCCCCCCUAAUUUGAUAUCUCUGAAUCCAUUUUUGGGAUCCAUUUUCUGUAAUUCCCUCUCCAUCUUGUAUUUUUUUCGUAUUUUAAUAAAUUCUCAUUUUGCCCUUAGUUCAAUUAUGAGUGGCUAAUUUUCUUUCAAGCUUGGGUUGAAGGUGAAGUCUCAACAUGUGUCAUGGGCUUUAUUUGGUAAAUUUAUUUUCUCUUCCCCUCUAGUUUUUGUGGAUGUUUUGACUUCUCGUCGACAAAUAAUACUAAUCUUGUCUAGUACCGCAUUGGUUUCACCGGCCCUCUAGUACAAGGUUAUUAUUAUUUGGCACGAUAAGCCCUUAGCACUAUAUUGAUUAGAGCGUGGUUCAUGAGGUGUGGAUUCCCCCCUCAUGAUUUAAUUGGCAUUAAUAAGGAUUAUUUAGCCCAUGAUGGAUGUUGAUACGGAUCUAGAUACCCAAGUACGUCAUUUUAAUAGAAUUCUCUUCAAUUUAUUCUCGUCAUUUCAAUUCCAAUUUUAGAAUUUAUUCUCGCCAUUUUAAUUUAAGUUUUAGCAUAUCCCAAAUCAUUUCCACCACAAAUCCAAUCACCCAUUUACAAAAUUAAUUCUACACAAUUAAAAUCCACCUCCUCGUGGGAUCGACACUCGUCACCAUUAGUUUAUACUACAAUAGAUUCGUGCGCUUGCGAGUACAUUAAAAUUUGCACAACAGGUUUUUGGCGCCGUUGCCGGGGAGGUAAGUAAUUUUAAUUCAUAGAAUUAAUGUUUGUGAAUAAUUUCUUUUAUUUUUUUUAUUGUAUUUUUUUUAUUAUUAAAAAAAAGUGAAUCCGCAUUUAGAGGUUAGUAAUUUCUUUUCUUUUUCUCUUCUUUAAAUUUCUGUAAUUUAAUUUUCAAGUUAUUUUUUUUUCUUUGUAAUUUUUGUUUAUCUUACUAAUUCUUUUUAGUUAAUUUAUUUCCCCUAUUUGUUUUUGUGUAUUUUUAUACAAGUUUGUAUAGCGCAAUAAGGUUAGUAUCGUAAUUUCUCCCUUUUCUUUAUUUUUAUUUGUUUUGUUCCCAUCUUUAUUUUUAUUUUAUUUAUUUUGCAUGUAUGGUCGUAGGUCAUUAUUACCUAAUCUUGAACCUAUAGACCUUGAACUUGAGAAAACACUUCGCACACACAAACAAGUAAAAAAUAAAAUGGUUUUGCAACCACAGGAGAGACCAUUUAAAGAUUAUUUCAGUCCUUUAGCAAAUUUGAGCACAUCAUGUAUAAGAUACCCAAAUGUAGUUGCUAGGAGCUUUGAAUUAAAACCUAGUGUGCUAAAUUGUCUCCCCACAUUUUAUGGCCUAGAAAAUGAGGACCCAUAUAAUCAUCUGAAUGAUUUUCAUGCCAUUUGUCAAACUUUUAAAUAUGAAAAUUUUUCAGACGAUGAUGUUAAACUUACAUUAUUCCCAUUUUCUUUAAAGGAUAGAGCUCGUUCAUGGUUAAAUACUUUACAUGCUAAUAGCAUUUCAUCAUGGGAACAAAUGGUAACUAAAUUUUUGAAUAAAUAUUUCCCAGUGCAUAAAACCAAUGCUAUUCGUAGGGAAAUCUCGGAGUUUACCCAGAGAGAGGACGAGCAAUUUUUCGAAACAUGGGAGCGAUUCAAUGGGCUACUCUUGAAGUGUCCACAUCAUGGGUACGAGAAAUGGCACCAAUGUCAAUACGUUUUGAAGGGAUUACUACCGAAUGUGCAAGAAUGGCUAAUGGCAACGAGUGGAGAAGAGCUAAUGUCAAAAAGUGCAUUAGAGAUUUGGGAAUUCUUCCAGCGACAAGCAGAUAAUUCCUAACAACGGAGUCGAUCACUCAGGACUACUAGAAGAAUUAAAGGAGUGAAUGAGGUUCAAAUUGGCGAGUCAACUUCGGGAAUCAAAGAAGUUAAGGAGAUGGUUGAAGGUCUUGCUCGACAAAUAGCAUCGUUAUCGACUGCAAAAUCAACAGAACCACAUGACCAUGACUCAUAUCCAGACCAAGCCAAUGCCAUAGGUAUAAUGAGAAAGCCAUCAAAUUACAACCCAUACUCCAAUACAUAUAACCCUGGAUGGAGAGACCACCCCAAUUUUUCAUGGUCUCAAGGAUUCCAACAGAAUGGACCAACAGCUCCAGCUCCACCAAUGCAACAAAUUCCUCAAGCCUCUCAGCCCCCAUUUAGACCAUUCAAUCAGAAUCAGAACUACUCUCAACCCAGACCAUGGGAGGAUGCAUUCCAGAAUCUCAAAAAUGUUACUCACUCCAUGAUUGAGCAACAGAACCGUACCAUUGAUGGACUACGAAAUGAGUUGAGAGCAGGCUUCAACUCACAAGCUCAAUCAGUUUUAAGCCUCGAGAAGAUGGUGGGACAACUUGCUUCUUCAAUUCAGACCUUGGCAAUGACUGUUGAAAAAGGAAAAUUUCCAAGUCAACCAGUGCCUAAUCCUAAAGGAGUACAUGAAGCAAGUACCAGUUCACCACAGCAGCAUGGAGAGGUCAAAGCAGUCAUGACUUUGCGAAAAGGAAAAGAAGUCGACAAUAAAGUGGAGAUGCCGGUGACAAAAGAAAAUCAAAUUGUACCUGUGAAUGUUGAUGACUCAUCACCGGAGGAGAAAAAAGAAACUAACCCACAAGAAUACGUUCCCAAAGCUCUAUUUCCUCAAAGGUUAGCUAAAGGAAAGAAAGGAAAAUCCACAGGUGAGAUUCUUGAAAUCUUCAAACAGGUAAGUGUUAACAUUCCUUUGCUAGAUGCUAUUAAACAAGUUCCAUCUUAUGCCAAGUUUCUUAAAGACCUUUGUACUAAAAAGAGAAAUAUGCAUGUUCAAAAGAAAGCAUUUUUAACAGAAAACGUUAGUUUUAUACUCCAACAUAAAAUUCCUUUAAAAUGCCAAGACCCAGGCUCCCCCACUAUCUCAUGUAGUAUAGGGAACCACACAAUUGAGAAUGCUUUGUUGGAUUUAGGAGCUAGUGUAAAUCUUUUGCCUUACUCUGUAUUCGUGAAACUUGGACUUGGAGAAUUACACCCAACUCCAGUGGUGUUACAGCUUGCAGAUCGGUCCACAAAAAUACCUCGUGGUAUUGUGGAGGACGUGCUUAUCCAGGUAGACAAGUUUUAUUUUCCUGUUGAUUUCAUUGUAAUCGACACUCAACCAAUACAGGACUCGAGGAAGCACAUCCCCAUUAUUCUAGGCCGACCUUUCUUGGCAACUGCGGAUGCUCACAUUCAAUGCAGGACUGGAAAUAUGUAGUUGUCCUUCGGCAACAUGACUAUGGAGCUAAACAUUUUCAACAUUGCCAAACAACCUCACAGUGCAGAUGAUGGAAUUGUUGAUGUGGAUUUAAUUGAAGCAUUAGUUGAUGACACUUUUCUUUCAAACCUUAGUGAUGAUCCUUUACAAACAUGUUUAACUCACUUUGGUUUGGAUUUUAAUAUUGACAAAUCGGUCGAAGAGUUCAAUGCCCUACUUGACUCCGCACCAUCCAUGGACACUAAUAAAUGGAAGUCAAGAGUUGAACAACUAGCACCAUCAGAGAAGAAACUCAUCCCAUCAUCAGAAUCACUACCAAAACUCGAGCUCAAACCAUUGCCCAACACUUUGGAAUAUGCGUUUUUAGGAGAAGAAAGCACUCUAUCGGUAAUCAUCUCAUCAUCCCUAAACGAUGAACAAAAAGGUAAGUUAUUGGAUAUUUUAAAAGAGCACAAAGGAGCAUUAGGAUGGACCAUAGCAGACAUAAAAGGUAUAAAUCCAGUAGACUGCAUGCAUUACAUUCACCUUGAUGAAAAUGCUAAAUCUACUAGGGAAAUGCAACGUCGGUUAAAUCUUAAUAUGAAAGAAGUUGUUAGAACAGAAGUCCUUAAGCUAUUAGAUGCAGGUAUCAUUUACCCCAUUUCUGAUAGUUCAUGGGUUAGUCCUGUGUAAGUUGUCCCCAAAAAGUCAGGAGUCACUGUAGUUACCAAUGCCGAUAAUGAAUUGAUACCCACUAGAGUGACUACAGGAUGGCGUGUAUGCAUUGAUUAUAGGAAGUUGAAUUCUGUCACACGUAAAGACCAUUUUCCUUUACCAUUUAUUGAUCAAAUGCUUGAUAGAUUAGCAGGUCAUGAAUUUUAUUGCUUUCUAGAUGGCUACUCAGGAUACAAUCAGAUCCCCAUAACACCAAAAGAUCAGGAGAAAACUACUUUCACUUGCCCUUUUGGUACAUUUGCAUAUAGGAGAAUGCCAUUUGGAUUAUGCAAUGCACCUGCUACAUUUCAACGAUGCAUGUUGAGCAUUUUUUCUGAUAUGGUUGAACGAUUCCUUGAAGUCUCUAUGGAUGACUUUUCUGUCUUUGGUGACUCGUUUGAUCAAUGUUUACAUCAUCUAACACUAGUUCUGCAGAGAUGUAUCAAGAAGAACUUGAUCUUAAAUUGGGAGAAAUGCCAUUUUAUGGUAAAACAAGGUAUUGUUCUCGGUCACAUCAUUUCGAGCAAAGGUAUUGAGGUUGACAAAGCCAUCAUUUCUAAUCUUCCUCCACCUAAAACAGUCAGAGAAGUAAGAUCUUUCCUUGGGCAUGCUGGUUUUUAUAGACGUUUCAUUAAAGAUUUUAGCAAAGUUUCUAGACCCUUAUGCAAUUUACUUCCUAAGGAUGUACCUUUUAUCUUUAAUGAUUCAUGUCUUGUGGCUUUUGAAAAAUUAAAGCAGUUGUUGACAUCAUCACCCAUUAUUCAGGCCCCGAACUGGAGCUUACCAUUUGAACUCAUGUGUGAUGCAUCUGAUUAUGCAGUAGGAGCAGUAUUAGGACAAAGAGUUGAUCGAAUUCCCCAUGUUAUUUAUUAUGCUAGUAUGACAUUGAAUGAUGCACAGUUGAACUAUUCAACUACUGAAAAAGAAAUGCUAGCAGUAGUGUUUGCAUUGGAGAAAUUUCGUUCUUAUCUCAUUGGUUGUAAAAUAAUCGUGUUCACAGAUCAUGCUGCUCUUAAAUAUCUUCUCACAAAGAAAGAUGCAAAAGCUAGACUAAUUCGUUGGGUGUUACUUUUGCAGGAAUUUGACUUGGAGUUCAAAGAUAAGAAAGGGACAGAAAAUGUUGUGGCAGACCACCUCUCUCGUCUCCAUUUUGACACAAUUACAGAAUCAUUACCAUUGAAUGAGUCAUUUCCAGAUGAACAAUUAAUGAAUAUGGACGUAUUACCUUGGUAUGCUGAUAUAGUUAAUUAUCUUAUUACAGGUAAACUUCCAGAGCAUUGGACCAACCAAGACAAGGCUAAAUUCUUUGCAGAAAUAAAGAAUUUCUUUUGGGAUGACCCGUAUUUGUUCAAGUAUUGUGCAGACCAAAUUGUUAGACGAUGCAUCCCAGAAAGUGAAAUUCAGAAUAUCCUUUCAUUCUGCCAUGAACAAGCUUGUGGAGGCCAUUUCAGCGCUAAGAAAACAGCGACUAAAGUUUUACAAUGUGGUUUCUAUUGGCCAACUAUAUUUCGAGAUGCUUACACUUUCUGUUCUUCAUGUGAUAGGUCUCAACGAAUGGGGAGCAUUACACGAAGGAACAUGAUGCCACUAAAUCCAAUUUUAGUGGUUGAGAUUUUUGACGUAUGGGGUAUCGACUUCAUGGGACCCUUUCCCCCGUCUUUUGGCCAUCAAUACAUAUUGGUUGCUGUUGACUACGUAUCCAAAUGGGUAGAAGCAAUUCCAUGCAAAACUAAUGAUCACAAGGUGGUGAUAGUAUUUUUGAAAAGCAACAUUGUUUCACGCUUUGGAUUCCCUCGAGCGAUAAUCAGUGAUGGUGGUGCCCACUUUUGUAACAAAGCAUUCAAGGCUCUUUUGACAAAGUAUUCAAUCACACACAAAGUGGCGACUUCGUAUCAUCCGCAAACCAGUGGCCAAGUUGAGAUCUCCAAUCGAGAAAUAAAGCACAUAUUAGAAAAGACGGUGAGGCCAGACAGAAAAGAUUGGCCAUUAAGACUUGAUGAUGCCUUAUGGGCAUAUAGAACGGCUUUCAAGACCCCGAUUGGGAUGUCACCCUACAGGCUAGUGUAUGGAAAAGCUUGCCACCUACCUGUGGAACUCGAGCAUCGUGCAUAUUGGGCCAUCAAGAAAUUCAAUUUUGACAUGCAGCAAGCCAGCUCAGAAAGAAAAUUACAGCUGGCAGAACUUGAAGAAAUUCGCAAUGACGCGUACGAAAAUGCCAAGAUUUACAAGCAACGAAUGAAAGUCUUCCAUGACAAGCAAAUUAUGAGAAAAUCUUUCACUCCAGGUCAGAAAGUGCUUUUAUUCAAUUCUCGCUUGCACCUAUUCCCAGGUAAGUUACGCUCUCGUUGGUCUGGCCCAUUUAUUGUUCAUACUGUUUUUCCAUAUAGGGCAAUUGAAAUUAAGGACCCAAAGAACGGUGUCACGUUUAAAGUUAAUGGUCAAAGAUUAAAGCCAUAUCUAGAAUACCAAUCAUAUGGAGAAGACACCGAAAUAAAUUUGAGUGACCCACCAGAUUUGAAUUGAUUUUUCUUUUCGUUGAUUUGAUUUUUCUUUCUUUCUUUAUAUUAUUCUUUUGCUAAUUGAAAUUAUUUUUGCAUAAGUAUGUUUGUUUAACUAGUAAGUUUUCUUUUAUCAUUUUUAAUCAUGAGUACAUUACUUAGACCGUUCCUCCUGAACAUUCUUAAACCACUUCAACGUGUCAAAACUCAUCUCAAAAGGCAGAUUCAAUUUUGUAAAACACAUCGCAUUUGGCUCUACAAUCACCAGAGUUAGUAGCCUAUGUUGAGGGUUUAGAAAGCCAACUCAGAGACAUUAAGAGAAGUGUUUACGACAUCCAGUUGGAGCUUGAGGUAAAUUCAAUAAGAGGACGGCUUUAAUUUUCUUUGUGUGUUUUAAUUUGUUUUUAUGUUUGUGUGCUUUAGUUUGUUACCCCGGUGAAGUGGCGGAUAACGGUACUCUGUGACAAUCAAGUCGGUUACUUCAGUUUCCCAUAAUAAUUGAUAUUCUGAGGCGAAAGUAUGGACAGAAACGAGAUUCUAGCGAAGCUUCACAAUUGAUUCCCUUCACUUCCUCAGAAUGCCCUCCUUACGAUCUAUAAAGCUCGGUCCGAACGCAUGCGAUUACUCAUGAGGAAUAACAUAUCUGCUGACAUCCGUUGGUUAACCGAGGCUAAAGUACGAUCGGCAGGUGAGUUACCUCCAAAAUUUAUUGCAUACAUGCCUGGUUGUGGUAAAGGAAAUUAUGCAAGAAAACGACGAGCUCGAAGAAUUUCUGUUGCUUGUCAUAAGUGUGCCAGAAUGAGUUGCAAUAAAAACCCAUGUUCUUUAGGAAUGGUGUCUGAUAACAGGGAAGAUAAGAUUCAAUUCAUUAGGGAUGGCUUGAAUAAGGAGUCAUUGGAUGAUAUCCUUUUGUCUCUUGAAACGCAUCCCAGUGGAUAUGUGCAAGGAGCGAUUCUCCAGUUAUGACCAUUAUUCUAGAAAGAGCAUGCACGAUAUAGUCUCGGGAAUCUGACUAUAAACGACCCUGUUUGCCAGUUUAUAAGAAAACUGGAUAGGAAGCCUAUCCUCGACCCAUAGAGGGCGUUCAAGCCGUUUCUGGACGUAAAACCAGAGGAAGAUGUGAGCCACAGUCGCAACUACCUGUAAAUAUCCUUUCACUUUACUGUUAUUUUAUUUCACUAUUGUUUUAUUGUGUGUAUUAUUGUCCUUAAUAAUUUUAUUACUGUUUAUUUUUUUCUUAUUACUGUUUACUUUUUCCUUUUUACUGUUUCCUUUUUGACUCGCGAGCCACGUGCUUUACGCAUUAUUUGACACUGACAUGUUACCUCAUACACAACUGUGACCCACUGUCACCAAGACUCUUAAAUGUGAUUUUUUUUUUCAAGCACUCACAAAUUGUUUUUCGAGAAGUAUCACAAUGGCAGCUACUCCAAAUAGACAAUUCAAGAACAUUUGUGUGCUUUCUGGAUUUACCUAUGGCAAACAUAAAGAGUUCGUUGAGGCAGCCAUCGAUCUUGGUCGAAGUAUAGCAGAGAGAAAAUUACACUUGGUGUAUGGAGGAGGUAACCGAGGGUUAUCAAAAAUGGUCUCUGAAGCAGCUUUUGUCAGAGGAAGUCAAGUGUUAGGCAUCAUCCCAAGAGUCUUAAAACCGUUGGGCAGUUCGUCUGACUCAUCAACUGGAGAAGAGUUAGUUGUCUCAGGUAUGCAAGAAAGAAUAACUGAAAUGCUUAAUCAUGCUGAUGCUUUUAUUUUCCUUCCAGAAGAUCUUGCAACACUAGAGGCACUUAUCACACUAGCAUCUUGGGCCCAUCUCCACAUCCACCAGAAACCCAUCGGUUUGUUAAAUGUCAAUAACUUUUAUGAUGGCUUUAUCGCAUUUCUUAACCAUGCAAUAAAAAACUAUUUCAUUCCCGCUAAUGUGAAAAAACUCUUUAUUUGUGCUCACACUGCUAAUGAGCUACUUGAUCUGUUACAAGCUUAUAGACCGGAGCCAGACCCCUGGACCUUUGUGUUGGAGCGUCCAAAUAAUGAUGGUAACAGUAGCAGCAGUAAGAAGUACAAAUUAGAUUUAACUCUCCACCUGUAAAUAUUUUCUUCUGUGUUGCACCACCCAGGUGAUGUCUUCUAAACUUUACUUCUUUCCUUUCAAACAUUGAGGACAAUGUUUCAUUCUGGUUGGGGGGAGGGAAUAGUCGACAAUUGUGGAAUCUUGGUUAGGUUUUUACUGAUUUUUUGUUGUAGAAACUAACUGUUGCUAACUUUUUGUGUUGAAGAUGGCUGAAUAUGGAGUAUAGUUACUCUAGAAACGCAUCUUCAUUGUUUGAAAAAAAAACAAAAAAAAAAUUUCAAAAAAAAAAUUCAAAAAAAAAUUCAAAAAAAAAAAAUUAGACAUUUUCUUUUUCUUUAUUAAGUUUUGAUGUUUAUUUUUCUUCUUUUUAAUUUCUCCUCUAUGAAUAUACAUUUUCCAACUUUUGAGUCGAAGAUUGCUGAAUAUGGAGUGUAGUGCCUCUAGAAACGCAUCUUCUUAGUAAAAAAAAAAAUCAUUUUCUUUUUCUAUCAUUUUAAGUGUACUUUUUCUAAUUUGUUUUUUUUUUUGCAUCAUUUUCACAUUUCUGCAUGCAUAUUUUUCUUUUAUGUUUAGAAUAGGUUGGGGGGUAGAAUGUUGUUUAAAAAAAAAUGUGUGGUUUGUUUUAACAUUGGAUGACAUGAUUAAUUUCAAAUUUUAGUAUUUGUAUUAUCUUUGGUCUUAAGUGAUGUUACAUUAUGUUUGCUACUCUACAUGUUGAUGUUGGAGACAAAUAUGAGUUGCUUGAAGGAAUGAACAUGUCAUAAUAAGUACCAAGUGAGUUUUUGAGCCUAUCAUUUUUCUUGGAGAGUAACCCUUUUGCCCAUUCUUUAUACAGCUUAACAGUUUAUUAUUGUAUACACGAUCUCUAUAUUUCUUUUGAGUUAACCCUUAAAAAAAAUUGUAAAACUAAAAAAAAAGAGAAAAAAAAGAAACAAAAUGUGUGUUGCUACAUUUGGAGGCCCAUCUAACUAGUAGAUAUGGAUGAUUAUUUAGAGCCCUAAAAGACGAUAGAAAGGCCAUCUUUGAUCCGUUUGAACCUUUCUAGCCAUCCCUUUUAUUAAAUAUCCAUAGUUAACCCUUUUGAGCCUUUAAAAAUAUAUAUAUAUAUAUUUUCUUUGUCAACUUAUCAUCUUGACCCACUCUGAUUUGGAGUAUUACCCGAUGCCUUAUAAGUUCCAUCACCUAUUUAUGUUUGAGAAAAUGUAAAUAAUUAUUUUGUUCAGUGAAGUUAUGCCAAAUAAAAGCAAAAAAAAAAAAAACAAAACAAAAGUUGUUGUUUCAAAAGAAUAAAAAUAACAACAAUAGGUGAAAUCCACCUCGCAUCUUCUUAAAAAAAAAAAAUCUCUGCAUUUUUCUCAAACAUACACUUUGUUUUCCUUAUUUCCCUUCUUUGUUAACCAUGUCCCUAGCUUACGUUACGUCCUAAUAAAAGUCCUUCUUGAUUUUAGGAAACUAUAGUCCGAAGUAGAAGCUAGUUAUAUGGGCUAAAAAGAUGUAGUGAUGCAUAAUUAAAAAAAAGAUAAACAAAGUGGGUUGACUAACAUUUUAUUUGACUUGAGAUCGUAUUAUUUCUAAGCUGAGGACAUAUUUAUUUCAUCUUGGUGAGAGCAUGUGAUAUCACUUCUUUAUUAUUUUCUCUCUCAAUUACCAUUCAUUGGAAUGACUAUUUUUAUUGGGUUUAAUUUAUUUGUGAGAGUGUCACUACUUCCAGUGAGAUUUUGGGGUUUGACAUGUCAUUCUUGAAAGUAGCUAUAACAAAGUCUACUAGGCUAAUUCAUGUGGAUGGUUGAUAUGGGUGUGAUAUUUCUUUAGACUGGAGAUAAUGCUUAUACUUUUAUUUGAUUGCUAUCAUUCAUCUGAUUGAAUAAAUAAGAGUGUUUCAAAAAAAAAAUCAUUUUGAAUUUGAAUUUUGUUUUCGCUUUAUUUGCUAGGGACUAGCAAUAAGCUGGUUAGGGGGUGUGUUGAGUGUUAGAAAAUGCAUAUUUAUAAAGGAGAAAACCAUCAUUUUACAUUUUAAGUCUUACUAACAACCCUUACUUUUAUGUUUUUAACAUUCUUGUGAUUUAAUUACGUGUGUUUUAUUUUAAUUAAGUAAUUUAUGUAUUUUAGGGGCAUUAUAGUCAUUUCACAAUAAAGGAGAGAUCAGACGGCAAAACGGACAUCACUUCUGAACUCAGGACGGUCAAAAACCUUAGGAGGAGCAUAAAAGGAAAAAUGGCACUAUUCACAUGUACGGUACUAUUCACGUGUACGGUACUGUAUACGUUACUGUUCACGACACUGUUCACAUAGACGGAUGAUGACGUGGCAUUGACCGAUGAUGUGGCAUUGACUGAUGAGGUGUCACGAUCCUGUUGGACUAAAAUUCUUAUGUACUGUUGAUGGUGACGUGGCAGUAUAUCAGUGGACGAAAAAUCUCGCGUACGGUGCAUGCACUUGGGUUAAUGUGUGUUGGUGGACACAGUUGAUUCAAAGGCUACUAUGAAUGGGGUUGGUCAUCGUCGUGAGGAGGGAACUCCAGCACUAGUAAAGCACCACCACCAACCACCGGUGGAGCCAUGAUCAACUGCUCAAGGGUGGGUCAACAGGGGGCAAGUGGUGGUCAAAAUUUUAUUGAUCUAGUAAAAGCAUACAUUUUCAGUUUUUAAUAUGUUUUUACACAUUUACCCUUCUAUACUGAUGUUAUACGUAUUUUCAUAUUAACGGCAGGGGAGGUAUAUGUAAUUACACGAAUACAUUCCAUCUAAGUGUUAAUACACCAAACCUCAGGGGAGGUCCCUAAAAAUUACCCAAGUGUCUUGCCACUGUAUUUAGUUCCUAUGGAACAAGGAAUUGUGAAACUUCCUGGAUCCUUCAACUUCUGAGGCAUUUUACUCUGAAGCAUAUGGCUGCAUUCUUGUGUUAGACCAACUAUUUCAAAUUCUCCAAGCCUCAUUUUCCUUACCAAUAUACAUUUUCAAAACUUUACAUAAUUUGGCAUUUAUUCUAAUGCUUCCACAAAAGGAAUGUUGAUAUGUAGUUGUUUCAAUACUUCCAAGAAUUUACUAAACUACUUGUCUUGCUUUCACUUCUGAAAUCUUUGUGGGAAGGGUGGUGGAUGUGUAAAUUGUUAUACUGCAGCAGACUGUACAGAUUGCUUUUCUCUUGCUCUAUUAUAGUUUGUUAUUGUUAGUGCUGUAGCUUCUUCCUCAACAAGCACUGAAUCAUGUUUUUCUGCAGUUGCUAUAGCUUGGCAACUCUCACCAGUGUGCUGGAAAAUGGGUUAUUGUGUCUCUUUUUUAAUUUGAGUUUCCCCUUGGGUUGAAUUAGGUUCAACUCUUCUUUUUGGUACUUUAACAAGAAUAUGAAGAUCUUUUCCAGACCUUAAGUUAAUCCCCUUACAAUGCUCGUUUCCUUCUCUCUUUGGAUCCUCUGUAUUGUUUAGUAAAUUGUCCUAAGGUAUGUUGCUCAAUGUUGUAGCAAGCUGUCCAAUCUUAUUCUCCAAGUUUCUUAAAAAUACAGGUUGGCUUUAGACCACUACUUCAAUCUUCACAAUAUACUCCUUAAUCAGAGUUUCAAGGGAACUAAAUUGAUCAUUACUGGUGUUUCUUUACCCUUAAAAUUGUUGGUGAAAACCAGGUGGCUGAGUAGGUCUUUUCUGUCCACUGGAUGCUGUGGCAUGCUGAUUCUGAUUGCUCCAUGAAAAAUUUGGGUGAUGUCUCCAUCCAAGGUUAUAGGUGUUUGAAAAUGGAUUGCUUUGAUUUUGUUUAUUAAAAUUGCCCACAUAAUUGACUGAAGCUGAAUUCCUAGGACAAUUAUCAUAUAGAUGUCCCUCUCUAUAAUAAACACAAGAGACUUCAGCAACUUAGUUAACUGUUGCUGGAACAGUGGCCGUUGCUUUUACCAUAUUUGUCAAUGAGGUUACUUGGGCUGAUAAUGUUGUCAGUGCAUCCACAUUGUGUACUCCUGCUGCUCCUCUCACUGUGGCUUGUCUAGUUGAUGGUCAUUGAUAGUUAUCCUUUCCAAAAUUUCGUAAGCCUCAUUAUAUGAGUUAGACAAUAAAGCCCCUAGUGCUUGAGUUCAACCCAUUGUAGAAAGUUUCCAAUUGUAUGCAAUAAGGAAUACCAUGAUAAGGGCAUCUCCUGAGUAACUCCUUGAAUCUUUCUCAUGCAUCAUACAAGCUUUCAUCUUCAAGUUAAUGGAAAGAUGUGAUCUCAUUCUUCAACUUUGCAUUCUUUGUUGGUAGGAAAUAUUUCAUCAAAAUUUUGUCAGCCAAAUCAUUCCAUGUGGUGAUGGAGUCUGGUGGCAAAGAACUCCAUUGUACCAACUAAAAUUGAUUUCACAAAACACAAUAACCACCAAUCCCCGGCAAUGGUUCAAAAAAUUUGUUGUCGAUUUUCUAAUGCUAUUAGUGUCAAUGUGAAAAUGUACACAACAAGUAAUAUAACGAUAAGUAUUCAAGAUCGUCUCCACAAGGAUUAUUAUUAUAGGAAUUGCUACAAUAAUUUUAUCAGUGCCAUUCUUAUUAUAAAUUAGAAUUAAAAAAAAUUAUUCAACUAAUAAACUAAGGCAGAUCUUAUUGGGCUACUCGGCAAGGUGUUGCUUUAGGUCGUGUGGAAUAGUUGCGGGAGUGAUCUUGCAUGAUGUGUGGAGCUAUAACAGUGCUGAGCAUGGGCCAAUCUAUGGGCUCAUGGAACUAGCGAACCUAUUCUAGAAUUUUGAGGAAGAGUACUCUGGUUAGUACUCUAAAUUACCUUAUUAUAUUUUGCACAAACAGAGGCAUGUUAGUGAAAUAAUAUCUAAGCAACCCAAGAGGGGGUGAAUUGGGUUUCUAAAAAUUAUGCAAUUCUUAAACAAAACUUAAUGCAAAUCUUAAACGAAUUUAAAGCAAUAAUAAAUAAAUCAACCAAAAUAUAAAAAGAUAAGGGAAGAGAGAUUAAAACACAGAGAGUUUUACGUGGUUCGGCCAACCUUGCCUACAUCCAUGCCUCCAAGCUCACCGAGCUUGGGCAUUCCACUAGUCAAGCCUUCAAGGCUUCAAGAAUACUUAUAAUAGACUUCUUAGGUGUCAAUCAACCUUCACAUCUAGAGAUUAUCCCCAAUCUUUUAACCCAAGUGUAUCCCAACAUUUACAAUCACUCAAAAUAAAGAUUACAAAUUUAUUUUUCUUUCAUACAAUUUUUUAAGAUUACAAAUCAACGCUAAUGUGUGAAUAAAUGAACAAGAAUGAAUUUGAAGCUCAAUAAAUGUUGUAUUCUCGAUUAUAAGCUCAAUGAUAACGUUGUGAUAAGCUCUUGUUUGAAUUUGAUUGAGCUUAUUUAUAGUUGGAGUUGAAAAAUAGCCAUUGUUGACUUUUUCCCGAAAUUGGAUCGCCGUUAACCGUUUUGACUGGUCCAAGUGACCAUUGAGCUGAAUUUCAAAUAAACGGUUGAUCAUUUGACACUAUCGGUUUGCCGUUAAUUUCCAUAAACCUGUAAAACAAAUUUCUGCUAUCCGUUCUUGCUAAACAGUUGAAGGUCAGCAUGGAAUGACAUUAUGGAAAUUAUCGGUUGGCCGUUUGAAGUUAACGGGUCACCGUUUACUUCCAGAAUCACAGUUUUAACCAAAUUUCGCAGGGAAUUAUUUUUCAGUUAAAGUGAACGAUUAUCCAUAUUUCAUGAACACAUUUAGAAAGAUUAUACGACUUUUGAGAAAUUGUUAUUAAUGAAAACUCCAACAUUUUAAUAAAAAACAUUUAAAGUUUGUUAUCAUCAAAAUCAAUAUAAUGAACAUCUACAUGUUAACAGUUAGGCCUUGAUUAUUUUUUAAAUCUUAUAAGAUAUAGAGUAUUAAUAGUAACUCAAUUUUCAUAAAACAUGGAAAGAUCAGUCGCCAAAUUUCUAGAUGCCAUAGAUAAUCUAGACUUUAGUAAGGAAUAUCAAGUUAUUUAUACAAUGAAAAUUGUUAAAACUCGAUUAAUUGCAAGGAAACACUUGUAGAGAGAUAUGGAGAGAAUAAACUUUGAAGAUAACAAUGAAAUACAUGACACAUUUAAGGAAGAAAAUAUAAUAGUAUUAAUAGAAUCUAUUUUAACCGGUCUUAAGAUAAUUCAAGAUUGAUGCAAAAUAAAUAACAGGACUCUAAACCGUCCAUAAUCAGUCUAUUGAUUAAUAAUAACAAUAAUAGUGAUGUGAAAUUUUUUAUUCAGAAUGCUCAAUUUAGAUUAUAAUAUCUAUGUGAAAGCAUUGAUGACACGUACCUUGGUUGGGAAAAUAGAUUGGACACAUGGAUAUAUAUGUUGGAAGAAAAAAUCUAGUUUAUGUCUCAAGAGAGACAAUAACUUAUAAAUGCCGGUGCUAUAGUAUAUUCAGAUUUUAUAAAUCUUUAUAAAUUUAAUAAUCAUUUAGAUCUUCAUAAUAUUAUAAUAAAACUUUAAAAACUUUAAAAAAAUAUGUAGAAGAGAUGGAAGAAGAAAUCAUCCAGUUAUUCAAAAUCAAUUAAACAAAAAUAGAAGGUAAAAUCCAUGAAUUAUAUAAAUUAUACAAUUUCAUAGAAAUUUUGCAUAUAUUGCAAAAAGGUCCUUGUGGCACUAAUUAUGGGACUAGUGUAGCAUAAAUACUAAUAUUGCUUUUUAUUUUGUAAAUUAAUUGUUGCGUCAUAAUUUUUUUACAUACAAAUUUUAUGUUUUAAAAUAUGAAUUUUGUUUUUGUAUUUAGGGUUAAUUUUACAAUUUCAUACUUUGUUCAAUUAUAUGUACAGGUCCUUAACGUGUUGGUUGAUGUUGAAUAUUCAAAGAUCCACAAGCUAUCAAUGACAACCAAUCAAAUUAAACUAAUCAGUAAAUACAUAAUGACUGGGUUGUUUCCUAUGCUUGUUAAUGAUGUAGGAUGUUAUUUUAGGAAUUUAGAAUUUUAAUUUUUUAGGUCUUCUGAUAUUUUCUUUUUUAAUUAAAGUCAGUGUCUUAGUUUUUUUUUUAUUUCUGUUAUAAUUAUAAUUUACUUUCACUUUUUAAGUUAACUUAGGAAAAUAUAUUUACUGUAUUAUAAAUAAAGAAAUCUUGUUAUUACUUUAUAACUUCAACUUUAGUUAUUCAAUUAAAAACCACUCUUUUAUAAUGUCCUUUUGUAUUAUCUAUUAAAAACCCUCUUUUAUAAUGUUCUUUUGUAUUAUCUAUUAAAAACCCCUCUUUUAAAGUUGUUUGAUUAGAGCAUCAUCUAGCCUUGCUUAACGCAAUAUUAAAAAUUCCUUUGAGUUUAAUCACACGUCGAUUAGAGCAUAACUUAAUCGCAUUGACUUGGUUCAGUACUUGAACGAUAUCUAGUGUUUUGCUUCUGCUACACCCAAGGAGAAAAUUAAUUUCACCGUGAGAUAAGAGCAUUAAAAGGAAUUCAUAAGAAAUUUAAAUUAAAGCUAUGUUAAAUAUAUCGCUAGCUACUUGUUUUUGGAGGAAUUAAAACAAUUAAUUAGCUGCGAAGUGAAAAUGAAUAAAUAAAUGAAAUGAGGUUCAAAAUAAGUCUCGCCGCCUGGAUCCAAGGCCAAAACAUUCAUGAUAAGUUAGGUAAUUAAGUACAUGUUUUCAAGCUCUUCAUGAAGAAUAACGUUAUUGAAAUAAAUCACAAAGACCCCUGCGCAAAUUAUUACAUUGAUUAAAAAACAAAAAGCCAUAUCUUUAACAGGAUCGUGACUCUCGGACUGUUAAUUACUUUAUUCCCUGCUUGGCCAACAGCUGGCCACUAAACAAAAUCAUAUAAAUUUUAAAUUUAGUCAAAUUGGUCCCACUUGAGACAUCCUUUUCAUACAUAAAAUUGUUUAACGUCAAGGUUAAAUAUGAGAAGUUUGGUAGAGAAGGUAAAAAGGAAGUCUAUAUAAGGAGGGGAACGAGCUUUGUUUAUAGCACAAGUGAAACUCCACUUUAUUGAACGAUGGGGUCUCAAAUGGGCUGCCUCUUUGCCACUCUUUUGGUAGUAUCAGUCUCUCUUAGCUACUUGCCGUUAGAAGCCUCCGCAAACAAAUACUACUACACAUCUCCUCCCCCUCCCAAGUACAAGUCUCCACCACCCCCGCCACCGAUUCACAAUUCUCCACCACCACCCCCUGUUUACCUGCCCCCGCCACCUCCUCCACCAGUCUACGUGCCUGCUCCGGCACCAACUCCAAUUUCCUAUUCCCCGCCACCUCCUGUCCCCAAGUCCCCACCACCACCUCACCCUUACGUCUAUGCAUCUCCCCCUCCUCCUUACUACUACUAGAAAGCGGCCAUGAAUAGCUCAUGCUUUUAUGGUAAUCUCAUUUAUUUUUAAAACUGUACAUGUAAAGACUAGUAGUUCAGAAUUACAUUAAGCAUUUCAAUUUUGAGCACCGUAUUCUGUUUAAUUGCGUUCCUAUUGAUUAAGUGACAAAUAAAAGAGAUUGAUUAAUUUGUUCUUGUAGGAGAGGCGAAUGGUAUCCGAAUAAAGAAAGCAAGGGUUUGAUGGAAGGCUUACUUGGAGCAAGAUAGCGAUCAAUCGAGUUGCUGCGUUUUAUUCUCUUUUAUCUUUGUUUUUUAAGAAAAAUAAACUGCCACGCGUAGAAACAGAAAAUUAAGUUCUUGUCAUUUUCAUGCAUAUGGAUUGUUGAUGUGCGUGUCAAUCAAAUCUCCGGUGUGUCAUUUGUAAUUUUCAACCUUUAUGCAUGCAAAUGCGAGACCUCUUACGUCUAAUAAAAUUAAUAUACUUCCCAAGAUGGUCUUAUCUUGCGUUGACUUUUUACGUUCCUUUGGUGAUGAUUUUGACGUUUGAAAUUGAUGACUAUUGUUUUUGUAAACUCUGACAUGGAUUUUUCGUGCAACUACAGAGCACAUUAACGAGAGACUUAUCCAUGAGGGUCCAUGCAGAUCAGUGCUAAUUAACCAAUAAUUAAUAUAACUUAAAAAAUAUAGAGUUAACAAUUUUUAUGGGUCAGGCUCAAUUGCAGAUGUUCGUACAAAAUUUCUUGCUAAUGUAUACUUGAGUAUGAUAAUAAGUUUUAAUCAUUAUUAAUAAUUCACUUGAUAAUAUUAAACAAAUUUCCAUAUCAAUUAAGUUACAAAACUUCUGUGACAAAUUUCCACGUACUGGAACCAUGCAAAAGGGCUUUAUUCAAACAAAGCUGCAUAGCCGUUGGCAAUUAAAAUUAUUUAUCAAUUAAGUUAAGUAGUAAGAAUUGGAUUGUGGAUUCCAUUAAUUAUUUCAAGGAAAAUUUUAUAGAUAAUGCCGUAAUGAAAUUUACGGCAUCAAUACCAUGAUAAAUAUAAAUAUUGUAAAUUACAAAUAGAAUUAGUAAAUGUAAAGUAAAACCAGUAAAUUCAUAAAAGAUUAUUAAUUAUUUAAAAAUUUAACAUUGUUUCUACAUAAUUUUAGUGAAAAUAUUUUAUUCAUUUACAAAAAACUUUUCUUUAAUUAAACAAAAAAAAUUCAUUAAUUAAGCAAAAAAAUUAUACUGAAAAAAAAGUGGAAUAAGUUUUUUUAUCAGUGGUGUGGACUUUGUUGUAAUAGAGAGAUUACACAGUUGCUGCAGUAAGGAAGAAAUCAAUGUUGUAACAUUUGAAGAACUUGAUGAUGAAGAUCGUGGAGCGGCUAACAUAGCACGGUCAGGGGAUAAGCAACCCUUCAGAAUUGACAAGCAAAUCCAGCAAAGGGAACUCACUUCAGACCAACAAGAAUUCAAGGUUAACGGGCCAAAAAUAAAGCACUACAUGGGAACUAAGGUGAAUAGCCUACAGAAGCAUCUAUUCUUGAAGGAUCCAGGUUGAGCGAACAAGAAAGGUAAGACUAAAAGACCUAAAAUCAAGAGCUAAUUGGGAGGCAACCCAAUAAGAGAAGUUGUUUUAAGUCUUUAAAGCAUUAACUUUAAUUUUUAAAUUUUUCUUUUUGUUAUUUUAAGUGUGCAUCUAAUUUUUUAUGUCUUUGUGUUAAAUUGCAGCAAGUAAAAUAAAAAAAAAUGUAAAAAAAAGAAGAAAUAUCAGGAGGGAAUUGAUGCAGCAUCACUUACAGUAUGACAUAUAACAGAAGAUUCUCAAACAACAGAGGCAUUUCUUGCUUUUGCAGCAGCAAAUAGAUUGAUCAAAUUUUAUGAUAAGGAGCGUUUGAGAAGUGGAUCAAAGAAGAAGUUACCAUUUAUAGCCUGUGCUGCAGCAGUGCUUCCAGCAACAUGCAAGUACUCUUACCCACUAGUUUAUUUUACUUCUUUCUACAAAAUUUUUCUUUCAUUUAGUUUUAAUUUUUUUAUUCAUUAUGCAUGUCCUUUUAUUUAGUGUAUGCAUGUCUAGUUUAUGUGGCUUUGUUUUGUGUGCUUGUGAGGACACAACACCACUCAAGUUUUGGGGGGUUGUGUUUCUGAGUGCAUGUGUUUAUGUUUGUGUUGUGUGUUGUGUGAAGCUCUGUUAUCUAAUAUUUGUGUAUGGAUUUGAAAACCUAAUAAAGAUAAAUUGAGUGUUAUUCAAUAUUUAUAAGAACGCCAAGUAGAGAUAGUUAUAAAUGGAGGUUAAAAUUAUGUCCCGACACUUAGACUUUGAUUGAGUUUUAUGAGAAUACUGUAGCAGAGCCAGGAAAACCAAAAAAAGAGUAGAAAAUAUCUCAAGUUUGGGGGGAAAAUUUUGUUGGACUGUGCCUGUUAUGAAAUAAAUUAUGCUCCAAUGGUUUAAGUUGCUGAGUAACUAGGGUUGAGUAUGCACCCCAAAUGCAAACUUGAGUUCAAAGGCAACAAGAGCUAUGAGCAGUACUGCAGCAAUUAUAUAUAAAAAAAAAAGAAAAUAAUGGUGAUGAAGGAAUAAAAAAUAAAGGGAUCCGCUGCCUAAGAUACUGAGUAACCUGGUCUAUUCAUGAGCCCCAUGUUCAGCCUUGAGUCAAAGGUGUUCAAAGGUAAGACCUAGAUAUAACAUCUUAGAUGUGUUGCUGCAGCAACUCUGACAUAUAUGUGUAAUAAAUCAGACUUUUUACAAUUCUCUCAUGAGAUAUUUAAAGUUUCUUCUCUUAAUUUGCUUCUUGAAGAUCCUUCUAAACUUUGUAGCAAUCAUUUCAAUGCCUUCAUCUUCAAAGUGUCUUUCAUCAUCAUCACUUUCAACCAUAAAAGAUUUAAAAGCAAAGCUUUUCUUCUUUUUAUUUUCAUCAAUUCUUUCAUUAGUUAUAUCCUCUUCAUAUGAAAUAAGUGAACCAAUAAGAUCAUCAAGAGAUAAAGUAUUAAGAUUUUUUUUCUUCUUUUAUGGCCGUUCUCUUUGGUCUCCACUCUUUCGGCAAUGAUCUAAUAAUUUUCUUCACUUUUUUACUAUUAGUAUAUAUCUUACCUAGUGCUUCAAGAGAAUUCACAAUAUCGAUGAAUCUAGUGUACAUAUCAUGAACACUCUCAUAUUGAUUUUUUCCCUUAUAUACAACUUCAAGUUUCCUCCAAAUUUCAUAAGCACUUUCACAAUUAGAAACUCUAUGAAAUUUUUUCUUAUCUAAAGCACAAAAUAAUUCAUUCAUUGCCUUGGAGUUUAACGAUAUCUUUUUUUUUUCUAAUUCACUUCAAUGACUUGACGGUUUUGGAAUAUCAUCUCCUACUUCAUUUUUAGUCAUAUGCGUGAAUGGACCAUCACAAACAACUUCCCAAAUUUCAUAAUCUAAAGCUUGUAAAUAAAGUUUCAUCCUAAUUUUUCAAUAUGGGUAGUCAUUACCAUCAAAGAACGAUGGUCUAGUUGUGGACUGUCUUUCCCUAAAGGUUGAGUCAUUUUAGGUUGCUUUGAGUUUUGCUCAUAUCUAUUACAAGCUACCGUGACAACAUCAUUGGUUACUAUCUGCUGACUCAUAAUCAUCUACUCUAACAUCUUAUACACAUUAACAUUAUUUGCGGGAUUAAGGUCAUUCUCAUGUGAUCCUAUAUCAGCUCCAUCUUCAUAUUGUCCAAUAUUUGGUAUGGUAACAUUAGUAUUUGGCAUUACACGCUCAUUCGCUUCUUCAAAAUCCAACCACUCAGAUUAAUCAUCUAGAUGUAUAAAAAAUUACUCCUCAAGUGAUAGGCAACUUUAUUAAUCCCUAUGGUAUCGGCUUUAUUUGCUUGUUUACUUGUAUUGGUGCCAGUCUUUAGUUUAGUGUUGUCAGCAUAUGUGCUGAAACAGAGCUAUAGCGUGGGCUUACUGGAAGCAACUAGAUGCACACACAGCAGAUACUUCCUCAUGCUGAGCUGGCAGAAUUCUAGUAGCUUCAAUUAGUUAUUCCAGCUGCUAUAUAAACUGUAGUGAACAUUCAUUUCGUGUGUGUAACAAUAAUAAAAUAUCCAGAUUCUUCUUCAAACUUUCCUCUCGUUUUCUUGUUAUUUUCUUACUUAACAAACACAUUCUUUUACAUUUUCUCACAUGGUAUCAGAGCCAAUGGCUAACGCAAAUCAAAACACACAAUCCUAUAACUUCAUUACACCUAUCAAACUUGAUCAAAACAACUUUCUGGUUUGGAGGAAUCAAGUUUUAGCUUCAAUCAAAGGGAAUGGGCUGGAAGGCUUUAUAACUGGAGCAAAUCAAUGUCCGGAUCAGUAUUGCAAUCAAAUCAAUGAAGCAUCAAGCUCUGCAAAUGCUGGAUCCAAUUCCAGAACUGAGAAUCUUGCAUUUGCCACCUGGAUCAGAACAGAUCAAUUGCUCCUCAGCUGGAUGUUUUCAUCGAUUCAGGAGAAUUUGCUGACAUCUGUUAUCCACUGUGUUUCCUCUAAAGAACUGUGGGAUUCACUUACUUGAAUGUUUGUUUCUCAGACUCAGGCAAGAAUAAUGCCACUCAAAAUGCAACUUCAGACUGCAAAAAAAGGUUCUAUGCUGAUGACUGCAUAUUUUUCUAAAAUGAAACGUUUAGCUGAUAGUCUUGCUAUUGUUGGAAAGCCUGUUGAACAUAAUGAUCUGAUAACCUACAUUUUGACUGGUCUGGAUUCACAAGAUUAUGAAUCACUAGUUACUACAUUGCUUGCAAAAGGAGAAAAUAUGAGUCUGGAUGAAUUAUAUGCUGUAUUGUUAAGUCAUGAAAUGAGGCUUGAUCAGAAGAAAGGAAAAUUAAGUGAUGAUGUUAUGCAUAAUCUUACUACUAAUGUUGCACAAAAGAAUCAGGGAUUUUAUAAAGGUAAUUUUGGUUAUCAGAGAGGCAUAGGAGGUUUAGGUGGUAAUACACAAAAUAAUUUUGGAAAUGGAAGUAAUGGAGGAAAUAAUAUGCCAUUUAAGCCAAAUAUAGUUGUCAGAUCUGCUUUAUUCCAGGUCAUGGUGCAACCAAGUGCAAAAACAGGUAUAAUUCUGCUUUUGUUCCUCAAAGAGGUCCUGGAAGAGGAAAUUUUAGACCUGUGUUUAAUCAAUAUGGCAGAGGAUUUAAUCAAAAUAAUGCUGGUCAAAGGCCUUUUAAUAAUUUUGGAAAAGGUGGUAAUGGUGCGUUCUCUGGUAAUUGUGCCUUCUCGAAAGGAUUUGGCUAUCAAGGUUAUCAAGGUCAUACUGUUUAUCCAGAGCCAAUACAAUCAGAUCAUGUUGCUGGAAUACCUUUUGGUUCAUUUCACUCAGGUCCUAGCAAUCCUGCUGCUUUCAACUGCUAUAAUGGAGUGAAUAAUGAUCAGAAAUUUAAUCAGAACCAAAACUCUGUUGCUCCAUUCAUCUCUUCACCUGAAGUAAUUGAAGAUCCCUCGUGGUACAUAGAUAGUGGAGCAUCUAGCCACAUCACAAAUGAUUCAGGUAAACUUCUUGACUUGCAGCCUUAUUUUGGAUCAGAAGAAUUACUUGUAGGAAAUGAAAAUGGCUUGAAAAUCAAACAUAUAGGAUCUGUAUUGCUUGCUACAUACUCACAUGAACCCUUGUUUCUUAACCAUGUUUUACAUGUGCCUCACAUAACUAAAAAUCUGCUAAGUGUGUCUCAGCUCUUGACUGAUAACCAUGUUCUUGUUGAAUUUGUUGAUAAUCUCUGCCUCAUUAAGGCCAGGAACUCAAGAAUUCUUUUGCUUAGAGGUAUUGCUAAGGAAGGUUUGUAUCAGAUUCAAGAUGUUAUCUCCUCAAACUUUGAAGUCUCUAAGUCAACUCUCUCAGCUUACUACUCUCAAAUUCCUACUCAUAAGCAUUUGUCUAUAUUUGCUACUCUUUCUACUUCUGAUGAGUCAAGUUUCAGUUCAAGUCAAUCAAAAAUUUUAGCUUCUUCAAGUAAUGUAGUCUGGAAGCCUACUGCUAUGUCAGUGUCUAAUCAUUCAGCAGAUGUAAAUUUGCUUCAGCAAAGACUAGGACAUCCAGCCAUACAUAUUCUCAAAACUGUAAUGAAGCAUUGUAAUACAUUUGCUGAUCUUAAUAAAACUUCAAAUUUGCUUUUUUGUACUGCCUGUCAACUUGGUAAAAACCAUCUUCAAUAUUUUGGUUCUGUAAAAACCAAAACCACAGCACCAUUGCAACUCAUAUAUGCAGACCUCUGGGGACCCUCUCAUAUAACAUCUACUCAAGGUUACAAUUAUUACUUAUCCAUACUAGAUGACUUUAGCAGAUUUACUUGGUUAUUUCCCUUAAAAGCCAAGUCUGAUGCAUUACAAGUUUUUACAAUGUUCAAAACUUUUAUUGAACAACACCUUGACAGGAAAAUCAAAAUUGUUCAAACUGAUUGGGGGGGCGAAUUCAGAUCUUUUUCUUCCUUAUUAGCUGCUUCUGGGAUUCAGUUUAGGCACCCUUGUCCUCAUAUCCAUCAUCAAAAUGGAAGGAUAGAGAGGAAAUAUAGACACAUUGUAGAUGUUGGUUUGACUUUGCUAGCUCAAUCCAAAUUACCCUUGCAUUUUUGGUGGAACGCAUUCCACACAGCUGUGUUUCUUAUAAACAGAUUACCUACACCUGUUCUAAACAAUGUAUCACCUUUCUUCAAACUUUUUCAGCAGCAUCCAGAUUACUCAAUUUUAAGAGUUUUUGGAUGUGCAUGUUAUCCCUAUCUUAGACCCUAUAAUAGACAUAAACUUGAGUUCAGGUCUAGCAGAUGCAUAUUCAUAGGUUACAGCCCACAUUAUAAAGGCUAUCAGUGUCUUCAUUCAUCUGGGAGAGUGUAUGUUUCAAACCAUGUAAUUUUUGAUGAAAAAUCAUUUCCAUAUCAGUCAGGUGUUGAUUUUUCUUUAGCCACAAAUUCAAGUCUGUCAAAUUCUGAUACAACAUCCUCAUCUUCCUCAAUACAAGUCUUUCCAGUACAUUUUUCAGCAACUGAAUUCCAAGAACCUCUACCUCAAGGUUCUCAUCAAAUUUCAUCUCCUUCAUCCAUUAAUGUUUCACCUAUAUCUUCUUCAAGUAAUCAAGUCCCUGUCACAACAGAACCUAAUACAUCCUCUUCAUCUCAACCUCCUCAUCAAUUACCAGCAUCACAGCCCUCUGGUCAUCCUAUGAUCACUAGGUCUAAAGCUGGUAUUUUCAAACCAAAAACAUAUCUUACUACUCUUCUAUCAAAACCCUCUUAACCAACCUCUGUAGCACAAGCUUUAACAUAUCCUAAAUGGUUUGAAGCCAUGAAAGAAGAAUUUAAUGCUCUUCAAGCAAAUCAAACCUGGAUUCUUGUUAAACCUACAAUACCUGUCAAAGUAGUUGGUAAUAAGUGGGUAUUUAGAAUCAAGUAUAACUCAGAUGGAUCAGUAUCUAAAUACAAAGCAAGACUUGUUGCUAAAGGGUUUCAUCAGACAUAUGGUGUUGACUAUAGUGAAACUUUCAGCCCAGUUGUUAAGUCAUCUACAGUAAGAAUUGUGCUUAGUCUGGCAGUGAUGAAUGGAUGGUUAAUAAGACAGGUUGAUGUCAAUAAUGCCUUCUUAAAUGGCAUCCUUGCUGAAGAUGUAUAUAUGGAACAACCAGAAGGAUUUGUUGACCCUUCUAAGCCUCAUCACAUUUGCAAACUUAAAAAGGCUCUCUAUGGAUUAAAACAAGCUCCAAGGGCUUGGUUUGAUAGAUUCAAAUUUGCCAUGAUUACACAGUGGAACUUUGUUAAUUGUAAAUCAGAUUCAUCUUUAUUUUACAAGUGGGAUAAAGGUCACAUUUUGCUGGUUCUGGUGUAUGUAGAUGACAUAAUCAUCACAGGUUCUAAUUCACUUAGUGUGCUGCAAGUAAUUUCUGAUAUGCAGGCCACCUUUGCUCUUAAAGAUUUAGGAGAGCUUAGUUACUUUCUUGGUGUUGAAGUAACAAAAACCAAAGAAGGUAUUCAUCUUUCACAAAGCAAAUAUAUUGCUGAUUUGCUGGCAAAACAAGGUAUGGAUAGCUGCAGUCCAGUACCUACACUAAUGGCUACUUCUCAUCAGCUCACAAACACUCGGGCCCUGAAAUUGACAUUCCUAUCAGUAUAGAAGUGNNNNNNNNNNNNNNNNNNNNNNNNNNNNNNNNNNNNNNNNNNNNNNNNNNNNNNNNNNNNNNNNNNNNNNNNNNNNNNNNNNNNNNNNNNNNNNNNNNNNGUGAACAAACUAAGCCAAUUUCUAGCAGCUCCUACAAUAGAACAUUGGCAAGCAUGCAAGAGGCUGCUGAGGUAUCUUAAAGGUACAAUCCACUUUGGUCUCCAGCUAUACCACAGUGGCAAUUUACAAAUAACUUGCUUCAGUGACUCUGAUUGGGCGUGUGACAGAGAUGACAGAAGGUCUGUAGCAAGUUAUGCAGUGUAUCUUGGCUCAAAUUUGGUGUCAUGGUCUUCAAAGAAGCAGCAUGUAGUAUCUAGAUCUAGCACAGAAUCAGAGUACAGAGCUCUGGCACUGGUACAACUAAGGUUUUGUGGCUUCAAGCCUUACUUACUGAAUUAAAGUUUAAAACAGAAACAACUCCAGUUAUGUGGUGUGACAAUCAGAGUGCUAUAUCCUUAGCUACUAAUCCAGUUUACCAUGCAAAGACCAAACACAUUGAGCUUGAUAUUCAUUUUAUUAGGGAGAAAAUUGCGGCAAAACAAAUUUCAAUCAGCUUUGUUCCCAGUGAGGAUCAAACAACUGAUGUUCUUACUAAAGCUCUGACAUAUGGCCAAUUUCAGUAUCUUAGAUCCAAGCUGAAUGUUCUUCCUGGACCAUUCAGCUUGAGGGGGGAUGUCAGCAUAUGUGCUGAAACAGAGCUAUAGCGUGGGCUUACUGGAAGCAACUAGAUGCACACACAACAGAUACUUCCUCAUGCUGAGCUGGCAGAAUUCUAGUAGCUUCAAUUAAUUAUUCCAGCUGCUAUAUAAACUGUAGUGAACAUUCAUUUCGUGUGUGUAACAAUAAUAAAAGAUCCAGAUUCUUCUUCAAACUUUCCUCUCGUUUUCUUGUUAUUUUCUUACUUAACAAACACAUUCUUUUACAUUUUCUCACAAGUGUAACAAUAAAAAAUGCCCAUUAUUACUUGCAUGGUAACAAUAAAAAGAUGCCCAAUAUUAGGACUUUUCCCUCAACUUCUUGAAAGCAGCCUAAAGAUUUGAGUCCUCUUGCAAACUAACUUCACUUGUUUCCCACAGCAGCGUGACUUUAAACGUGACUUCUUCAGCUUGUCUAAUUGGGCUGUCAAAAUAUAUAUUGUUGAUAUCUCCCCCAAGUCUUGUGAGGCUGUACUGUUAUGGAAUUAUUGAGCCUACUCUGAAUACUUCUCCAUCAACCACUACCUUUAUAUCCUUAUAAAUACGGCUGUAAAACGACAAACAUAGCCAUUAAGUGAAAGCAAAAUAUAAGACACCUAUUUUCUAUGUAAUUAAUACUCGCAAUUACGAAGAGAUAGGGCAUAAAUUCAACACUCAGCUCAAGCAGUACACAUAUUCUCAUAGUUAUUAUUUUAUCAACCUAAAAACAGUGAACGCCAUUUAUAAAUAACAGUUAAAUGAAGUCAAACAUUAACAACGACACUGACUUCUUUAAUAUUAGUGUAACAUUCAUUUUAGAGACAAUACAUGCAUUAGUUUUUACUACAUAAAGUACAUAAAAUGAAGCUCAAUCUCUAAAUUCCAGCACCAGAUCAACAUUAUCAACUCAGCACUCCACACACUGACCGAUUACUCACAAAAACAUAACAUCAAGUGCGCAAUUUAUAAGCUGAAAUAAAUCCAUACAGCUUUAAACUCAAACAGUGAACAUACUCUUUAUAAUAAGUACUUAGUCAACCUAAUAAUUGAAGCGGCAUUUAUAAACAAAACUUAACUUAAGUUAGGCAUUCAAUACUAGUAUUGUCAUCUUUAAAAUCAUUGCAAAAAUCAUUUUUGGAGAUAAUUUUGACAUUAGUUUUACUUUGUUAAGUUUAUAAAAACAAAUAUCAAACUCCCAAUUCCAGCCACAGACCAACAUGAUCAUGCCCAGCACUAUGCACACUAAGCAAUUUCUAACAAAAACAGAACCUCGAGUGCACGCUUUGCAAGUUUAAAUAAAUCCAUGUAAUUUCACAUUAGUUCUCUAACUCUUGCCUCAAAUAUCCUUCUUCAACAAGAUAUCAACCAACUAAAUAGUUGUUUAUGUCAUGAAGAUUCAUAAUAUAGAGAACAAAUAAAAAUAACUGAUUUCUGAAACAAAGUUAUAUUGCUUUAUUAAUCAUUGUACAGUGGAGUCUUUUAUAUAGAUACAAGGCGUGCAAAUUGCUCUUAUCUUAUGAUUGUGUUUAUCAUAUAAAGCUAUAAACUUUUAAAGAUAUUACAAUUAUCAACUCUUAUCGGAUAAAGCACCCAAGUGGAGACUUUGUACAGCACACGUGACAUAUACCAUGAAGUACAUGAGGAAGGAUGCCAUAUGAGAUACGUUUAACAUAUGUUAACCAAGUGUUGUGUUAUUAUGCCCCCACAAAAUAGGCGUUCCAUCGUGAACACCUAGCUUGAACGCGAAGCAACAAACGGAGCACGGGGAAGAGCUUUGGUGAGUGUGUCGGCGAGCUAUUUUUCGGAUGGUAUGUGGACAAUGUUCAACGGCCCGUAGUGCAAUCUCGUCACGAAUGAAAUAAAAGUCAAUUUCGACGUGCUUCAUCUUCGAAUGGUAGACAAGAUUGGUGCAAACAAAAGUAGCUCUAAGAUUGUCACUUUAGAGAACAAGUUUAUAAAUUUGGACACCAAGUUCAGAUAAUAAACUUCGUAACCAGUAAAUUUCAAACACAGUGCUUCCAAUUGACCGAAAUUCAGCUUCAGUAGAUGACCUUGCAAUGGAGCGUUGUUUCUUAGAGGACCAUGAUACUGGAUUUCCAUAAAGGAAUAUGACAUAUGCACUGGUGGAAUUGCGGUCAUCUAAGUUGCCACCCUAGUCAUAGUCGGUGUAUGCUGUGAGUAAAGUAUUGGAGUGUUAGUGAAAUUGGAGGCCAAAGAAAAUAGUAUCCUUGAGAUAACGCAAGAGUCAUUUAGCGACAUGCUAAUGGAGUUGUAUAGGUUACUGAAGAAACUGACUGAGCUUGUUCACGGCAAAGCAUACGUCCAGACGUGUGAGAGUAACGUACUGAAGAGCACCAAUAAGUUGUCUGAACAACAAAGCAUCCACGAAGUCUGAACCAUCAUUAUUCUUUACGAAGUUGAAGAAGACAAGGGUGUUGAGACAAGUUUAGCAUCAAACAUGUUAAAUCAUUGUAACAAAUUACAAAUGUAAAGCUGUUGUGUGAGAAAAAGCCCGUCACUCUUUCGGAUUAACUCAACUCCUAGAAAGUAGUGGAAAUUUCUGAGAUCUUUGAGUGAAAAUGUGUCACUAAGGGCACUGAUGAACUUGGCAAGGGCGAGAUUGUUAUUGCCCGUGUGAAUGAUUUCAUCCACAUAGGUUAGGAAUAUAAGACAAACCUCGUUGUGAUGGAAGAUGAAUAGCAACGCUUUUGAGCAGCUUUGUUGAAAACCAAUGUUUGUCAAGAAUUUACGCAAGGCUGAGAACCAAGCACGUGGGGCCUGCUUGAGUCCAUAUAUUGACUUCUUUAGCUUGCGCACAAAAUUUCGACGGUGAGGAUCAACAAAACUAGGAGGCUGUUUUAUAAAGAUCUCCUCAUCAAGAUUAAGAAGGCAUUGUUUAUAUCGAGUUGUCGCAAGGACCAACCAUGUUGUAAGGCCAAGCAAAGAAUGACCCGAAUGGUGGUGUGUUUUACAACAGGACUAAAAGUGUCAUGAAAAUCUAUGCCAGCCCGUUGAUGAAAUCCUUUAGCUACUAAGCAAGCUUUAAAUCGAUUAAUUUUUUCAUCUGGCUGUCGUUUGACACGAAAUACCCACUUACAGCCAACUAAAUUUUGAUUAGGUGAUGGAGGGACCAACUCCCAUAUACCAUUGGUUAUAAGUGCUUGGUAUUCCUUUUUCAUGGCGUCAAGCCAAUGAGGAUCUUUUAGAGCUUCAGUUAUAGUAUGGGGUUCAACAAAAGGUGGUAGGGGGUGAAAGUUAUAUGACUUUGUCACGGGUUGAAAAGUGGUAGAGUAUUGAUGCUUGGGUUUGUAUAUAUUGUUUUGAGAGUGGGUGAUCAUGUGGUGGGUACGGGUAGGCGGUGGUGCAAGUGUAGGAGAAUUAUUUGGCUCGGGUGCAGGAGGAUUUGGAGAUGAGGUAAUUUCGUGAGCUAUAGAUAUGGAGGUAGGCUCAUUUGUAGUAGUAGGCGUAUUUAGUAAAGGAGCAGGUACAAUUGUGGUUAAUGGAUGAGAGUUAGAAGUUGGAGAUAUAGGUGAAGUGCAUGAGUCUUGGUUGCCUCCCAAAAAUAUGUGUGGGAACUAAGACUUGACGGACAUGGAUGACUAGGUAGAUGAGGUUGUAGACAUAGAUUUGAAUGGAAAUUCAUACUCAAGAAAAUGAACUUCACGGGAAAUAUAAAUCUUUUCAGUCCCAAGUUCAAGACAAAUGUAAGCACUGUGUUGGGAGCUAUAUCCGAGAAAUAGACAUGGAGAGGACCUAGGUUCUAAUUUAUUGGAUGUAUAAGGCUUAAGCCAAGGAAAGAAAAGAGAACCAAACACACGAAGUUUAUUGUAAUUUGGAAUAUCAUGAAAUAGAAGCUGAAAAAGACAUUUUAUAUGUGUUACUGGAGAAGGCAAUCGAUUUAUUAAAUGAACAGCUGUUUUGAAGGCAUAGGUCCAGAAUUUGGCUGGAAGAGGAGGCUUGAUGGAAAAGAGUAGUACCCAUCUCAACAAUGUGUCGAUGUCAGCGCUCAGCUGUGCCAUUAUGUUGGGGUGUAUAUGGUGGUGUGAGUAAGUGAGAGAUUCUUGUUUGAUUGAAAAAUUAUUUUAAUUUAAUAAAUUCACCACCGCCAUCAGUAUAAGCUGAAGCAAUCUUAGUGUGAAAAAAAAUUUCAACUACAUUUUUAUAUUGAAUAAAUGUUGAGAAAACAUCGGAUUUAGCACGUAAAGGAUAGAGCCAGACAUAUUUAGUAAAAUGAUCAAUAAAAAUAAUGUAAUAUCUGAAACCAUCAAUUGACGUAAUAGGAGCAGGACCUCAUACAUCAGAAUAUAUAAUCUUUAACGGUCUGGAACUCUUAAUGGAUGAUUUUCCAAACGGAAAGUGAUGACUUUUAUUGAUGCAACAAGACAUACAUGCCUCUAAUGGUAAUGUCCUAGUCUUACAUGGCUAAAAUGAUUUGAGUACACUUCUCAAAACUUUAUUUGAAGGAUGACCUAAACGCCUAUGUCAUUGAUUUGGAUCAGGUUUUAUUGUGACGAAAGAGGAAGCGGACAAAGAUUUAUUGGAAGGAAAAGAUUUGGGCCACUCGUAAACCCCUUCUCUAUUCUGGCCUUGCAGCAAAAUCGCCCCCGUGCUCAAGUCCUUCACCUAAAGAAAAGUAGGGAAGAAUUCAAUAGAGGUGUUAUUGGACAUGCAAAAUUGCGAGACAGAGAUUAGAUUUUUGUGCAUGGAUGGAACAUAAAGUAUAUCAUGCAAGGAAAAAGUUUUACUAGGAGAGUCAAGUGAAAGUGAACCAGUGUGAGAAAUGGAAAGACCUACACCAUUGCCAAUCACUACAAUGUCAUUUCCAUGAUAGGGAUGUUUGAUAGAGAGAUUUUGUAGGUCACUGGUAAUGUGAUGAGAUGCUGCACUAUCAACAAGCCAUUGGGAUGAGGGUAAAGGGGAGGUGGUAGUAUGGUGGGCUGUUAGGUUGGUUCGGUGGGAAGUGAAGUUAGUGCAAUCUUUGGCAGUGUGCCCUUUUUGGUUACAAAGCUGGCAACAACCCUUAUACCCUCUACGUUUCCUAGGAAAUUGGUUGAAGGAAUUUCGGGUAAGUUGGUCAUUCGAAUUUGUAUGAUGUCGAUUGGAAGUUUGUGGAGUGAGUGAUGGUGAGCUAGGUUGGCCACGGUUUUGGUGAAUGUUGCGGUUUGGAUAAGAAUUUUUGGUGUAAUUCUUGGUUGUCAUAUUGGCCGUGAUGGCAGGGGUUUGUGCAAGUGUUUCAUCUCUUUUCAGAUACUCUUCAAAGUCAACUAGCUUGUCAUACAAUUCAUCAAAAGCGAUGGAAGUUUCACGGGCUCGGACACCACCUAUGAUAAACUCUUUCCCAAUGUUGUUUAGUAUGUGAACAACUAAAUCAUCAUCUGUAAUAGGGGAAUCAAUGAGAGUUAACUCAUCAGCAAUGGAUCGUAGAUUAUUUAAAUAAUCUGCAACUGGUUGGUUAGCUCCACGAGGGCGAGUCAAGCACUCUUUGAGAGUUAACACUCUACUUUUGCUUCUGCUAGAGUAUAAUCGUUCUAGUUUGUCCCAAGCUUGCUUAGAUGUUGAACAACUGGCAAUUAAAGGUGCCACCCUUUCGGUUGAAGAUGCAAGAAUUGCAUUAAAAAUAAAUUGAUCUUGUCUUUUCCAAAGGGAGUAUUCUAGGUUUAUGUUGGAGGUAGUGCUGCUGCUUGAACUUGAGGUUUGAUAUGGACACGGAAGUGUUCCAUCUAUGUAUUUUAUUAAAUCAUAGCCAUAAGCUAGCGAGGAAACUGGGCUCUCCAAGUAAAAUAAUUGUUGGGUGUUAGUCGAAUUGGAAGCUAAGCAACAACAUUGAUAGAGACGCAUUCCUUGAUUUGAGUUGCUAUCUGUGUGGUUGAAGUUGCUGUGGAAUGUUGGCUGCUGGCCAUUGUGAGGAUUCUUGGUUGUCACAUGUAUAUGUUAACCAAGUAUUGUGUUAUUAAUUUCAACAAACUCAUGCCAAAAAUUCAUUUGAAUAGCAAUCAGACUCCAAAAUCAUUAUCCAAUGAAACAAUAGGCAACUAAAACAACAAUUACUGAUAUGCAUUUUUAUGAUUUGAAGAAAAAAAGUAGAAACAACAACUCUAUAGACCUACAUCGAUCAUUAGUAUUAUACCACCUCAACUUCACUUUCAAAUCAUUUUAACAUCGUAAAAAGGAAAAAACAGUACAACAAAUGUUUCAGUUACCUAGCAUGCGGCUCCAUUAUGAGUGGGUGGAUUCUUGGUUGUCACCUGUAUUCGUUGGGCCAUUGAAUUUGUUCAAUCUCUCGCAUCGGCUCCUGUCAUGGUUGAAUCUAAUUGCUUUGCUGCCAUCUUUUUGUUUGCAGCAACGAACUUCCUCAAUGCAUUUUUUAUGAAUUGUAACGGUGAGUUGAAUUACGGGAUUGAUUUGUGAGAUGAAAGAUAAAAUCUUUUUUUUUUUCUUUUGGUUUUGGUGCAGCAACUAUUGUACAUAAGGCAUGCUUCUAUUAUUACCCAACUAACAUUACAAUGUUUCAGAUAGGGGUGCCAAAACGAAUAAUCGAAUCGAAUUUGAAUCGUAAACGAAUUGAGUCAAAAUUUCACGGAUUCGGAUUCGAUUCGUUUAUGAAACGAAUUGAAAUCUCAGGAUUCGGAUUCGAUUCGUUUAUUAAACGAAUUGAAAUCUCAGGAUUCGGAUUCGAUUCAUUUAUUAAACGAAUAUUCAGUUCGAUUCGUUUAAUUCAUUUAAUAGAAUUGAUAAACGAAUCGAAUCGAAUCCGGAUUCGUUUAUUAUUCGUUUAUCCUAUUACAAAUCCAUAACGAAUCGAAUCGAAUCAGGAUUCGUUUAGGAUUCGUUUAGAAAAAUAUAACUAAUAAAUAAAAUUAAACAAAAUAAAACAUAAAAAAGCCACACAUUUAAUAUCCUACAACAAAAUACAAAUAACCCAAACCAUAUUUUAAAAUUAAAUAUGCAGUCAUCCAAAUAUUAAAUUACAAAUCCUUUUGUUCCGCUGGCCUUAAACUUUUGUCAAUCUCUUCUUCCAUUUCGAUUAUGUCAUUUACAUCAUCAUCUCCAACACUAGAAUCAUUAAUUGUGUUGAAUUACUUUGGCUUGUGUCCAUUCUCCUAAAAACAAAAUAAUUCAAAAUUAUUUAGGCAGAUGAAUUAACAAUUUAACUUAAAUAAUAUAUACAUAUAUAUUAAUUGAAGAAUAAAAUAUUAAGAUUAAUUAAUUAACUAUUUAGGAAGAUGAAUUAACAAUUUAACUUGAAUAAUAUAUACAUAUCUAUUAAUUGAAGAAUAAAAGAUUAAAAUUAAUUAAUUAUUUUUUAAAAAAAAAUUUGUAAUUGAAGAAUAUGCGCAAGAAAUGAAUACGCUAGCAAAUAUAUUAAGCAAAAUCAAGUUUGUACAAACCAACUCUCUUGAUCCGUGUUGUAUAUUUGCUGCCACUAGUUAGCCGCCGCUGUCAGAAAAUUCUUUUGGGAAUUUCGUUUGGAAUGCAAAUGCUUUGUGCAAAGAUCAUGAUGAUGAGGUAGAAUUGGAUGGCUUGGUGAUUGGUGUAGAAGCUAAGGGAAUCAUUUACAAAAGUUGUAAAACGUGUUCAAGGUGAUGGUGAAGGGUAUGGGUGGUGAUUUCCUCGCGGGCCGCGGCUGAGUUCAGUGAGUUGCUAAGGAAAUAAAGGGAUGAGGGGAAAGAGAGUGUGAACUGUAAAGUGUAGCCCAAAUUAGGGAUGGCAAAACGAAUAAACGAAUCGAAUUCAAAUCGAAUCGUAAACAAAUUGGGUCAAGAUUCUAUGGAUUCGGAUUCGAUUCGUUUAUUAAAUGAAUUGAAAUUUCAGGAUUCGGAUUCGAUUCGUUUAUUAAACGAAUAUUUUGUUCAAUUCGUUUAAUUCGUUUAAUAGAAUUGAUAAAUUAAUCGAAUCGAAUCCGGAUUCGUUUAUUAUUCGUUUAUCCUUAACGAAUCGAACCGAAUCGAAUCGAAUCAGGAUUCGUUACAAUUCGUUUAGAGAAAUAUAAUUAAUAAACAAAAUAAGUAAAAUAAAAUAUAAAAAAAAGAGAUGUGAAACUGUGAUAAACUGUAAAAUCAACCCUUGAUUGCUAAGAGAUGAAGGUAAANNNNNNNNNNNNNNNNNNNNNNNNNNNNNNNNNNNNNNNNNNNNNNNNNNNNNNNNNNNNNNNNNNNNNNNNNNNNNNNNNNNNNNNNNNNNNNNNNNNNNNNNNNNNNNNNNNNNNNNNNNNNNNNNNNNNNNNNNNNNNNNNNNNNNNNNNNNNNNNNNNNNNNNNNNNNNNNNNNNNNNNNNNNNNNNNNNNNNNNNNNNNNNNNNNNNNNNNNNNNNNNNNNNNNNNNNNNNNNNNNNNNNNNNNNNNNNNNNNNNNNNNNNNNNNNNNNNNNNNNNNNNNNNNNNNNNNNNNNNNNNNNNNNNNNNNNNNNNNNNNNNNNNNNNNNNNNNNNNNNNNNNNNNNNNNNNNNNNNNNNNNNNNNNNNNNNNNNNNNNNNNNNNNNNNNNNNNNNNNNNNNNNNNNNNNNNNNNNNNNNNNNNNNNNNNNNNNNNNNNNNNNNNNNNNNNNNNNNNNNNNNNNNNNNNNNNNNNNNNNNNNNNNNNNNNNNNNNNNNNNNNNNNNNNNNNNNNNNNNNNNNNNNNNNNNNNNNNNNNNNNNNNNNNNNNNNNNNNNNNNNNNNNNNNNNNNNNNNNNNNNNNNNNNNNNNNNNNNNNNNNNNNNNNNNNNNNNNNNNNNNNNNNNNNNNNNNNNNNNNNNNNNNNNNNNNNNNNNNNNNNNNNNNNNNNNNNNNNNNNNNNNNNNNNNNNNNNNNNNNNNNNNNNNNNNNNNNNNNNNNNNNNNNNNNNNNNNNNNNNNNNNNNNNNNNNNNNNNNNNNNNNNNNNNNNNNNNNNNNNNNNNNNNNNNNNNNNNNNNNNNNNNNNNNNNNNNNNNNNNNNNNNNNNNNNNNNNNNNNNNNNNNNNNNNNNNNNNNNNNNNNNNNNNNNNNNNNNNNNNNNNNNNNNNNNNNNNNNNNNNNNNNNNNNNNNNNNNNNNNNNNNNNNNNNNNNNNNNNNNNNNNNNNNNNNNNNNNNNNNNNNNNNNNNNNNNNNNNNNNNNNNNNNNNNNNNNNNNNNNNNNNNNNNNNNNNNNNNNNNNNNNNNNNNNNNNNNNNNNNNNNNNNNNNNNNNNNNNNNNNNNNNNNNNNNNNNNNNNNNNNNNNNNNNNNNNNNNNNNNNNNNNNNNNNNNNNNNNNNNNNNNNNNNNNNNNNNNNNNNNNNNNNNNNNNNNNNNNNNNNNNNNNNNNNNNNNNNNNNNNNNNNNNNNNNNNNNNNNNNNNNNNNNNNNNNNNNNNNNNNNNNNNNNNNNNNNNNNNNNNNNNNNNNNNNNNNNNNNNNNNNNNNNNNNNNNNNNNNNNNNNNNNNNNNNNNNNNNNNNNNNNNNNNNNNNNNNNNNNNNNNNNNNNNNNNNNNNNNNNNNNNNNNNNNNNNNNNNNNNNNNNNNNNNNNNNNNNNNNNNNNNNNNNUUAUUACCCCAUUUAUUAAACGAAAUCCUAAACGAAUAACAAAUCAAAUCUUUAACCUGUAUUCGAUUCGUUUAAUUAGCGAAAUCGGAUUCAAUUCACUCAUUUUAUUAAACGGAAUCAAUCUUUUCAAAACCCAAACUCAUUUAAAUUCGCCAUCGAAAUUGAAAUCAAAAUAAACGAAAUCCCUGACCCCAUAUUGCCACCCCCUAUAUAUUAUGUUUAAAAAUUACAAAUAUUAGCCCUUCAAAUUUUAAAAAAAAUUUCAAAUAAAUUUAAAAGAUAAAAAAAAGUAAUUUAAUUAAAACGGGAUAAUAAAACGAAUUUGAAAUGAAUCGACCUAUAUUCGAUUCGUUUAUGACCCAUUUAUUAAACGAAUCCUAAACGAAUAAACGAAUCAAAAUCUUCAAAUCCGCAUUCGAUUCGUUUAAUUAGUGAAUCAAAUCUAAUUCACCCGUUUAUUAAAUGAAUCAAUUUUUUCAAAUCCAAACCCAUUUAAAUCACAUCGAAUCGAAUCGAAUAAACGAAUCUUGACCCAUAUUGCCACCCCUAGUUUUAGACAUGUUCCAGUUUCCAAAGUCCUAAAUUUCAAAAUCAUUUUAAUAUUUAAUUAAUUUAGCAUGCAAUUACUUACGUACUGAAUUUUAUAUUAACAGUAAGGGUUGCAAAGUAGAAAUGUUCUUUUACAAUCUAUCUAAUCGAAAGGACCCCAAACCUUAUAGGAUGAAAUUGAAAAUUACUCAUUUAUAUAAAACACAAAUACUCAAUAAAUUUAAUAUUAUAUAAAAAGAUGUUGGCUGAUUACAAAAAGAUACAAGUAGCCAGAAUGGUCGUUGGCGACCUUUUAUUGUUAGAAUUUUUGGCAAUUGUAACAAUCAAUCUCAAGUAGUGAAAUACAUCAUUAGAUUCUAUUUUUCGAAAUAUACAUGAUGGUAGGCAUAGUUUUAGAAAUGAAGCAAUCGAAGCACUGCUCACACGGUGGCGAAAACUCCUCUUCGUCUAGCAGUGGCGAGUUAAAGUGCCAUGCUACCUCCAUCAGAUUAUUGAAGGUUGAGUUGAAUGGAGCUUAUGUGCACCCUAAAUCAUCAUUGACAGAAAGUAGGGUUUGGGCCACCAUGUAGUGACACAAUGUGUGAAAGACUUAAGGCAUUUUUUUAAAUUUUUAGAUUUGAAGUAACUUUUCUCCAUUUAGAUAAGGUUUAAUUUCAUAUUAUCGUCUUGUAAAAUGACAAUCUUUAAAUUAUUUGUUAAACUAUAGUAAACUCAGCUGAUCACUGUUAAAAAUAGAAGAUAACAAAAAUUUCAUAACACACCCUCAUUUUUUCCUUUAUUUUUUAAAUAAAAAAUAGAAUAAGUUGAAGUUUACGAUAAUUUGAGGUGUUUAUCAUUUCAUUUCAUGAAAUGAGGGCAAUCAUUGAAAAUUUACUAUGUGGUCAUAAUUAUAUUUACUAUUUUAUUUUAUUUCUUUUGUAAUGCGGUACAAAUUUAUUUUAGAUUUGAAGUUUAUAAGGUUCACGUAUGCAAAGAUGUGAGAUGGUAGAAGAUCAAUUUAUAUUAAAAUUCAUUAUUGUAUCAAUCGAAAGUAUGGGUUGCAAUUCAUGUCAUUGUCAAAUUCAAGUAAUGCAGGAUUUAGCUGGCUUCCACCUAUGGAAGGUCCCUUGUUUUGUCGUUAUCUGAAAUAACCAUUGGAUAUUUGAUUAGUUAAUGCAACAGCGAGAGCUCCAGUUUCAUAGCUUAAAAUUCAAUUUGAAUUAGCGACUGCAUAAGACGGGUUACUUAGAUAGGCGAGCGUUUAAAAAAUAUUUGUGAAAAAUUAGGGCAGUAAUAAAAUUCAAAACUUUUAUUGACUACAUGGAAGAUCAAAGUGGACUAUUGUGGUUUUGGUAUAUGUGUAGCUGACAUGAAUUUUGCGAACAAUUGUAUUGGAUAAAUUUUGAAUUAUUUUCCUCCUAAAUAGAUUAUCUUUAAAUCACUCAUUUAUUUUCAAAAAUUUUAAAUUACUCUUAUUUUUAAAAUUUAGGGGUGGGUUGAUGGAAUUUUUUUAAAAUCUUCUUAACAAAGUAAAUUGAAAAUUUUAAAAUACAAGAAUAACUUAAAGAUAAUUAAUAAACGAGUAGAAAAUUUAAAAUUAACCAAAUUACAUUUGAUGAUCCCCUUGUCGCGAAUUAAUUUCUUCAACGUUUAAUUUUUAGAACCAGCUCCAAUGAGUUGAGCAUUAGCUUAAUCUUGAAUUAAUUUUAGGUACUGGUUCCAAUGAGUUAAUUAAAGAAAUUAGUCAAAAUCGGAAAAUAUUAUUUCGAAAGUAUAUAUGUACUUCAUGCGAUGCGAAUUCCCAAGAACCAGAAAUUCGAAAGCAAGCGAAAUUAAUUGUUAAUUAAUUAAUAUAUGAUAAGAAUACGAUGCAAAUUCGUUUGUGAUAAUAAAUAGAUUGAGGUAAAUACAACAUGAUAAUUAAUUAAUCAUGUCAAUUUCUAUAACAAACAUGGCGAAAAUUUAUAUAAAAACUUCUAUUACCAACAUUACCACCUAACCAAAAGAACCAAUUAUGAAUUUAUGACGAUCGAAGAAUUUUAAAAUUCAUUAAAGGUAAUACAACUAAUUAAUGUAUGUAUAAUAUGUAUAAUUGAAUUUAAUGUAACAACUAUUUGCAUAAUUAUUUUUUAAAAUAAAUGUACAUAUAUUAUAACAUUAAUUAUUUGUUGUAUAAUUGACAUGAUAUUUCUAAUAUAUUCUAUAAUUUCUCUUCUCUAUGAAGGUCAAAAUUUCACGUAAGAAAAAAACUGAUCAUGAAGAACUAAAUAAUAUUGAUAUGUUAUUAAAUUAUUUUUUAUCGAUAAUAAAUUAAGUUACUUCAUAAGUACACUUGGAGUAUUAUAAUAUUUUAAUUCAUUAAUUUGUUUUGAUUUUUUAAAAAUCAAAUUAAGGUAUCUGAAGGUGUUGGUUAAGCACUAGACCUAAACCUAGUUGACAUUAUAUUACUUCACUUGUUUCCUUUUUUAGCUAGGUAUGUGUUAAUGUUAAUUCGUUAUCUGAAAGUUGAAAAAACAAUAGAAAGAAGAAAAAUCCGACACUCUUUUGAAACAAUUAAUAGAAUCCACCAUCAAAGUCUUAAUUACUACUUAAUUUAAUUGAUAAAUGAUCUUAAUUGCAGCUUUGUUUGAAUGAAGCCCUUUUAUAGGAGGUUACUAUGUUACAGAUUCUGUAACAUACAGCACCAAUGCAUGCACCACAGGUGUCCUGCUUAUGGAGAAAAAAAGCAGCAAAUGCUUUUGUCUGGUAGCUGGUUAAGCAGAAUCUGUAACUUAGCCUGCUCCCUUUUUAUAUGGUUCUAGUGCGUGGAACCAUGAUUUUAUGGGUCGUCAGGGGUUGUAAUCUAAGUAUAAUAUUAUUUAAUUUGAGGUGGCUAAUCAGUAAAUUCACAAAAAAUAGAUAAAAAUUUAGUUUUUCGGCCAGAGCCCAGAGGGUUGGGCCGCCUCGCCAUAAUUCGGCCACAUUAUUUAAUUUGCAAAUACAAUUAUCGCUUCACAAUACCGCAUUUUAAUCGAGAAGGGAGGGUAAUUGUCUUAGUUAAAUUCUUUUAAUUGUGGAGAAUAAAACUAAUUAAUUAAUCUUUUGAGUUACCUUAAUUUUGAUUAAUUAGUCAAUGUUUUACAGACAGCUAAAUUAUGAGUGAUUUUUGAGACUGUAACAUUUUUGAAAUUACGUUUAUCUUGUAUAGUCAUCUCAUAAAAUUGUUACAAGUUUUAUAUACCUUGAGAAAAUGUUGUAACAAAAAUUAUGACAUUAAUGACAUAAUAAACGUAAAUUUUAUAAAUUACACAUAAGACUGGUAGAUUAAUAGAAGACUAUUAAUUAUUAAAAUAAUCAGAUUGAUUUUUACAAAAUUUUAGUGAAAAAUAUUUUAUUUAUUUACUUUAAUUAAAUGAAAAAUCACCCAUGAAUUGAAAAAAAAUAUAUAUUCAAAACAAGUGGAGUAAGUUUUAUUAAAUUGGUUUAACCAUAAAUUCUUAUAGGAUAUUUAUAAACCAUUUUUUUUCAUUUUCUAUAAUAGCAUUUGUUUACUACACAAGUAAUUAAGUGAAUCAUUUAUCUUGAUGUGGAUCAAGGCAAAACAAAAUAUACAAGACUUUGCUAUAUUACUAGUCACUUAUAUGGUAUAACAAUAAAAUUAGAUCUUAUUUUGAGUCAUGUGCAUACUUCAUAUAGUUUUAAACUUUUCUCCUUACUUGUACUCAAGAUCAUUCCGGAUUGCUAUUAAAGGUGUAAAAGGAAGCAAAAUUAGUUCAUUUGACAACUGCUUUGAAAAACAUUAAUAGAAUAGUUUUUUCAAAUUUUAAUUUUGGGAAUAAAUUUUAUCCUUAAUAAAAUGUCACAUGCAUUAUAUAAAACAAAAACUAUCAUUAUUCAAUUUAAAUACAAAAUAAGUAAAUAUAUAAGAUAAUCAAUAUUAUAACUUAAUUGAUGUGAAAAUUUGUUUAAUAUUAUCAAGUGAAUUAUUAAUAAUGAUUAAAACUUAUAAUCAUACUCAAGCACACAUUAGCACGAAAAUUUGUACCAACAUUUGCACUCGAGCCUGAUUCAUUAACCAUAUUUUUUAUGUUAUAUUAAUUAUUGGUUAAUAGACACUGAUCUGCAUGGAACCUCAUGGAUAAGACUCUCGUCAAUGCGCUCUAUAGUUGCACGAAAAAUCCAUGCACAGUUUACAAAAACAAUAGUCAUCAAUUUUAAACGUCACAAUCAUCACCAAAGGAACAUAAAGUUCAACGCAUGAUAAGACUAUCUUGCGAAGUAUAUUAAUUUUAUUAUACGAAAAAGGUCUCGCAUUUGCAAGCAUAAAAGUUGAAAAUUACAAAAGACACACCAGAGAUUCGAUUGACACACACAGCAACAAUCCACAAGCAUGAAAAUGACAAGAACUUUUCUGUUUCUACAUGUGGCUGUUUAUUCUUCAUUAAAAAAAAAAGAUAAAAAAGAAUCAAACGCGGCAACUCGAUCGACCGCUAUCUUGCUCUCAGUAAGCUUAUCAUCAAACCCUUUCUUUAUUCGGAUACCAUUCGCCUCUCCUACAAGAACAAAUUAAUCAGUCUCUUUUAUUUGUCACUUAAUCACUAGGAACACAAUUAAACAGAACACGGUGCUUAAAAUUGAAAUGCUUAAUGUAAUUCUGAACUACUAGUCUUUACAUGUACAGUUUUAAAAAUAAAUGAGAUUACCAUAAAAGCAUGAGCUAUUCAUGGCCGCUUUCUAGUAGUAGUAAGGAGGAGGGGGAGAUGAAUAGACGUAAGGGUGAGGUGACGGUGGUGGUGGGGACUUGUAGACAGGAGGUGGCGGGGAAUAGGAAAUUGGAUUUGGUGCCGGAGCAGGCUCGUAGACUGGUGGAGGAGGUGGCGGGGAGUUGUAGAGCGGGGGUGGUGGUGGAGACUUGUGAGCCGGUGGCGGGGGUGGUGGAGAUUUGUACUGGGGAGGGGGAGGUGGUGGUGGUGGAUAUUUCUUUGGUGGGGGAGGAGAUGUGUAGUAGUAAUUGUUUGCGGAGGCUUCUAAUGGCAAGUAGCUAAGAGAGACUGAUAUUACCAAAAGAGUGGCAAAGAGAUAGCCCGUUUGAGACCCCAUCGUUCAAUACAAAGUGGAGUUUCGCUUGUGCUAUAAACCAAGCUCCUUCCCCUCCUUAUAUAGACUUGGCUUUUUACCUGCUCUACCAAACUUGUCAUAUAUAACCUUGAUGUUAAACAUUAGUAACUAAAUUAUUCUGGUUAUGUAUGAAAACGGUGUCAUCAAGUUGGCACAAAUUUGACUAAAUAUAAAAUUUUAUGAUUUUGUUAGUGGCUAGCUGUUGCCCAAGCAGGGAAUAAAGUAAUUAAAAGUCAAGAUCCUUUUAAUGAUAUGGCAUUUUUUGUAUCAAUGAAAUGAUUUGACCAGGAAGUCUCCGUGAUUUACUUCAAUAUCAUCAUUCUUCAUGAAGAGCUUGAAAACAUGUAUUUUAUUACCUAACCUAUCAUGAAUUUUUUGGCCUUGGGUCCAGGCGGCGAGACUUAUUUUCAACUUCAUAUUCAUUUAUUUAUUUUCACUUCGUAGUUAAUUAAUCGUUUUAAUUUCCCCAAAAAUAAGUAGCUAGCGAUAUAUUUAUCAUAGCUUUAAUUUUACUUUCUUAUGAACUACUUUUAAUUCUCUUAUCUCACGGUGAAAUUAAUUUUCUCCCAAGAAUGUUAACCGAAAGAGCAACGUAGUGGAAGAAAAACACUACAUAUCGUAUAAGUACUUAACAGUUGAAGGUCAGCAUGGAAUGACAUUAUGGAAAUUAUCGGUUGGCCGUUUGAAGUUAACGGGUCACCGUUUACUUCCAGAAUUACAGUUUUAACCAAAUUUUGCAGGGAAUUAUUUUUCAGUUAAAGUUAACGAUUAUCCAUAUUUCAUGAACACAUUUAGAAAGAUUAUACGACUUUUGAGAAAUUGUUUAUUAAUGAAAACUCCAACAUUUUAAUAAAAAACAUUUAAAGUUUGUUAUCAUCAAAAUCAAUAUAAUGAACAUCUACAUGUUAACAGUUAGGCCUUGAUUAUUUUUUAAAUCUUAUAAAAACGAAAUAUCAAAUGGCUAAAGUAAUAAAAUCUUAAAACCCUAAAAUAACGUCCUACAUCAUUAACGGGUAGUGGAAACAACCUAGUCAUUAUGUAUUAACUAAUUAGUUUAAUUUCAUUCGUUGUGGUUGGUAGUUCGUGGAUCUUUGAAUAUAUAUUCAACAUCAAUCAACAUGUUAAGGACCUGUGCAUAUAGUUGAACAAAGUACGAAAUUAUAAAAUUGAUCCAAAAAAAGAGAUCUCGCAUUUGCAUGCACAAAAACUGAAAAUUACAAAAGACACACCAGAGAUUUGAUUGACACACGCAGCAACAAUCCACAAGCAUGAAAAUGACAAGAACUUUUCUGUUUCUACAUGUGGCUGUUUAUUCUUCACUAAAAAAAAAAGAUAAAAAAGAAUCAUACGCGGCAACUCGAUCGACCGCUAUCUUGCUCUCAGUAAGCUUUUCAUCAAGCCCUUUCUUUCUUUAUUCGGAUACCAUUCGCCUCUCCUAAUAGAAGAAAUUAAUCAGUCUCUUUUAUUUGUCACUUAAUCACUAGGAACACAAUUAAACAGAACACGGUGCUUAAAAUUGAAAUGCUUAAUGUAAUUCUGAACUACUAGUCUUUACAUGUACAGUUUUAAAAAUAAAUGAGAUUACCAUAAAAGCAUGAGCUAUUCAUGACCGCUUUGUAUCAAUGAAAUGAUUUGAACAGAAAGUCUCUGUGAUUUACUUCAAUAUCAUCAUUCUUCAUGAAGAGCUUGAAAACAUGUAUUUUAUUACCUAACCUAUCAUGAAUUUUUUGGCCUUGGGUCCAGGCGGCGAGACUUAUUUUCAACUUCAUAUUCAUUUGUUUAUUUAUUUUCACUUUGUAGUUAAUUAAUCGUUUUAAUUUCCCCAAAAAUAAGUAGCUAGCGAUAUAUUUAUCAUAGCUUUAAUUUUACUUUCUUAUGAACUACUUUUAAUUUUCUUAUCUCAUGGUGAAAUUAAUUUUCUCCCAGGAAUGUUAACCGACAGAGCAACGUAGUGGAGAAAAACACUACAUAUCGUAUAAGUACUGAACCAAGGCAACAUGACUAAGUUACGUUCCAAUCGAAGUGUGUUUAGAUCUCAUUUUAAUUCAAAUAACUCAAUGAGAUUUUUAAUACUGCAUUAAGCAAGGUUAGCUGAUGUUCUAAUCUAAACAACUCUACAAGAGAGAUUUUCUAUAUAUAAUAUCAAAGAAAUUUAUGAAAUAGGGGUUUUUAAUUGAAUAAUUGAAGUUGAAGUUAUAAAAACAAUAACAAGACCUCUCUAUUUAUAAUAGAGUAAAUCUACUAACCUGAGUUAACUUAAAAAGGGAAACUACAUCAUAAUUAAAAUAGAAAUAAACAAUUAAGAAAUACACCGUAAUUAAAAAACGAAAUAUCAAAUGGCUAAAGUAAUAAAAUCUUAAAACCCUAAAAUAACGUCCUACAUCAUUAACGAGUAGUGGAAACAACCUAGUAAUUAUGUAUUAACUAAUUAGUUUAAUUUCAUUCGUUGUCGUUGGUAGUUUGUGAAUCUUUGAAUAUUCAACAUCAAUUAACAUGUUAAGGACCUGAGCAUAUAGUCUAUCAAAGUAAGAAAUUAUAAAAUUAACCCAAAAUACGAAAAAAAUUGCAUAUUUUAAAACAAAAAUUCGUAACAUGUAAAACAAUUAAGAUGCAGUAAUUUAUUUACAAAAGAAACAGCAAAAUUACAUUUAUACCGCACUAAGUACCAUACUCAGCAACACAAAGACCUUUUUGCAAUAUAUGCCAAAUUUUUGUGAAUUGUAUAUUUAUAUAAUUCAAGGAUUUUACCUUUUAUUUUUGUUUAAUUGGUUUUGAACAACUAGUAGAUUUUUUUCUCUCUCUUCUACAUCUAUUUUUAAAGCUUUUUGAAGUUUUAAUUAUAAUGUUAUAAAGAUCUAAAUGAUUAUCAAAUUCAUAAAUAUCUGUAAAAAUCUUAAUAUAUUAUAGCACCAACAUUUAUAAUUUCUUGUCUCUCUUGAGACAUAGACCAUAUUUUUUCUUCCAACAUAUCUAUAUAUGUGUCCAAUCUAUUUUCCCAACCAAGGUACAUGCCAUCACAUUACUAGAAAAAUAGUCUUUAUUGACAUUAUAAGUGUCAGUAAUUACUUUUACUAACACUUGUUAAUUGUGUCAGUAAUCUGACAGUCAGAAAAAUAGUGACACUUGUAUUUGGUGUCAAUGAUUACUAUCACUACAGUAUCACCAAUAUUAUAAUACCAUAGUGUUAGUAGUUGCUGAUAUUUUGUUAGUGUCUAUGAUUACUGUUAUCAUGGUAUCACUGUUUAAUUUAUUUAAAAAAAUAAAAAAAAAUGAAUUAGAUCAUUGCAUAUUGAUUUAUUGGCAAAAUUAUAAGGCACCAUAAAGUAACCAAAACAAUCAUUUUAUAUUACGAAAUCUUUCGUUUCAUAUUUAAAGAUUAUUCGUAUAUAUUACAAAUUCCAAAUACUUCAAUAAACAAGAUAUGAGAUAUCCUACUUUCAUUACCGAAUAAUCUAAAUUAUGUAAAUAAAAAUUUCUACAAUCCAAUCAAAUACCUACUAAUUGUGAGUGAAUUUAACAAAUCUACAAGCUAAGUUCAAAAGGUUGGCUGCCUUUCACUCUUUAAACAUAGGUGGUGCAAUUGCGGUAUCACACCAGGAGCUUCUCCAUUCAAUAGACUAGAUGGGUUAAGAUACAAGUGAAGUUGAGGAAGAAACACUUCAAACACAUUGAGCAAAUAUGCAUACAUGGAAAAGGGAGAAAAAAUUAGCUGCCAAUUCCCAACCAUUAGAGAAACAAUGGUUAGUAGAAAUAAAUCUAUUUUGUUCUAAAGAAAAAAUAUUCAUACACUAUUUAUAAGUAAACUCAGUUAUUUCAAAGAAAAAUUAGUGAACAAGGAAGUUGUAGUUUAUUUUCUUAAAAAUACCAAAGAUAUACAGUUUAUUCAACUACAGAUAUAAAUAAGAAAAAAGGGAGUCAAUGAUUAUUCUCUUUUGGUAAGGUUAUUUAUAAUAAGUUAAUGGCUCUAAAUAGAGUAAGAACGAUAACUAGAUAAAAGUACAAUUACUUGUUGAAAAUUAGUCACUAAAUUCCCAGUAACUACAUCAUAAUGUUGAGCAAUUAAUUACUAAGGCAUCAGCCAAGUAGUUAGUGUAGGGAUUGACUUCAUUUAUUCCCUUAGAAGAAAUCCAAUAACCUUGCUGCCUCCUUAUUUAUAUGCAUACUUCCAAUGUUUAAUUAUUUUGCUGCAGAGAAAGAAAGUUAAUAGAAAUGACAAACUGAUAGCGUUUUCGCAAUUUUCAAAUAAUCACACAGAACAUUUCUUUUAUAAAUUAACCGUCUACUUGAUCGAUUAUGCACAUUCUUGUUAAUUUCCUUAAACUCUUCUAUUUUAUUUAAUAACUUAAUUUCAACCUUCAUCACUAGGAAAAAAAUUUAAAAAAUUAAAAAAAAAACUUUUGCAGUGGUGAAGGAGCUGGCUAAAUAUAUGCACAGCAGAAAAAGAAAAAUCUGCCCUGUUGACUUGGAGGGUCGUAUUAAUUUAAUUGGCCUUGCGGGUAGCAGAUAAUUUUUGAGCUAUUAUGCUUAAUUGCUUUAUGACCAUGUAGUUCCUUUAACUUAGUCAAAGCCAGCUGAAAAACGAAGCAAUUAAACAAAGCUUAAUUAAUGACUAAAAAGAUUCCCUAAAGAUUUGUUACGGUGACAUGAAUAGAUAAGACACGAAUAAAAAAAAUUAUCAACUUCUUUUCCUUUUCAUAUUAUUUAAAAUAAAUUAAAGCUGAUAAGAAUUAUUUCUAUGUAAUUUAUAGAGGUGAUUGCUCCCAUUAUUGAAAACCCAAAACGAAAGAGGUAUGUGGGACAAUUAAACUAAGAAAACCAGAUUCCUAAAAUAUAAUUAAGUAGAGAUUUGUGUGUAAGUCAAAAUUGUCUAUGAAAAACUACAGUAGCAAUUGGUACUUAAAUACAUAUUUAUAAAAUUUAAGAUACUUAAUACAUUGGAAUGAUAUUUUCUAGUUUUUAACAACACAUAUGAAUGAACAACAUAUUAAAAUUUGAGGUUAUUUUAAUAUUAUUAUGCUGGUGUUUUGUAAUAUCAUAAGUUAAUAAAUAGUUAUGUCAAAAGAACUUUCAGCUCAUUCAGACAUGUUUAGACUAUUGUUUUGCACCACCAAACAUGAUACAUGAGUAAUUUAUGAAAGAUUGGACAGCAACCAACCAUUUUGAAAAAUCGAUUAAAAAUCAAUUAUAGACCCAAUUCAUUCCAAAAUUUCCAGAAUUGAAACAUACACAUUUAACUUUAAUUAUUUCAAACAUAUGGUAAAGUUUGGACAAAAUAUUUCAAUAAUUUGAGAGUUCAUUCCAAAAUCAUUACUUAUAAACAAGUCUUAUGAUUUUGGCCAUGAAUCAUAUAAAUAUAAAUAAGAAAAAUCAAACAACUGAAGUAGAUAUUGCCUUAUUAUGAACAUAAAUAUAAAUAAGAUAAAUCUAAUAUUGCCUUAGUAAUGAACUGAAGAAACAAAAUUAUGUUUUACCCUGUAAACAAAUCCAUUAAAAAAAUGAUAAAGAUACCUCAUUUCUCAACCUAAGCCACAUACUUCAAACUUUUCCUUUGUAAAAAUAUUUAUUUGAUAGUUUGUAAUAAAUAAUCAUCCAAUGAGACUAUUUAUAGCAAAUUAAAAUUGAAAUAUAUUUGAUAUGAACAAAACUAAAAAAUAACAACCGAAAAAAAAUGAAACGAUUGCUUUUGAAAAAAAAAACUAAUAACACAUGAACAAAUGGUUAAUAAGCAAUAAGUUAUAUCAACAUAGAACCACUAUGAACCAAUAUAAACCAUCAAUUUUAGCAUAAUCAUGCUGCUCUUAAGAAUUCCCAAAUUAGAAAAUUUUAGGGUUUAAGUGUAAAAAAUGUUUCAUGUCGUUCAUCAGCGAAAUAAAGUUAAUCUUAUAGUGACGAUCACCCUAAACACAAUAUUUUCCAAAGUAGAUAUAAUGAAGGCUAUUUGGUGCCAAUAAAAGAAAAGAAAGUAGCAGAGAAAAAAACACAAUAAAAGCUAAAUUUUUACCUUCUUGUUUCUUCCAAGUAGCCAAAGAAACAUUACCUUCUAGUUUCUUCCAAGUAGUAAAAGAAACAUAGAAGCUCUUCUCCAAAUCGCUUAUUUAAACCUAAAAGAACAAUUAAAACAAAAAAAAACUCAAGAUCUAAUGAUAAUAAGAGAGACCCGAAAUCAUAAAAUAAGAAAAGAAAGAAGUUAGGAUUUUGAAGGCAAAUGGUGAACUUGUGCCACCAGUUUGACAGGAUCAUGGCCGAGCACUUUUUGACAAUUGGGAUGUUAGGGAUUUUUCAGAUCUGGGGAGCUUAGGAGGGAACGAAUACUUUGGUAGAGGGAGUUGAAAAGUUAUAUUUUUGGAUAAGAUAAGACUUGUCCAUUUGUUUUGUUUUUAUCCACUCAAAAAGCACUGCUCUAAAAUAAUUAAAAAUAAUUCGUAGCCUAGAGGUCUUUUGAUUCAAUGUAGAAGCUUUAGGUUUAAGAGGUCUUGGGUUUGAAUUCGAACUAAAACAAAAUUAAAAUGAUAAUUUUUAAUUGCUGAUACCUAAGUGUCAUUGAUUGUUAUUACUAAAGCUAUUGAUACUUCAGUAUUAGUAAUUAGUGAUACCUAUCUGUUAAACGUGAAAAAUGGUUCAAAUAUAUGUACAUACUGAUACUUUUAAAUAAAGAGUCAGAAGACAAGUAUCAGUAAAGACCAUUUUUCUAGUAGUGUCAAUACUUUCACAUUGAUAUUAUAAUCUAAAUUCAACAUUCUGAAUUAAAACGUUCACAUGAUUAUUAUUGUUAUUUUCCAUCAAUAGACUUAUUAUGGACGGUUUAGAGCUCUAUUAUUUGUUUUGCAUCUAUCUUGAAUUAUUUCAAGACUGGUUAAAUAGACUCCAUUAAUGCUAUUCUAUUUUCUUCCUCAAAGGUCUCAUAUAUUUCAUUGUUAUCUUGGAAGUUUAUUCUCUUUAUAUCUUUAUACAAGCGUUUACUUGCAAUUAAUUGAGUUUUAACAAUUUCCAUUGUAUAAAUAACUUGAUAUUCUUGACUAAAGUCUAGAUUAUCUAUGGCAUCUAGAAGUUUGUCGACUAAUCUUCAAUUUUUGAUGAAAAUUGAGUUACACUUAUAAGAUCCAAAAGAUAAUCAAUGUCUAACAGGCUUCUAUUUGUGCAAAAUAUAAUAAUAAGAUAAUUCAGUAUACUAACCAAUGUACUAUUCCUCAAAAUUCUGGAAUAAAUUUGCUAAUUCCCUAAGACCAUAGAUUGGCCCAUGGUCAGCACCGCUCUAGCUGCACGCAUCAUGCAAGAUCACUCCCGUAACUGUUCCAUACUGCCUAAUACAACACACUGUAGACUAGCCCAAUUAGAUUUUUCUAAGUGAAUCCCUUGCAAUUGUCUUUGGAAGAGUGCUUAAUACCAUGAAAUCUUCUUCAUUUAACACAAAACUCUUUUUGAGUGAAAUUAUCAUCUUUAUAUAUAUAUAUAUAAAGAUGAUAAUUUCACUCAAAAAGAGUUUUGUUUAUUUCAUUUUUGAACUUAAAGAGAGAAUACAGAUGAGAAUGAGAGUAUAUUUGUGAGUGAUACCUCUAGCAUCUUACAUGACUCUAUUUAUAAACUUACAUGACACAUGUAGAUUUUAGCGAUAAGGUUAUCUCUUUUUACAUAACACUUGUUGCCUAGUAGAUUUCCUAGAGACAAAGUGACCCUUCCUCUUUGCAUUACUGAAGACAGUUGUUGUCUUCUUUUUUUGAUAGUUAACAGUCUUCACAUGGUUAAGGUAUCGAUUCUGAUAAGCCUUAUCCCUUCCCUUGGAUUUUUUAUGAAUUAUUGAUACUUCUAGCUAGCAUCUUUUAUCUUUUUAGUGGUUUCCUGUCACAUGCUAAUUAUAAGCUCUUCAUCUAGCGACAUGUCUUUUCUCGCUAGAUUCUUCUUUUGAUUUUUUAUAGUAAAAGCCACAAUAUGAUUGAUGCUUAAGCACCUUGCAUAUCCCAUGGUGUGUUAGCAAACUAGAUUCCACGAGAUUCUUGUUGAGUGUUAGAAAAUGUAUAUUUAUAAAGGAGAAAAUCGUCAUUUUACUUUUCAAGUCUUACUAACACCCUUACUUUUAUGUAUUUAAGCUUCUUGUGAUUUAAUUAUGUGUGUUUUAUUUUAAUUAAGUAUUUUAUAUAUUUUAGGGGCAUUAUGGUCAUUUCACAAUGAACAAGAGAUCAGACGGCAAAACGGACAUCACUUUUGAACUCAGGACGGUCGAAAACCUUAAGAGGAGCAUAAAAGGAAAAAUGACACUGUUCACAUGUACGGUACUGUCUACAUUACUGUUCACGACACUGUUCACAUAGACGGAUUGAUGAUAUGGCAUGACCGAUGAUGUGAUGUUGACUGAUGAGAUGUCACGAUCCUAUUGGACUAAAAUUCUUAUGCACUGUUGAUUGGUGACGUGGCAGCAUGUUAGUGGACCAAAAAUUGUGCGUGCGGUACAUGCAUAUACACAGAAUUAUUUUCCACCACACCGCGUUACUGUUCAAACCGGGUCAAACCGUGUCACUGUUCAAACCGCGUACUGUUGACUGAUGACGUGGCACAAUCCUGAGCGUCCAAACUGUUGUUAAUUUGAUGACCAUGAUUUACUCAAUAUAUCUAUAAAAAGGGGGCCUCCCCCUAAUUUGACAUCUCUGAAUCCAUUUUUUGGCUCCAUUUUUUUGUAAUUCCUUCUCUAUCUUGUAUUUUUUACGUAUUUUAAUAAAUUUCCAUUUUGCCCCUAGUUGAAUUAUGAGUAGCUAAUUUUCUUUCAAGUUGGGGUUGAAUGUGAAGUUUCAACAUGUGUCAUGGGCUUUAAUUGGUAAAUUUACUUUCUGUUCCCCUCUAGUUUUGUGGAUGUUUUGACUUCUCAUCGACAAAUAAUAAUAAUCUUGUCUAGAUACCGCCAUGGUUUCACCGGCACCCUAGUACAAGAUUAUUAUUAUUUGGCACGAUAAGCCCUUAGUACCAUAUUGAUUAGAGUGUGGUUCAUGGAGUGGGGAUUCCCCCCUCAUGAUUUAAUUGGCACUAAUAAGGAAUAUUUAGCCCAUGGUGUAUAUUGAUACGGAUCCAGAUAUCCAAGUGUUUCAUUUCAAUAGAUUUCUCUUCAAUUUAUUCUCGCCAUUUCAAUUCCAAUUUUAAGAUAAUCUAAGUCACUUUCACCACAAAUCUAACCACCCAUUUAGAAAAUUAAUUCUACACACAAUUAAAAUCUACCUCCUCGUGGGAUCGACACUCGUCACCAUUAAUCUAUACUACAAUAGAUUCGUGCACUUGCGAGUUCAAUAAAAUUUGCACAACAAGUUUUUGGAGUCGUUACUGGGGAGGUAAGUUAUUUUAAUUCGUAGAAUUAAUUUUUGUAAAUAAUUUCUUUUAAUUAUUUUCUUGUAAUUUUUUUCUUAUUUAAAAAAAAAGUGAAUCUCCAUUUAGAGGUUAGUAUUUCUUUUCUUUUUCUCUUCUUUAAAAUUAUGUAAUUUAAUUUUCAAGUUAUUUUUUCCUCUUUGUAAUUUUUAUUUAUCUUACUAAUUUAUUUUUAGUUAAUUUAUUUCACGUAUUUUUUUUUGUGUAUUUUUAUAGUAAGGUUGUAAUAGCGCGAUAAGGUUAAUAUCGUAAUUUCUCCUUCUUCUUUGUUUUUAUUCGUUUUGUUCCUAUUUAUUUUUGUGUUCUUUGCAUGCAUGGUCGAAGGUCAUUAUUACCUAAUUUUGAACCUAUAGACCUUGAACUAGAAAAAACACUGCGCACACACAACACACGUUAAAAAUAAAAGUGAAAUGGAUUUGCAACAAUAACAAGCACCACAGGAGAGGCCAUUUAAGGACUAUUUUAGUCCCUUAGCUAAUUUGAGCACAUCAUGCAUAAGAUACCCAAAUGUAGCUGCUAGGAGUUUUGAGUUAAAACCUAGUGUGCUAAAUUGUCUCCCAACAUUCUAUGGCCUAGAAAAUGAGGACCCAUAUAAUCAUUUGAAUGAUUUUCAUACUAUUUGUCAAACUUUUAAAUAUGAGAAUUUUUCAGACGAUGAUAAACUUAGAUUAUUCCCAUUUUCUUUAAAGGAUAGAGCUCGUUCAUGGUUAAAUACUUUGCCUGCUAAUAGCAUUACAUCAUGGGAACAAAUGGUAACAAAAUUUUUGAAUAAAUAUUUCUCAGUGCAUAAAACCAAUGCUAUUCGCAGGGAAAUUUCAAAGUUUACCCAGAGAGAAGACAAGCAGUUUUUUGAAACAUAGGAGCGAUUCAAUGGGCUACUCUUGAAGUGUCCACAUCAUGGGUACGAGAAAUGGCACCAAUGCCAAUACUUUUUUGAGGAAUUAUUGCCGAAUGUACAAGAAUGGCUAAUGGCAACAAGUGGAGGAGAGCUAAUGUCAAAAAGUGCAUCAGAGAUUUGGGAAUUCUUCCAGCGACAAGCGAAUAAUUCCCAACAACGGGGUCGAUUGCUCAGGAACACUAAAAGAAUUAAGGGAAUAAAUGAGGUUCACAUUGGCGAGUCAAGUUCAGAAAUUAAUUGAAGGUCUCUCUCGAAAAAUAGCAUCGUUAUCGACUGCUAAAUCAACAGAGCUACAUGACCAUGACUUAUACUCAGAUCAGGCCAAUGCCAUAGGUGUAAUGAGAAAACCACCCCAAUUUUUCAUGGUUUCAAGGAUUCCAACAGAAUGGACUGGCAGCUCCAGCUCCACCAAUGCAACAAAUUCCUCAAGUUCCUCAAGCCUCUCAGCCCCCAUUUAGACCAUUCAAUCAGAACCAGAACUACUCUCAACCCAGACCAUGGGAGGAUGCAUUCCAGAAUUUCAAGAAUGUUACUCACUCUACGAUUGAGCAAUAAAACCGCACCAUUGAUGGACUAUGAAAUCAGAUGAGAGCAGGCUUUAACUCACAAGCCCAAUCAGUUUCAAGCCUCAAGAAGAUGGUGGGACAACUUGCUUCUUCAGUUCAGACCUUGGCAAUUACUAUUGAGAAAGACAAGUUCCCAAGUCAACCAGUGCCUAAUCCUAAAAGAGUGCAUGAAGUAAGUACCAAUUCACCAUAGCAGCAUAGAGAGGUCAAAGUAGUCAUGACUUUGCAGAAAGGAAAAGAAGUCGACAACAAAGUGAAGAUGCCAGUGACAAAAGAAAAUCAAAUUGUUCCUCCCUGUGAAUGUUGAGAACUUACCAUCGGAAGAGAAAGAAGAAACCAACCCACGAGAAUAUGUUUCUAAAGCUCCAUUUCCUCAGAGGUUAGCUAAAUGAGAGAAGGGAAAAUCCACAGGUGAGAUUCUUGAAAUCUUCAAAUAAGUAAGUGUUAACAUCCCUUUACUUGAUGCUAUAAAACAAGUUCCAUCUUAUACCGAGUUUCUUAAAGACAUUUGUACUAAAAAGAGAAACAUUCACGUUCAAAAGAAGGCAUUUUUAACAGAAAACGUUAGUUCUAUACUCCAAUAUAAAAUCCCUCUAAAAUGCAAAGACCUAGGCUCCCUCACUAUCUCAUGUAGUAUAGGGAACCACACAAUUGAGAAUGCUUUGUUGGAUUUAGGAGCUAGUGUAAAUCUAUUGCAUUCUUCAGUAUUUGUGAAACUUGGACUUGGAGAAUUACACCCAACUCCAGUGGUGUUACAACUUGCAGAUCGAUCCACGAAAGUACCUCGUGGUAUUGUGGAGGACGUGCUUAUCCAGGUAGACAAGUUUUAUUUUCUUAUUGAUUUCAUUGCAAUUGACAUUCAACCAAUAAAUGAUUCAAGGAAGCACAUCCCCAUUAUCCUAGGCGGACCUUUCUUGGCAACUGUGGAUGCUCACAUUCAAUGCAGGAAUAGAAAUAUGCAGUUGUCCUUCGGCAACAUGACUAUGGAGCUAAACAUCUUCAACAUUGCCAAACAACCUUAUAAUGGAGAUGAUGAAAUUGUUGAUGUGGAUUUAAUCGAAGCAUUAGUUGAUGACACUUUUCUUUCAAACCAUAAUGAUGACCCUUUACAAACAUGUUUAACUCACUUUGGUUUGGAUUUUGAUAUUGACAGAUCAGUCGAUGAGGUUAAUGCCCUACUUGACUCAGCACCAUCCAUGGAUACUAAUAAAUGGAAGUCAAGAGUUGAACAAUUAGCACCAUCAGAGAAAAAACUCAUCCCAUCAUCAGAAUCACCACCGAAACUCGAGCUGAAACCAUUACUCAACACAUUGGAAUAUGCAUUUUUGGGAGAAGAAAGUACUCUACCUGUAAUCAUCUCAUCAUCCCUCAAUGACGAACAAAAAGGAAAGUUGUUGGAUAUUUUAAAAGAGCACAAAGGAGCAUUAGGAUGGACCAUAGCAAAUAUCAAAGGUAUAAACUUAGUAGAUUGCAUGCAUUACAUUCACCUUGAUGAAAAUACUAAACCUACUAGGGAAAUGCAACGUCGGUUAAAUCCUAACAUGAAAGAAAUUGUUAGAACUGAAGUCCUUAAGCUAUUAGACGCAGGUAUCAUUUACCCAAUUUCUGAUAGUUCAUGGGUCAGUCCUGUACAAGUUGUCCCUAAAAAGUCAGGAGUCACAGUAGUUACCAAUACUGAUAAUGAAUUAAUACCAACUAGAGUAACUACAGGAUAAUGUGUAUGCUUUGAUUAUAGAAAGUUGACUUCUGUCAUACGUAAAGACCAUUUUCCUUUACCAUUUAUCGAUUAAAUGCUUGAUAGAUUAGCAGGCCAUGAAUUUUAUUGCUUUCUAGAUGGCUACUCAGGAUACAAUUAGAUCCCCAUAGCACCAAAAGAUCAAGAGAAUACUACUUUCACUUGCCCUUUUGGUACUUUUGCAUAUAGGAGGAUGCCAUUUGGAUUAUGUAAUGCACCUGCUACAUUUCAACGAUGCAUGUUGAGCAUUUUUUCUGAUAUGGUUGAACGAUUCCUUGAAGUCUUUAUGGAUGACUUUUCUGUCUUUGAUGAUUCAUUUGAUUAAUGUUUACAUCAUCUAACACUAGUUUUGCAGAGAUGUACCGAGAAGAACUUAGUCUUGAAUUGGGAGAAGUGUCAUUUUAUGGUAAAACAAGGUAUUAUUCUCGAUCACAUCAUUUCAAGUAAAGGUAUUGAGGUUGACAAAGGCAAGGUGAAUCUCAUUUCUAAUCUUCCUUCAUCCAAAAUAGUCAGGAAAGUAAGAUCUUUCGUUGGGCAUGCUGGUUUUGAUAGUCAUUUUAUUAAAGAUUUUAGCAAAGUUUCUAGACUCUUAUGCAAUCUACUUACUAAAGAUGUACCUUUUAUCUUUGAUGAUUCAUGUCUUGUGGCAUUUAAAAAAUUAAAGCAGUUGUUGACAUCAUCACUCAUCAUUCAGCCCCCAAACUGGAGCUUACCAUUUGAACUCAUGUGUGAUGCAUAUGAUUAUACAGCAGGAGCAGUAUUAAGACAAAGAGUUGAUCAAAUUUCCCAUGUUAUUUACUAUGCUAGUAUGACAUUGAAUGAUGCACAGUUGAACUAUUCAACUACUAAAAAAGAAAUAUUAGCAGUAGUGUUUGCAUUGGAAAAAUUUCGAUCUUAUCUCAUUGGUUGUAAAAUAAUUGUAUUCACAGAUCAUGAUGCUCUUAAAUAUAUUCUCACAAAGAGAGAUGCAAAAGCUAGACUAAUUCGUUGGGUGUUACUUUUGCAGGAAUUCGACUUGGAAUUUAAAGAUAAGAAAGGCACAGAAAAUGUUGUGGCAUACCAUAUCUCUCGUUUUCAUUUUGACACAAUUACAGAACCAUUAACAUUGAAUGAGUCAUGCUCAGAUGAACAAUUCAUGAGUGUAGAAGUAUUACCAUGGUAUGCUGACAUCGUGAAUUAUCUUGUUACAGGUCAACUUCCAGAGCAUUAGACCAAGCAAGACAAGGCCAAUUUUUUUGCAGAAAUAAAGAAUUUCUCUUGGGAUGCCCCGCAUUUGUUCAAGUAUUGUGCAGAUCAAAUUGUUAGACGAUGUGUCCCAGAAAAUAAAAUUCAGAAUAUCCUUUCAUUCUGCCAUGAACAAGCUUGUGGAGGCCAUUUCAGUGCUAAGAAAACAACAACUAAAGUUUUACAAUGUGGUUUUUAUUGGCCAACUAUAUUUCGAGAUGCUUACACUUUCUGUUCUUCACGUGAUAGGUGUCAACAAAUGGGGAGCAUUACGCGAAGGAAUAUGAUGCCAUUAAAUUUAAUUUUAGUGGUUGAGAUUUUUUAUGUAUAGGUAUCGACUUCAUAGGACCUUUUCUCCCUUCUUUUGGCCAUCAAUACAUAUUGGUUGCUAUUGACUACGUAUCGAAAUGGGUAAAAGCAAUUCCAUGUAGAACUAAUUAUCACAAGGUGGUGAUAGAAUUUUUGAAAAGCAACAUUGUUUCAUAGUUUGGAUUCCCUCGAGUAAUGAUCAGUAAUGGUGGUGCCCACUUUUGUAACAAAGCAUUCAAAGCUCUUUUGACAAAGUAUUCCAUCACUCACAAAGUGGUGACCCCAUAUCAUCCUCAAACCAAUGGCCAAGUUGAGAUCUCCAAUCGAGAAAUAAAGCACAUAUUAGAAAAGACGGUGAGGUCAGACAGAAAAGAUUGGUCAUUAAGAAUUGAUGAUGCAUUAUGGGCAUAUAGAACGGCUUUCAAGACCCCAAUUGGGAUGUCACCCUACAGGCUGGUGUAUGAAAAAACUUGCCACCUACCUGUGGAACUCGAGCAUCGUGCAUAUUGGGCCAUCAAGAAAUUCAACUUUGACAUGCAGCAAACUAGCUCAGAAAGAUGAUUACAACUAGCAGAACUUGAAGAAAUUCGCAAUGACGCAUACGAAAAUGCCAAGAUUUACAAGCAGCGAAUGAAAGUCUUUCAUUAUGAGAAAAUCUUUCACUCUAGGUCAGAAAGUUCUUUUAUUCAAUUCUCGUUUGCACCUAUUCCCAGGUAAGUUACGCUCUCGAUGGUCUGGCCCCUUUAUUGUUCACACUGUUUUUCCACACAAGGCAAUUGAAAUUAAGGACCCAAAGAACAGUGUCACGUUUAAAGUUAAUGGUCAAAGAUUAAAGCCAUAUCUAGAGUACUAACCACAUGGAGAGGACACUGAAAUAAAUUUGAGUGACCCACCAGAUUUGAAUUGAGUUUUUUUUCUUUCUUUUCGGUGAUUUGAUUUUUUUUCUCCUUUCUUUUUAUUAUUCUUUUGCUAAUUGAAAUUAUUUUUGCAUAAGUGUGUUUGUUUAACCAUUAAGUUUUCUCUUAUCAUUGUUAAUAAUGAGUGCCAUAGCCAAACAGUUCCUCCUGGACAUUCUUAAACCACUUCAACAUGUAAAAUCUCAUCUCAAAAGGCAGAUUUGAUUUUGUAAAACACAUCGUAUUUGGGCUCUGCAACCACCAGAGUUAGUAUCAUAUGUUGAGGAUUUAGAAAGCCAACUCAGAGAUAUUGAGAGAAGUGUCUACAACAUCCAGUUGGAGCUUGAAGUAAAUUCAAUAAGAGAACGAUUGUAAUUUUCUUUAUGUGUUUUAGUUUAUUUUCUUUGUUUGUGUGCUUUAGUUUAUUACCGCAGUGAAGUGGCGGAUAACGGUACUCCGUGACAAUCAAGUCGAUUACUUUAGUUUCCCAUAAUAACUGAUAUUCUGAGGCGAAGGUAUGGACAUAAAUGAGAUUCUAGAAAAGCUUCAUAAUCGAUUCCCUUCACUUCCUUAGAAUGCCCUCUUUACAAUCUAUAAAGCUCGGUCCGAACAUAUGCGAUUGCUCAUGAGGAAUAACAUACCUGCUGACAUCCGUUGGUUAAUCGAGGCUAAAGUACGAUUGGCAGGUAUGUUACUUCCAAAAUUUAUUGCAUACAUGCCUGGUUGUGACAAAGGAAAUUAUGCAAGAAAACGAAGAGCUCAAAGAAUUUCUGUUGCUUGUCAUAAGUGUGCCAGAAUGAGUUGCGAUAAAAAAUCAUGUUCUUUAAGAAUGGUGUCUAAUAAUAGGGAAGAUUCAAUUCAUUAGGGAUGGCUUGAAUAAGGAGUCAUUGGAUGAUAUCUUUUUAUUUAUUGAAACGCAUCCUAGUGGAUAUGUGCAAGGAGCGAUUCUCCAGUUAUAACCAUUAUUCCAGAAAGAGCAUACACGAUAUAGUCUCGGGAAUCUGACUAUAAACGACAUUGUUUACCAGUUUAUAAGAAAACUAGAUGGGAAGCCUAUCCUCGACCCAUAGAGGGCGUUCAAGCCGUUUCUGGACGUAAAAUCAGAGGAAGAUGUGAGCUACAGUCGCAAUUACCUGUAAAUAUCAUUUUACUUCAGUGUUAUUUUAUUUCACUGUUGUUUUAUCAUUUGCAUUAUUGUCUUUAAUAAUUUUAUUUUAUCAUUUUUUUAAUGUUUGCUUUUUGACUCUCGAGCCAUGUGCUUUACGCGUUAUUUGACACUGACAUGCUACCUCAUACACAGCUGUGACCCACUGUCAUCAAGAUUCUUAAAUAUGAUUUUUUGUCAAGUACUCACAAAUUAUUUUUGAGAAGUAUCCUAAUGCCAGCUACUCCCAAUAGACAAUUCAAGAACAUUUGUGUCAAGAACAUUUCUGGAUUUAACUAUGGCAAGCAUAAAGAGUUCGUUGAGGCAGCCAUAGAUCUUGGUCGAAGCAUAGUAAAGAGAAAAUUACACUUGGUGUAUGGAGGAGGUAACUGAGGGUUAUCAAAAUUGGUCUCAGAAGCUGCUUUUGUUAGAAGAAGCCAAGUGUUAGGCAUCAUCCCAAGAGCCCUAAAACCUUUGGGCAGUUUGUCUGACUCACCGACUGGAGAAGAGUUAGUCGUCUCAGGUAUGCAAGAAAGAAUAACUGAAAUGCUUAAUCAUACUGAUGUUUUUAUUUUCCUACCAGGAGAUCUUGCAACUCUAGAGGCACUUAUCACAUUAGCAUCUUGGGCCCAUCUGCACAUUCACCAGACACCCAUCGGUUUGUUAAAUGUCAAUAACUUUUAUGAUGACUUUAUCAUAUUUCUUAACCAUGCAAUAAAAAACUAUUUCAUUCCUUCCAAUGCGAAAAAGCUUUUUAUUUAUGCUCACACUGCUAAUGAGCUACUUGAUAUGUUACAAGCUUAUAGACCGGAGCCAGACCCAUGGACCUUUGUGUUGGAGCGUCCAAAUAAUGAUGGUAAUAGUAGCCGCAGUAAGAAGUACAAAUUAGAUUUAACUCUUCGCUUAUAAAUAUUUUCUUCUAUGUUGCACCACCCAGGUAAUGUCUUCUAAACUCUACUUCUUUCCUUUAAAAUAUUAAAGACAAUAUUUCGUUCUGGUUGGGGGGAGGGAAUAGUCGACAAUUAUAGAAUAUUGGUUAAGUUUUUACUAAUUUUUUGUUAUAGAAACUAACUGUUGCUAACUUUGUGUGUUGAAGAUGGCUGAAUAUGGAGUGUAGUGACUCUAGAAACGCAUCUUCAUCGUUUGAAAAAAAAAAGCAAAAAAAAAUUAAUUCAAACAUUUUCUUUUUCUUUAUUAAGCUUUGAUAUUUAUUUUUCUUCCUCUUUUUAAUUUCUCCUUUAUAAAUAUACAUUUUAAAUUUUUGAGUCGAAGAUGGCGGAAUAUGGAGUGUAGUGCCUCUAGAAACGCAUCUUCUUAGUUAAACAAAAAAAAAAACCGUUUUCUUUUUCUAUCAUUUUAAGUGUAACUUUUCUAAUUAGUUUUUCUGCAUCAUUUUCACAUUUCUGCAUGCAUAUUUUCCUUUCAUGUUUAGAAUAGGUUGGGGGGUAGGAUGUUGUUUGAAAAAAAAAGUUGUGUGAUUUGUUUUAACAUUGGAUGACAUGAUUAAUUUCAAAUUUUAGUAUUUGUAUUAUCUUUGGUCUUAAGUGAUGUUACGCUAUGUUUGCUACUCUGCAUGUUGAUGUCGGAGACAAAUAUGAGUUGCUUGAAGGAAUGAACAUGUCAUAAUAAGUACCAAGUGAGUUUUUGAGCUUAUCAUUUUUCUUGGAGAGUAACCUUUUUGCCCAUUCUUUAUACAGUUUUGCAGUUUAUUAUUUUAUACACGAUCUCUAGAUUUCUUUUGAGUUUACCCUUAAAAAAAUGUAAAAUAAAAAAAAGAAAAAGAAAAAGAAAAAGAAAAAAUGUGUGUUGUUACAUUUGGAGGCCCAUCUAACUAGUAGAUAUGGAAGAUUAUUUAGAGCCCUAAAAGACGAUGGAAAGGAUAUCUUUGAUCCGUUUGAGUCUUUCUAGCCAUCCCUUUUAUGAAAUAUCCAUAGUUAACCCUUUUGAGCCUUUUUUAAAAAAUAUUUUCUUUGUCAAACUUAUCAUCUUGACCCACUCCGAUUUGGAGUAUUACCCGAUAUCUUACAAGUUCCGUCACCUAUUUAUGUUUGAGAAAAAUGUAAAUAAUUAUUUUGUUCAGUGAAGUUAUGCUAAAAAAAAUUGUUGUUUCAAAAAUAAAAAUAACAAUAAUAGGUGAAAUCCACCUUGCAACUUAAAAAAAAAAAAUCUUUACAUUUUUCUCAAACAUACACUUUGUUUUCCUUAUUUCUCCUCCUUUGUUAGCCAUGUCCCUAGCCUAUGUUAUGUUCUAAUAAAAGUCCUUCUUGAUUUUAAGGAACUAUAAUAUGAAGUAGAAGCUAGUUAUAUGGGCUAAAAAGAUGUAGUGGUGCAUAAAAAAAAUAAAUAAAUUGGGUUAACUAGCAUUUUUAUUUGACUUGAGAUCGUAUUAUUUCUAAGCUGAGGGCAUAUUUCUUUCAUCUUGGUGAGAGCAUGUGAUAUCACUUCUUUAUUAUUUUCUCUCAAAUACCAUUAAUUGGAGUGACUAUUUUUAUUGGGUUUAUUUUCUUUGUGAGAGUGUCACUAUUUCUAGUGAGAUUUUGGGGUUUAACAUGUCAUUUUUGAAAGUAGCUGCCACAAAGUCUACUGGGUUGAUUCAUGUGGAUGGUUGAUGUGGGUGUGAUGUUUCUUUAGACUGGAGAUAAUGCUUAUACUUUUAUUUUAUUAUUAUCAUUAGUCUGAUUGAAUAAACAUGAUUGUUAAAAAAAAUUGGAUUUGAAUUUUGUUUUCGCUUUAUUUGCUAGGGACUAGCAAUAAGCUGGUUGGGGGGUGUGUUGAGUGUUAGAAAAUGUAUAUUUAUAAAGGAGAAAAUCGUCAUUUUACUUUUCAAGUCUUACUAACACCCUUACUUUUAUAUAUUUAAGCUUAUUGUGAUUUAAUUACGUGUUUUUUUAUUUUAAUUAAGUAUUUUAUAUAUUUUAGGGGCAUUAUGGUCAUUUCAUAAUGAACGAGAGAUCAAACGGUAAAACAGACAUCACUUUUGAACUCAGGACAUUCGAAAACCUUAGGAGGAGCAUAAAAGGAAAAAUGACACUGUUCACAUGUACGGUACUGUCUAUGUUACUGUUCACGACACGUUUACAUAGACGGAUCGAUGACGUGGCAUUGACCGAUGAUGUGGCAUUGACUGAUGAGGUGUCACGAUCCUGUUGGACUAAAAUUCUUAUGCACUGUUGAUUGGUGACGUGGCAACAUGUUAGUGGACUAAAAAUUACACGUACAGUACAUGCAUAUACACAGAAUUAUUUUCAACCAAACCGCGUUACUGUUCAAACCGGGUUAAACCGUGUCACUCUUCAAACCGCGUACUGUUGACUGAUGACCUGGUGCAAUCCUGAGCAUCCAAACUGUUUUUAAUCCGAUGGCCAUAAUUUACCCAUUGUAUCUAUAAAAAGGGGGCCUCCCCCCUAAUUUGGCAUCUCUGAAUCCAUUUUUGGGCUCCAUUUUCUGUAAUUCCUUCUCUAUCUUGUAUUUUCUAUAUAUUUUAAUAAAUUCACAUUUUGCCCCUAGUUCAAUUAUGAGUAGCUAAUUUUCUUUCAAGCUUGGGUUGAAGGUAAAGUUUCAACAUGUGUCAUGGGCUUUAAUUGGUAAAUUUACUUUCUAUUCCCUCUAGUUUUUGUGGAUGUUUUGACUUCUCGUCGACAAAUAAUAAUAGUCUUGUCUAGAUACCGUCCUGGUUUCACCGGCUCCCUAGUACAAUGUUAUUAUUAUUUGGCACGAUAAGCCCUUAGCACCAUAUUGAUUAGAGUGUGGUUCACGAGGUGUGGAUUUCUCCCUUAUGAUUUAAUUGGCACUAAUAAGAAAUAUUUAGCCCAUGGUGCAUGUUGAUACGGAUCCAGAUACCCAAGUGUUUCAUUUUAAUAGAUUUCUCUUCAAUUUAUUCUCGCCAUUUCAAUUCCAAUUUUAAGAUAAUCUAAGUCACUUUUAGCACAAAUCCUGUUAACAUAUAUGUUUCCAUGAUAUUGAUUUUGAUGAUAACAAACAAGAUUAAGAAUGAUUAAUCUUUUAAGCCCAAAUUAUUUAAUAUUCUUUUUAAAUAAAAUCAUUAUUUUUACAUUAUAAAGGUUUUAUAUUUAAUGGAAAAAUGAUUUUAUGAAAUUGAUUGUUUUUAUUCUUUUUAAAUAAAUCAUUAUUUUUGCAUUAUAAAUGUUUCAUAUUUAAUGGAAAAAUGAUUUUAUGAAAUUGUUUGUUUUUCAAAGUUUAUGGUUUCAUUGAAAGAAUUUUGAAAACUUUGAAAUAAACAAGUAUUGCUUGAAAUUUUGGUAAAGGACUUAUUUGAAAAGUGUCAUAGUAUUUUUGACUAUAUCAUAAUUUCAAAAAGUUUUGGGAUUAACAAAGAAUUAUUUAGAAAUUCUGAAAUUGGACUUAUUUGUAAUAUUUCAUAACGUUUUGGGCCAUACUACAAUUUUAUAAAGUUUUGGGGUCAAACGGUAAAUUUUGGGAAAUAUUUUACUGUAGCAGUUACUGUAGCAAGCAGCUUACCGGAUGCUGAUAAACGGCAACCUGGAUACGGGGCAGUAAGCACCAGAACGAAAGCGGCUUACCGGAUAUGGUUAAACGGCAAGCCGGUUACGACAAAAAAUGUGCAUAAUGGCUAGUAACGGCUAGUUUUUGAGUUCAAACUAUAUAAACUCAAAACCAAUUCAUUUUUGGCAACUCAAGCAAGCACAAACAAGUGCACACAACAUAUAUUGAGCUUCCAUUUCGUAAAUCAUCAUUUGUUGAAUCAUCAUUGAGCUAUAAUUUGUAUAUCCACUCUUAAAGAGAGAUUCAUUGUUGUAUUUAUCAUUUCUCAUCAAAUUGUGAGAGUACAAGUGUGAGAGACACUUGGGGUGAAGAGAUUGGAGAGAUAAUCUCUUGUUGUAAAGGUUCAUUGACACCUUGAAGUCAACUGUAAUCGUUUGAAGCCUUGGAAAGGCUUGGAUAGUGAAAUCCUCAAGCUCGGUGUGCUUGGAGGCGUGGACGUAGGCGGGGAUUGCCGAACCACGUAAAAAUCCUUGAGUUAGCUUUCUCUUCCCUUACUCAUUUAUUAUUGUGCUUUUAUUGAAUUUAUUGUUUUCGAAUUUAUUAAGGCAUUAGAUUGAAUUGUUGUGUGGUUUGCCUAGAAUAAUUUUAAAAACCCAAUUCACCCCCCCUCUUGGGUUGCCUAGCUAGUAUUUCAUUUGGUAUCAGAGCGAGGUGCUCUUGUGUAGACUUAACCGUCUAGAGUUAAAGAUUAAUAUCAACCCAAAUUAGUUCAACUUUCAUGGAAGGCCAAUCCACCACUAGACCUCCAUUCUUUGAUGGUAAUGACUAUCCUUAUUGGAAAACUAGGAUGAGAGUGUUUUUACAAGCCUUAGAUUAUGAACUAUGGGAAAUAGUUUGUGAUGGUUCAUUCAUUCCUAGGAAGAAUGUUUUAAGUGAAUUGGAUAAGAAAAACAUGACUUUAAAUUCCAAGACUAUGAAUGCUUUAUUUUGUGCCUUAGAUAAAAAUGAAUUUCAUAGAGUUUCAAAUUGUUCUAAUGCUUAUGAAAUUUGGAGAAAACUUGAAAUUGUGUAUGAGGAGACUACAAACAAGGAGGAAUUUCAUGAAGUGUCGAAUUUGGCACUUAUGACAAUUGGAGAUGAAUCGGAUGAUGAACUUGAUGAGGUAAGUGAUCCAACCUAUGAUGAAUUGUAUGAUGCUUUUAAAGAAUUGCAUGAUAAUUGGAUAAAAAUUGGUAAAAAGAAUGCAUGUUUUAAAAAGAAAAUGGUAGAGCUCACAAAUGAAAAUGAAUCUCUAUGUGCAAAGAUUACAUGCCUAGAAUUAGAGAAUAAAACAUUGCAUGAUAGAGUUGCAUUAUCAAAUGAGAAAUCUAGCACUUCACACAAGCAUCUAGAAUCACAUGUAAAUGACUUGAAAAAUGAAAAUGAUUCUUACAAAAAUGCAAUGGUUCAUUAAAUGAAAAGAUUAAAGGACUAGAGUUAGAUAAUAAAAUUUUGCAUGAUAGAAUUGCAUCAUUUAAAUGCAAACAAAGUACUUCAUAUGAGCAUGAAAAAUCACAUGUUGGUGAAUUGAUGAAAGAAAAUGAAGUGCUUAAGAAAAAGAGUAAUGAGCUCAACGAAAUUGUGUUAAAAUUCACAAAUGGUCAAAAGAACUUAGAAAAAUUACUAAGCACUCAAAAAUGUGUGUUUGAUAAAGGAGGACUUGGGUAUAAGCCUUACUUGAAACAAAAAUAUUAUAAGAAUUAUUUUUUUAAGGCUACCUCCACAAGUGAUCAUAAGAUUAUUUGUCAUUAUUGUAAUGGAAAUGGUCAUAUGAGUUUUAGAUGUCCAGUUAAGAGAAAUGCGUAUUAUGGAGCAAAAUGUAUUUGGGUUCCAAAAGAAAUUAAAUCUAACGUUCAAGGACCCAAGAGUAUUUGGGUACCAAAGCACACAACUUGAAUUUGUUUUGUAGGUACCACAAUCAAGGAAUGGUGGAGAAGUUCCUUGAUGGAAGCUUGUGAGGAUAAUCAUUUGAGCAUGAUCUAAGAAAAAAAGAUGAGGCAAGAUGAUUUAAUUAUUUUGGUAACAAUUCUUGCCAUAUUAAUUUUGUUGAAUGAAUCAUGAUAAAUAAAAUUGCGAAAGUAUGCUUGUAUGUUUACAUGAUGGAAUUAUCAUUGUGUGUAAUAUUGAGUGAUUUAUCAUGAUGGAUUUAUUUGAUGUUAAUGUUUAUGAAGUGUUUAAGCAUGAUAGUUAAGUGGUGUGUUUAAUUUAUUCACUUUUGAAUGUUUAUAUGUUUAAUUAUUGUGAAAAUCUCUAGUCUGCACAAGUUGUAAUGAAUUGGUCAUAACUCCUUCUAGAGAACUCCAAAUCCAGCUCUGUAAAAUUUAUUGGAAAGCUAACUUAAUUAUCUUUCCAACGGUAUAUUGCUUGCACAUUACUUUUUGCCUCAAAUUGGACUACCGGUUAGCAAAACCGGAAAGCCGGAUUCGCAAGGAACGCUUGCUGGACCAAACUGGAUUUCCGGUUCUGUCAAUUCGGAAUUCCGAAUUCGAGCUGCAUUUUGGCAAAUCGGCAAGCUGAUUCUCUCUUGCUAUCUUCUGGAUCCAACCGGCAAGCCGGUUCGUGUUAUCCGGAAAACCGGAUUUGCGUGAAACAUUUGCUGGAACCAACCGGAUUUCCGGUUAAGCUCAUUCGGCAAUCCGGUUUCGGGUGCUAUUCAACUAUUCAUCUUCUCCCUCUCUUUCGGCUUUCUGUUUCUCUCUUUCUCACUAAAAGCCGAUUACUCCUCACUUGAUUUGAUUCCAAAAUCCAUCAUUCUCAUUCGUUUUCAAUCCAAAUUGAUUCAUAUAAAUUAUUCUCAUCCAUUCUUGUGUCUAAAAUCAUCUCUAAAAUCGUUUUAAUUGAUUCAAACUUACACUUUUUACUCAAUAUCUUAAAAAAUUCGAAUUUGUGCAUUUUGAGUAUUUCAAAUUACCACUUCCAUAGUGUGCUCUCCUUAUGGAUUUUACCAUAGUUUUCUAUUAUAUUAUGCACCUACAUUUUCAUAUGCAUUGUUGCUUUCAUUGUGGAUUGAUGAUGAUUAUUAUUUGAUAUUUGGAUGCAAAUGUUUUAUUUUGAGCACAAAAGAUAAUCUUGGCAAAUUUGAUCCAAAAUUUGAUGUUGGUAUUUCUCUUGGCUAUUCAAACACAAGCAAAACUUAUAGAGUGUAUAUCAAAAGAACUUUGAUUGUGAAAGAAUUUAUACAUGUUAUAUUUGAUGAGUCUAAUUCUUCCUCUAUGGAGAAAGUUGUUGUUGAUGAUAAUGUAGAUGAAAAGCUACAAGAAGAUUAUCAAAUGAUAGCCAAAAGAAUGCACCACUUGAAAAUCAAAAGGAGCAACAUGAAGAAACAAAUGCGGAGUAAGAUGAAGGUACUUCUCAAGCACUCCCUAAAGAGUGAAGGUAUAUUUCUUCUCACCUUAAGAAUUUAAUUUUGAAGAUCCAUCACAAGGUGUAACUACUAGAUCAUCACUUAAAAAUAUAUGUGAGCAUUUGUAAUAAUGGAUUUGAUCACUUGUUCUUUAGCUCAUAAUGAUGGCUUUUUAGCUAUGUUGAUUUUGAUGAUCUAUAAUGGCAUAUGUUGAUUUUGAUUAUCUAUAUAUUGCUAUUAUAUACUUAUGCUUUGAUGACAAAGAAUGUGCUUUGAUGAUUCCAUUGUAGUUGAUGAAAUUUGAUCUUAUGGAAUCUAUGAUUGGUGAAUGGAUACAUUUUUUUGUAUGCCUUCUUGACGUAUUGUUAAAUAUCCAUUACUUGCUUUAAAUAAUAUCGAAAGGGGGAGAAAUACAUUAUCCUUGAGAUCUUGGCGCAUAUGAGAGUGUAAAUUAUAUUAAAAUGUCACAUUAGAUCUUUGAUGAGUUUAGUUGUCUUGAUUUCUAAAAUGUGAUUAGUAAUUAUAUGUUUUUUGAACUGUUGACAUUAUGCUCUUAUGACUUUUGCAUUCCCUUGCUUAGCUUAUUACUUGUUCUAUUUUGGAUAAUAUGCUUUUUGAACAUUUUUAUUGUCCAAAGGGGGAGACAAAGUAAUAAAUCAUUUUAAUGAUAUAAAUUGGGGGAAAUAAUAUGCAUUUUGAGCAUUCUUUUAAUGGUUGAUAUAUGAUUAUGGAAUCCUCGGAUUUAAUUGUUACAAGUGUUUGAGGAAUUCAUAUUGAUUUUGAUGAUUAAUGAUUAUAUGUGCAUUGCUUGAUGAAUGGAUGGAGUUGUUGAUUUAUUAUAAUUGUUUAAGCUUAUAUGGAAGUAUUUUUAACCAUGUUGUGUAUUUAAGGAUUUGUUCAUUUUUAAAGGGGAGACUUUGCCGAAAUUUUUUCUCGCACAAAAUGGGUAAUAUCUUUAUUGAAUUAUUUUUAAUGAUUUUGUUUCAAUUGCAUCUAUCUAUCUUUUCUUUUUUUAUGAUGAAAGGGGAGAUAAAUAUGAUAUUUUUUUUUGGAUAAAAUCAUUUUGGUUAAAUUUUUAAUUGGCUAUAUAUUUAGGGGGAGCAUAUAAUAUGUUUUUGAAUAAUAUGCAUUUUGAGUAAUUGUUUUGAUAAUUGAUAUUUGAUUCUUUUGAUGAUUUUGAUGAUAUGUGAUUAUGGUGAGGACUUGAUGAUUUUGAGAUAUGAUGAUAAUUUGUGAGUAAUAUCACUAAUCUUGUAUUUGAGGUGGUGCUUGUUGUUAGGGGGAGAUUUUGUUGAAAUUUCUAUUCGGACAACAUUGGUAACAAAUUUGCUACUCUUAUUCUUUUCCUUUACGUUUUUUUUUAUGAUGAAGGGGGAGAAGAAUAAAUGUUUUCAAAUUUAUAAAAAUUUGCUAUUUUUUUUGCCAAUUGAGUUUUUUCUUUUUGAUGAUGAGGGGGAGAAAAAUCCAUGUAUUUAAAUAUGUUAAUUUAGAUAAUUGGCAAAUUGUAAAAGAAGAUUAUAUUUAGGGAGAGCAAUUUGUGUAAUCAUUCUUUAAAUACAUGAAAUGUUUGUCAUCAUCAAAAAGGGGGAGAUUGUUAACAUAUAUGUUUCCAUGAUAUUGAUUUUGAUGAUAACAAACAAGAUUAAGAAUGAUUAAUCUUUUAAGCCCAAAUUAUUUAAUAUUCUUUUUAAAUAAAAUCAUUAUUUUUACAUUAUAAAGGUUUUAUAUUUAAUGAAAAAAUGAUUUUAUGAAAUUGAUUGUUUUUAUUCUUUUUAAAUAAAUCAUUAUUUUUACAUUAUAAAUGUUUCAUAUUUAAUAGAAAAAUGAUUUUAUGAAAUUGGUUGUUUUUCAAAGUUUAUGGUUUCAUUGAAAGAAUUUUGAAAACUUUGAAAUAAACAAGUAUUGCUUGAAAUUUUGGUAAAGGACUUAUUUGAAAGUGUCAUAGUAUUUUUGGCUAUAUCAUAAUUUCAGAAAGUUUUGGGAUUAACAAAGAAUUAUUUAGAAAUUCUGAAAUUGGACUUAUUUAUAACGUUUCAUAACGUUUUGGGCCAUACUAUAAUUUUAUAAAGUUUUGGGGUCAAACGGUAAAUUUUGGGAAAUAUUUUACUGUAGCAGUUACUGUAGCAAGCAGCUUACCGGAUGCUGAUAAACGGCAAGCCGGAUACGGGGCAGUAAGCACCAGAACGAAAGCGGCUUACCGGAUAUGGUUAAACGGCAAGCCGGUUACGACAAAAAAUGUGCAUAACGGCUAGUAACAGCUAGUUUUUGAGUUCAAACUAUAUAAACUCAAAACCAAUUCAUUUUUGGCAACUCAAGCAAGCAUAAACAAGUGCACACAACAUAUAUUGAGCUUCCAUUUCGUAAAUCAUCAUUUGUUGAAUCAUCAUUGAGCUAGAAUUUGUAUAUCCACUCUUAAAGAGAGAUUCAUUGUUGUAUUUAUCAUUUCUCAUCAAAUUGUGAGAGUACAAGUGUGAGAGACACUUGGGGUGAAGAGAUUGGAGAGAUAAUCUCUUGUUGUAAAGGUUCAUUGACACCUUGAAGUCAACUGUAAUCGUUUGAAGCCUUGGAAAGGCUUGGAUAGUGAAAUCCUCAAGCCCGGUGUGCUUGGAGGCGUGGACGUAGGCGGGGAUUGCCGAACCACGUAAAAAUCCUUGAGUUAGCUUUCUCUUCCCUUACUCAUUUAUUAUUGUACUUUUAUUGAAUUUAUUGUUUUCGAAUUUAUUAAGGCAUUAGAUUGAAUUGUUGUGUGGUUUGCCUAGAAUAAUUUUAAAAACCCAAUUCCCCCCCCCUCUUGGGUUGCCUAGCUAGUAUUUCAAAUCCAACCACCCAUUUAGAAAAUUAAUUCUACACACAAUUAAAAUCCACCUCCUCGUGGGAUCGACACUCGUCACCAUUGAUCUAUAUUACAAUAGAUUCGUGCACUUGCGAGUUCAAUAAAAUUUGCACAACAAUUCUCAUAUAUUGCCUUCUUCUUUUUCAAGAUGGCUUACUUGGCUAAAAUAUUUUCUUUUCUACUUAAUGAAGAGAUUAUAUUUUCUAUUGUGACUUGGUGAAGCCAUAUUUUUUUUUUCUUUACUUAUCCGUUCAAGUUGUUUAUAGAAAACUUUCAUCCCAAUUGCCCAUUUGUUGGUAAGAGCUUUAGGCUCAAAUAAUUCAAGAUUAUAGUCAUUAUAGAUUUGAGUUAAAUCAAUGGUUUGAUUAACCUUUUGCUGCUGAUUCUAACUUGUAUCAUAUGUUAUGCCAAGUACCAUUUAUUAUUACAGUACUUAGGACAAUCAAUAAGGAAUUUGACGAAAAUGAUUUCUUAUGUCUUGUUUACUCUUUUGAGGUUGAUAACAACUUCUUUAAUAUUUUCUAGAAGCAGAUAUAACUUUCUACAAUUUUCACUAACAUAAAUAAGGUUAAUAAAAGCAUGUUCAAACAUGUCGUUUAUUAUUUCUGGAUCAGCUCCUGGAACGAAGUUAAUUCUUGGGUAUAACCCUGAAUGAUCUAGUAUUAUAACUUGGCUAGGACAAAUCCCAUGGGCUAACCUACCAACUCUUUUAUGUUCAAAGUGUGGUCACUUUUUAAUGGAAUUUAAUAAUUGAAUUGGACUAUUUGCUUUUGUUAUAUUGAGACCUUAAGCUAAAUGAAGAGUCUUGGCAUCUUUCUUCCUUCAUGUAUUGAUCGUUGAGAUCAUUAAUUAUAGAAACCUUCUCUGGAUUGUGGCUUUUGAAUUCUGAGAUGAAUUUUGCAUAAUCUACCCUACAUUAAGUCCUUGAAAUUGAUCAUUUUUAAUAUAUUGCUCAUGUUUUGUUCUGAAGGUUGAACUUUUGGAUGACUUUUCAAACUUUUGUCUGGACAUAGUUUACUUAAUUCUUCUUGGGCGUCAUCAAUCAUGGCAAGUCCAUCAUGAGUUAUUUCAUUGCCUUUAAGUAGCAAUGCUUGACCUUUAGAACACAUUGUUAUGUCGUUUAUUAUUUUGUAAAGACUCUUCUCCAUUGUAUUCUCGACUAAGGAAUUUGUAAUGCAAUUGUUAAAUCCUUUAAUAUAUUCGAUCUCAAAUCAUAUUCUGCAAAAAAUCGUUACCAUCUAAUUAAUCUCUUAUACUGAGAUAAAUUAGGCAAUUUAUUAAAUAUAAAUCCUUUGACCUCAAUGUUAUCAGAUCUUACCUUAAAAUUUCUUUGGUAACAAAAAGAAAGUAAAUGUAAAUAUUUCAUUUUUAAUAGCCAAUAAUUAUUUUUCAUUGCUAUGAUAAUUCUUUUCUACAAAUUUAAAAGUUCUACUUGUACAUUCACAAAUAUUUUCUUGAUCUGUUUUUAGAACUGCACCUUAGUGAUUUUCCGAAGCAUUAGUUUCAAGAAUUAAAUUAUCAUUAGUGGUAGGAAAUCCUAAUCUUGGUAGAUUUUUAUAUUUUUCUAUUAGUUUCUUUACCAUCUUGGUAUGGAGAUCUUCCCAAGACUUUCUAUUAUUCUUUUUUAAUAAUCCUUGUAAGGGUUGUAUUUCUUUUGCUAAGUUUUCAAUGAAACCUUUAAUGUAAUUAAGACAUCCUAAAAAUAUUUGAAUCUGUUACUUUAGAUUCUAACUUAUUUAGAAAUAAAUAUAUUUUUUUAGAAGUAUGAGGUUGCAUCUUUAUUCCCAUUUCAUCUAUUAUCAACCCUAGAAACUUUAUUCUAGGUUUCAUUAUCUCGCCACUUAGCAAGGUCAGGGCAACUUGAAUUCCCACAAAAGUAUUGUAGGGGUAAUUCCUUCCUCAAUUAUAUUGUAUAAUUGAGUGGAGAUGGUCGUCUCCUUUACUAAAUAUGAGAUCUCCUUUAUGAAAUAUGAGAGGAGUAGAUAUCAUUCGAAUAUUAAUGAGGGUAAAAAUAUUGGCAAUACUUCUUAAGAUUUAAUGUAAACCAAUCUAGUAAUCGUCUGAUUGUAAAUAUCAAUAAUACUCUCAUGUAAUAUAAGUUGUAUUCUUAAAAAUAAUCUCAUGUACUUAAAAAAAGGGUUUCAUUAUCUCAGCUUUCUUUCUAGAAAGUAGUAUUCCAUGUUUCUUGAACUUUUCUGUAAAAGAAACUAGACGAUUAAUAUGACCAGCUUCAUUAUUUGAAAAUAUUAAUAUAUAAUCCAUAUAAACAAUGCAAAAUUCAUGAAAUUCUUAGACAACUUUAUCCAUUCUUCUUUGAAAUAUUUGCGGUGCAUUUUUCAAUCCAAUCUAUUCAUACUACCCUUGAGGUAUAAUAAAGACUAUAAGUGAUAUACAUUCUUCUUCAAGUUUGAUUUGACAAAAACCUGAUUUGCAAUCAAAGUUGCUAUAUAUCUUUUUAUUAAGAGUGGGACCAGUGGCACCCUUAUAAAUAUCUAUUGACACCCAUUUUCUUAAUUACCCCAUUAAAAUAUUUUAAAAAUUUAUUAAAAUUCUUUUAACACAUUUAUCAAUGAAAAAAAUACUCUUAAUUAAAACUUAUGAGUGUAAACCCCAAUCUCUAAUUUUAUUUACUUAUAUUAUUAAACCCCAUUUGAACAUAAGGGAUUCUUCCAUUCAAAAAAAAAAAAAACAACGGGUUUUCAUUUUGUCCAUUGCAGCCACUGGUGGUAAACUUGUCACUCUGAAAAUUUGAGAAAACGUAAGUUUUUUAAUUUAUAAAAUGUUAGAUUUUUUGAAGGAAAAAAUUUGUUGACUUUUGAGUGGGGGUUUUAAUUUGAAAUUGUCCUAUUAUGUAAUUUCAAUAAAGGUUAAAAUUGUAAAAUAAUUAAAGGAAUUUUAAUAGGUAUUUGGAGGGGUGCCAAUAGUCUCACUCUUUUAUUAAUUAUAGCAGUAAAUAAUGUAUCUUUAUGAGGUAAAAAGUACCCAUCGAAUUUGGUAUACUUAUUUAAUUCUUUAUAAUUAAAAAUCAUACGAGCUUUUCCUCCUUUAAUUUCUGCAUGAUUCCUAGCCAUAAAGGUUAGGCUACUAUGUGAACUCUUAGGUUCUUGAAUAAUCUUGAGUUCCAAUAACCCUUUAGUUUGUUUAUCAAUCUCUAAUAUAUCUUCUUGCUCAUAUCUUAUAGGCUCAACUCUUAUGAUAACAUUUGAAUUUUUUUAUUCAAUUUUGGCAUAAGUUUUAUCAAAUUCCCAUGAACUAGGUUUUCACCUAAAUUUUUAUCUAACUUUUCUAAAAAAUUUUCGUAAUCAGAUAUGAUUUAAUUAAUUUUUCAAUUGAAAUCACCAUGUUGGUUGCUUUAAAGAUAAAAAUUUUUAGUUGUUCACCUAUCAUGGUUACAAAUCGUAGGUGCAAUAAGGGAAUGGUUAUAUGGCGUUUUAAGAGGAAUUGUUUUGUUCGUUAUUAUAUAAAUGAACUGAAGAAUGAAAUUAACUCCUAAAUUAUAUUUGCACCCAUAUGAUCGUAUGACCACAGCAUUGUUGUACUUAGAAUAUAGUUCUCAACUUGUAUCAAAGUUUUAAUUCUACAUGUUGCUAAGGUGAUUUGUUCACCAUUUAUUCCUUGUCCUAUUAAGGGCUUAAAAUAUUUACAAUAAGAUUUUGGAUAAAUCUUAGGACUAGCUAAACUAAUUCCUAAACCAGUAUCAGUUAAAGCAUGGAACUAUUCUGGCUUAUGGUUAUAAUAUGGUAUGAUCACUUUUAUAUAUAUUAUAAAAGGAUUAAACAUAUCUUGAUAUGGUUUGUUUGAUUCCAUCAAUUGUUAUAGAUAUUUCUCUAUCUCCUAUGCGAUAAGGGAGAAAUUUUACAAAAAUUUCAUUCCUUAUAACGAAAGACUUAUUACUGUUUCAUAUUUAGGUUCAAUGAAAAAAAAGAAAGAUAAACUCUAUUCCUUUUAAUCCUUAAUGGUAUUUAUAAUUCUGACUUAGCAUAUUUCUUUCUCCAUUAUAUCCUACAUAUAUAUGAAUGUGGUUAUAUUAGAAUUUUUCUUUUUAAGUAUUUAAUCAUUUUGGCAUCAACAUAGGAUUUUGCAGCUCCUAUGUCUUGGAUAGCAAAAGUCUCAUGCCAUAACUUCCUAUUGUUAUAAUCAAUCUUGAUUUUUAAAUUUUGAUUAUUUCUUUUAAUUGCUGCCUAUAUUUUAUUUGAUGGUGGUAUUAUUUGUGGGUAUAUCUAGUAAAAUUUUGUGUUCCAUGUAAUUCUAGUUCUUUUUUAGGUACAGAAAAUAAUCUCCUAUUUCCUACAAUGAUUUUUCCCUCUAGAGUAUAUUAUAUAGUUUUAGUAGUACUCCCCCUAGUCAAAGUAGGUUGACUGCUCAAAUCCAUUUUCCAUUCUUCUGGUAAAUUUAUUUCUCUCAAAAUCUUGAAAGACUGUGUUUUUCAAAAGUUAUCAAAAAGGUCAUCUAUUUCUAUAAAUUCUUUAUCGGCAAAUAUUUCAUUAUUAAUUGAAUUUGUCAAUGCAUAUUCUAUCGCAUAUGUUAUGCUAUAUGGAUAAGAUCCAUCAUGCAUUAUAUCAAAGUAUUUAAAAUCGUGACUUAAAGUUAAAGUCUUGUUUAUAUUUUUGUCUCUAACACUUAUAGAAUAUUUGGGGUAUAUCUUAAAUGUUAAUUUUUUAUAACUAAUAUUUCCUUGUAUUAUUCCGAGGAGUGCAUAUUUUCUGUCUUUUAAUCUAUUAUCUAGUAUAGCGCAAUUUACUAGGCUAUCUAUUCCUUCUAAAAAAAAUGAGCUUUUAUCAUAAUUUGAAUUCCUUCUAUAUGAAUAUAUCCAAUCUUAGCUAUAUUACUAGAUCUUAUUCUAUUGAUUUAUCUUCUAUAUCUGAUUUUAGCAGUCAGAGUAUAUUUGUAAUUCUUCUAGCAUGACUUAUUUCAAUUGGUUCUUCUCUUAUAGUGGUACUGAAAUACAAUAUAUUUUUUCUCUUGAUCAUGUUAGCAAUUACUUAUGCUAAUUUAUUGAAUAAUGUCAUAGAUGUUUAUAAUCUCUUUUUAUUAAUCUUAAUGUUAAGUCUAUUAUUUAUAGAGUUGGCAUCUUAUGGCAAGUUUAGUUAAAUUGGACUUUUAUUUAUUGCAUAUCUUGGGAUAGGGAUUAAUCUAUUAAUUCCCUAAUUUAGUGAGAUUCUAAUUUAUUAGGAGUAUUUGUUUCCUAAUUUAAUUAGAUGUCUAAUUUAGCAAGUCAAUUAAUGAUGAGAUUCAAUAAUUGGUGCAUGUGAUCUAUUUAGAGCAAAAAGUUGGUUCAAACAGGAAGUUCAUUAAAUGCUCUAGAUAUUUCUUGGGAGACAAGUAAGGCGAGAAAAUUAGAUUUAUUCCUAUUCAGAUUCAUAGGAAUUAUAAGAGGAAAGAAAUUCUUAUUUGGAAAGAAUUCAAGUCUUUUAAGACUUAUUAUUUUUGUGAAACCCUAGUGCCUAUAUAAAGAGAGGUAUUUUACAAUUGAAGGCACACAACACAGAGCAUAAAUCAGAGAAGAAAAAUUUGGUCUUUUCCCUAGAGAAUCCGAAUUUGGCACACGAUGUUGUGCUGAUUUGUUUUCUUAUCUUCUUUUCAUCUUUUGUGGAGAGUUUAUGUGGAUCUUGGAUCACUAGACAUUGAAGAAUUGAAGAAUUGCUAUUGAUCACUUUGCGAAGUGCCUUGAUGAUCAUGGAUCAAGAGGGGUAGUAAUUAUUCAAGAGAAGCUGAUUUAGUCUAAGGUUGUGUAAAUUAUAUAGUGAUAAACUGUAAGUGAGAAUCUUAAGUUUGGUAAAUCCAUAGGUUGUAAUAUCUCAACUUAGUGAAUUGCUUUUCAUCUGGGUGUGACCUUGCGGAUGUAGGAUUGACUAAUCCCAACCACGUAAAAAUCUCCGUGUCAUUUAUUUUUUGCAAUUCAUUAUGUUUUUGGAAAAGUAAUAUUUUUUAUGCGGAUGAACAAUAAUCAUGAACAGUAACGGUGACUAGUAUUUCGAAAAUUAAUUAAGUUGCUAAUUUUAGGUUUCUGAUUGCCUACAUCUAUUUGCAAUAGAUCUAAAUUCCUUUCACUUAAGGUAUUGCUUUUUGUCAAAGACUAAUUCUCUAUUAAAAACCUCAUUCUUCUAAUUCUUUAUCGUAAUAUAUAUUUUUAUUAUCUGUAUACUCUAUACUCAUUUUGAAUCUGAGUUACUUAGAGUCUCAUUAGAUAGAGAAUAUAUGCUAUCAUUUCCACUAAUAUCUUCAUAGUCAAUGAUUAAUUCUAUUUCAUUAAAAUCUCCAAACGUUUUAAUGUUUGCUUUCUUUUUCUUUGGACAUUCGUUUGCAUAAUGCCCUUCUUCAUUACAUAACCAACAUUUACACUUUUUGAGUGUGUUUGUUUAAGAUUUUCCUUUGCAUUUAUUUUUCUUGAAAAUUUUUCUUUUAUAUUUAAUUUUUCUAAUAUUUUUUAUUGGUUUUAAAGAAUUUCUUCUUUUUGAACUUUUCCUAUGUUUAUAGGUUUUACUUGAACAUCCAAAUCUUGGAGGUUCUUCUAAUUUAGAACAACAUACUCCUCGAUUUUCCUUUUUCAUUAAUCUUUUAUCUUUUAUUUCAGUACACCACAAAUUUAUCCUAUUUCAUGCAAACCUAAUUCUAUAUCCAAGUGUACCAAUGUCUAUAUUAUAUCUUUAUUUUCUUGUUUCAGUCCCAUGUGCCAUUGUGCAACUAUUUUUAUAAGCAAAGUUUUAAAAAUUCUAUAUUGUUUUGUCUAUCUAGAUUGCGAAAUACAAGAGCAAUUUUCAUAGAUUUAACCUAAGGGAUUAAUAUUAUUUUAUCUGUAUCCUUAAAGCAAUCUAAAUCCAACCAUAUGCCAUCAUGGCUGAUUGGUGUUUCUCUUACUCUCCUGGAGUUUUAAAUUCCUUUUUAGGUUUGUUAGACCUAUAAUAUUGACUCUAUGGUCCUUCAUAAGUUGAUAUCUCUUCUCUAGCAUAAGGUGAUGUAUUGCUAGAUUCACCUUGUUCAUAAAUUAUGGGCUUUGCCUCAUUCAUCUUUAGAUGUUCUAUUCUAUUUUUGAUAUCUUGUAAAUUAAUGAAUACAUCUUCAUUUUCAUCUGUUUUAGAUUCUUCAUCUCUAUCCGAUAGCUCUUUUAAUCCAUUGUUUGGAUUUUCACUUAUCACUUUUAAGCUUAUUAAUUUUUUGUUUCCUUCAUUUUUUUUUAAUAUUGGUCUUGAUAUAGACUGGAUUUCAUUAUUUUUCUUUUCAUUAAACUAUUGUAUCAUGUAGGAUUUUAUUUUGAUCUUGAAUUAUAAUGAAUAAUCCUUCAUAUUAUUUUUUAUUUUCUGUACUUUAAUUUUCUUGAAGUUUUCCACGUAUGUUUAUAGCAAACUUAUUUACUAGUUGCUCAAAACAUGACUCUAUUGUUACUUUUUUUUUCUAAUUUAAAUCUUUGGAUCUCAUCUCUUAUUUUUCUUAUUGCAUCUAGAAGUUUUGGGGUUGAUAUUUCGAAUUGUAAUGAGAAAUUAUGAUGUGUUGUUGAUGUAUGUUAAUUGAAUUUUAAAUAACUUUAUAAAUUAAUAAAUUAUUAACUUAUCGAUUAUUUAAUUUCUCUUUAAAUUAAUAUAUAUUAUAUGAUCCCAGCGCUAUUAAUUUAUAGAUAUUCUAAUUUCCAUAUUUUUUUAAGGUAAUCUCAAGUAAAAAAAAGUAAUAAUAUUGAUAAUAAAAAUAACAAUAAAUCAAAACGCAAACAUCACACACCUGAUGGUGGUGAUCACCUCGAGAAUCCAAAUUGCACAAGAGCUACUUGGAACAUAUUAGAACAAGAAAGUUUUUGGUGAAAAUUAUCACUUAUAAAUUAGGAAUUUUUAUGUUUUAUCACUAAUAAUCAAUAACAAAUUUUGCGGAAGCGUAUUCAUAACGUUGAAUUGCUCUAUAGAGUUGUGUGGUUGGUCUUCUAGAUCAACACGUUCUCCUAGAUAAUCCUUUAAUUUUUCCUACUCUCUCUCUCUCUCUCUCCAGACCAUAACCACUUAUAUAAAUAACUUUUUCCUGUUGUCAUUAGAUAUUCUUAAUUUUACCCAUCAUAGAAUUAUAAUACCAUUAGCUCUCUGCACAUUAAAGGUCCACAUCCUAUCAGAUACAAUAAAAUUCAAAUUAUUGAAAACCUUAAUGGAUCACUUUUAAUUUGGCUUAACUUUAUAUGACAGUCCAUAACAUAUAAUUAUUCACAUAUAAUACCAACAUUGUAUUAAGGAUCCAACAAUCUCCCACUUGGGCUAUAUGCAUAACCUUAUAAUUAUACUUUGUAAAAAUUAACCUAUGAGCUCAACCUUACUAUCAUUAUCGAAAUGUAUCUAUUACCAAUCUGGUCCAUCAAUCAUAUCAACAUAGAAUCAAAGCGGCCUUCAUUACAACUAUCGUAACUCAACCCAUCAAUAGUCAUUAUGCCAAUGCAACUUAAUAACAUGGAUCAUAAUGUGGACAUGUAGCAUGAAAAUUUCAUGCAAUGUGAUAUUAACAUGCUUAUUUCUAACUAGUCCACAUUAAACCUUAGUGAGAUCAAACCAUACUAAAAUCAGAGUGUGAAUAAACCAAAAAUUUAUUUAUGUAGAAAAUAACCCAAAAUAUCCAUAAAUUGAAAUAACUGAAAAAUGUCUAAAUUAUAAGAGCAUCUAAAGUCACAAAAUCCCACUAAAACUAAAUAUCCUUUAAUGACGAGAUGCCCAUAUGAGUAGUGUGCUCAUCAAACAUCUUGGGUGGCAAUCCCUUCGUAAGUGGAUCUACAAUCAUGGAGUCUGUGCUGAUGCGCUCUAUAGAUAAUUGUCCAUUCUGAUCCUUUUCUUUAACAACUAGUAACUUGAUGUCUAUGUACUUUGACUUCGUUGAGCUCCUAUUGUUAUUGGAAUACAAAACUGCUGACUUAUUAUCACAAAAUAAUUUGAGUGGUCUAUCAACACUAUCUACAAUACGUUGUCCCGUGACAAAGUUCUGUAGCCAUAUUUCAUAAUUGGAUGCCUCGUAAUAUUUUAUGAACUCUGCUGCCAUCGUAUAAGAGGCAAUAAGAAACUGUUUAACACUCUUCCAGGAGAUAGUACCCCCAAAUAGUAGAUAGAUGUAACCCGAAGUGGAUUUCAUACUAUAUUGGCAUCCAACAAAAUCAUAGUCAAUAUACUCAAUGAUCUCAACCUGAUUUGACCUUCGAUAUGUGACCAUGUAGUCUUUUGCUCUUUGUGAGUACUGCAAGACUCGGUUGUUGCCUCUCAGAUAAUGCUGAAAUCUUAUUUUCUUGGAACAUUUUUGUAAAAUGAUUGUCAAUGCUUCUCAAGAUAAUGCUAGCAGCAUAAAAGUCUUCAUUUUGUUUUUAAUUUAUUAAAUCUCUCAUUUUCUACUCAAAGCCUUUACUUUUAAACUCUUCUAUUCAAUAUUCUUCCAUACGAUGCAGGCAUUUUGACUGUAAGAAGUUUUUCUUUUAUGCAAGUAUUUUUGGGACUUUUUAUCCCAAAAAUGAAAAUUGGCGAAGGACCUAGUGCUGGAUACAACGUUAAUGUCUCAUGGGAGAAUGUGAUGUGUGAAAAUGGGGACUAUCUUAUAGUUUGGGAUCAUACUUUACUUUCUAUUACCAUGGAAAUUGAUCCUAAUAUAAUUUCAGUAUCUGCUAGAUUUGAUGCAGGUUCAGUGGUUUAUUUCUAAUUGUGAGGCUCUAUUAGGAUGCCUUACUGUUUCCAUUCCAAAUUUUAAAAUGUAUAUUAAUAAAGUGCCAUCAUAGAAAUCUAAUCUUGGCGGCAAUUUCAAUGGUCAAUGUAUAUUUCAUAAAGAACUAUUAUGCAUGAUAUUUUGACUACCAAUCCAAGAUUCUUACUGCUCAAGAUUCUCAAUCCAAUUCGAAAAGUAAAUGCUACCUUAAGUAUCUUACUCAUUAAAUAAAAUUUUACAAUUAUUGUUUUUGUGUAUAUUUAACAGAGUCGGCGUAGUAGAAACGAAAUUGAUAGGGUAGGAAAUACUAAAUAUCAUUCUAGUACCCGAUUUAGCCCAAACAAUUAGUUUAUGCUUUAACUGAAUCAUGACUAGAUCUCGUUCUAAUCCAAACGAUUCAAUGAGAUUUUAAUAAUGCACAAAGCGAGAUCAGAUGACCCUCUAAUCUAAACUACUCUGCAAGAGAAAUUUUGAUCCCUAAUCCCCUUGAGAAUUAUAAAAGAGGGGUUUUAUUGAAUAAUUGAAUCUAAAGUUACGAUAAUAAGACAUCUAUUUAUAAUAAAGUAAAUCUACUUCCUUAAGUUAACUGAAAAGGGAAACUAAAUAACAAUUAUUAUGGAAAUCAAAGAUUAAGACACGUACCAUAAUUUACUCUAACUAAAAUAGAAAAUCCUAUAAUAAUAAAAGUCUAUAAUCCUAAAAUAAUGUCCUACAUCAUUCUCUACCUCUUAAAAGAAACUCGUCCUCGAGUUUGAAUACAAUUUGGAGGGUGAAACUUGUAAUGCAAGACCAAAUCAUCUUGUAAUUCGAACUUUUAGUCUUUCUCAUCAAUCUUUCUCGAAAUUUUGAGGAAUCCAUAAUUCCUUGGCUUAUACAUUCUUGUAGAUGAUGAAGACUUCUAACAAUGAACAACGAUCAAAUAACUCUUACCUUUCCCUAAUCGUCGCUCAAUGCGCUCUUAAACAAAUUUCACUUUUUCAAUCAAAUCUUCUUCAAGCACAACCUUCUUCUCUUCAAUGUGAAUAGGCAGGACCAUUUCAAUCAUUUCACCUUCUUCAACUUGAUUUUGCUGCACUACCUCAAACGUACUAUUAGACUUAAUGAGGAAAUCAAGAAUACUUUGUUUUUCUUUAAAAAUCUAAGAUAAAUCAAUAACCUCAUCGUCUUUAAUGCUUGUCUUGUCCUCCAAGGAACCUCAUGCAUAUUCUCAUAGAUUGUCAAAGCAACAUCCUACAUCAACAUUGAAGAUUCAAUAAAGCAUUUGAUGAAAGUACUAGCUCACUAGAUAGAUACUUAGAAAGUGUGGUAUACUCCAUCUAACUCUUUUUGUUUGUCUUGGGAAGUUUAGCUAAUUUUAUGAUAGUGUACUCAUGAAUAACAAUUGAAGUUGAAAAAAAAAUGAUUGUUGGCCAAAUUCGGUUAAUGUGGAAAGCAAAUUUUAUCUAGCUAAUAAUUACAAUGCAAAGAACUCAAAUUAUUGUUCGCUUCAGAAGAUUGUCGAUAUCCUUUGAAAUCAUUUUGCUAGCUUCUUUUGGUUAACAAUGAAAAGUUGCUUAAAACAAAUGUGACCUUGAAAUGUCUCCUUCGUUAUUGUACAUUUCUGAGCUUUGACAGCAAUGUUUUAUUAUGUCAUGUAAUAAGGAAUAUAUUUAUUUAUUUAACAUUAGUUCAAGCAUUUUUUUUUAAAUUCUGGUUCUCAAUAUAUCUAAUAUUAUCAAAAUCGACAGCGGUUGGAAAAUUCAUGCUUGAGCAGGUUUUAAACCUUGUUGCUUAUGAUUGAAAAUAAUAAAAUCCAGAAAAGUUCUCAUGGCCCUUUUAUUAAUUGACAUACAUUGGGAUUUUACUUAGCAAGAUAUUAAAUUCAGCUUUUUUAGUAUGCUUGCAAGAAUUUUUUUUUUCUUCUCCAUAGAUUUUCCUUAUUGUAAACUUACCAUGAGUUGCUUUCUUUGUAUCGAAUAGAGUAAUGUUGCAAUUUUAGAGUGAAAUGGCAAGUGCCUUGUUGAAACCAAAUCAAUCACCAAGAUCAACUUGGAACCCCCAAGACCCACUAUAUGAAACUUGAUCUUGCUCUGGAACUAACACUAAAUUGAGCUUUAACAGGAAUUACGUUUGGUAACUGAAAUCAAACACACAAUUAAAGAAAAAUAGAUCACACACUUGCACCAAGGAUUAUAGUGGUUCGGCCAAUUUCUGGCCUACAUCCACUGUGAAAAGAGAAACAAGUUUUUACUGACUUCCAAAGAACAAGCUACAAAUAUGAAGAGUACAUGCAACUCAAUCAAUACUCUUAGUAACAGAUCCUAGGACCUUUUAUACUCCACUCAGAACAAUAUGAAAGAACCCCAAGAAGUCAGCUCACGCUCUUGGGUUUCCAGCCAAGAAGAUCUCCAGCUGCCUCCCGCGUAAUCUAACCGAAAAAACCACUGCUUGAAUUUGUUCUGGGACACUUUUCAAUUGGUCACGCAAUCUACUAACUAAAACACAUAUGUGGCUGCUAUUUAAAUUAGUGGAACAUGUGACGCAUCACGUGCAUUACUAACGCAUCCAGCCGACAUAACGUUUAUAUCAUUCAGCUGCUCUGAACUCCAAUGCUCGACAUGUCGUUAUUCUUCCUGACAAACAAGCGACGUGUCAUACAUAUCCCUAAGUUCAUAUUUGAGCUUCAUAACUCCAACAUUCUCCACCUUGAACUCAAAUCAGUUACUCCUAAGCUUCAGCCUUCUACUUCAUCCUUGCAGUUUUAUAGCCUGCAGAUUCCAGCUGAGUUCAUGCAGAACUCCAGCUUGGCUGCUGGUACAACCUUUGUCAACAUAUCAGUAAUGUUAUCAUCAGUAUGUAUCUUUAACAGCUUCACCACACCUCUGGACACCUCCAACCUGACAAAGUGCAGUUUAAUGUCAAUGUGCUUUGUUUUUUUAUGAUGCACCUGGUUCUUGCUUAGGCAAAUUGCACUUUGACUGUCACAAUGAACAAUCACCUGUUUUUGUUCAUUUCCCAAUUCUGUAACCAUUCCUCUGAGCUAUAUUACCUCUUUAAAGGCUUCUGUAGCUGCAGUAUACUCAGCUUCUGUUGUUGACAGAGCAACAACACUUUGUAGUGAAGCUUUCUAAUUUAUGGUACAUUUACUGAGUGUAAAUAGAUAGCCUGUCAGAGAUCAUCUUUUAUCUAGAUCCCCUGUAUAGUCAGCAUCGGCAUAGCCUUUAACAUCAACUUUUGUACCUCUUUUGGCUCUAUAGAUGAGGCCAUAAUCAGUAGUCCCACUGAGAUAUCUUAAGAUCCAUUUUACAGCCCUCCAGUGCUUCUUUCCAGGAUUAGCCAUAUACAUGGAAACUACACUUACUGCAUAGGAGAUAUCUGGCCUUGUUAGGACCAUGGCAUACAUUAGGCACCCCACAACACUUGAAUAUGGAAUUGUGCUCAUUUCAGCUUUUUCAUCUUCAGUUCUUGGACAUUGGUUACAAGACAACCUAAAAUGAGCUGACAGUGGAGUUUGAAUUAGUUUUGAGUUCACCAUUUCAAAUCUCUCAAGUACUUCUUGAUAUAACAAUGUUGUGACAACUUUAGUAUCCAUUUCUUACUAUCUCUUAGUAACUCUACUCCAAGAAUCUUCUUGGCAGCUCCAAGAUCCUUCAUCUCAAAUGCAUUCUUUAACUGCUUCUUUAGCUCAUCUAUCUGAUCCAUAUGUUUACAUGCUAUAAGCAUGUCAUCAACAUAUAGCAACAAAUAGAUCUUACUACCAUCUCUCAAAUCUUUAUAGUAUACACAACAAUCAUAAGAUCACCUUUGAAAACUGUUCUCAGCCAUGAACUUAUCAAAUCUCAAGUACCAUUGUCUCGGGGAUUGCUUUAAUCCAUAUAGAGACUUCUUCAAAAGACACACAUAAUCAGCUUUAUAUGGAUUCUCAUAACCUCUUGGUUGUGCCAUUACAAUAAUUUCUUCCAAUUCACCAUGAAGAAAUGCAGUCUUGACAUCCAUCUGUUCUAGGUGCAUGUCAUUCACUGCAACAAGUGUUAAUAGGAUCCUCAAGGAAGAGUGUCUCACCACUGGGGAAAAAACCUCAUUGAAAUCAAUCACUUCCUUUUGUGUGAAGCCUUUGGCAACCAGCCUGGCUUUGAAUCUAAGUGGUUCAACUCUUGGUAUACCCUCUUUGAUCUUAUAGAUCCACUUGUAGCCAACUACUUUCUUCUUUGCUGGUUUUGGAAUCAGAUCCCAGGUGUGGUUCUUGAUCAAUGAUCUUAUUUCUUCAUCCAUAGCUGCAAUCCACUUCUUUGAGUCCUUACUACUGACAGCUUCAGUGUAAGUUUUUGGUUCAUCCACUUCUAUUCCCUGUGCUGCUGAUAGUGCAAAUACAAUCAAGUCUGCAUAUGCAUACCUCUUAGGUGGCUUUGAUUCUCUUUUCUUUCUAUCUCUUACCAGCUGAUAAUCUCUGAGGUCAUCAUCACCUUCUGAUUCUUCUUCUUGUUCAGAAAAAUCUCUUCUAGGUGCAUUUUCAGGCCUUGUUAUUGUAUCAGCUUCUGUGCUUGAGCUUAAAAGCUCCACCUCAAAGGAAGUCUUCUUGUCACACCCUGAAUCUCUUUCAAUGGUUUGCUUCACAGUAGCUGAGUUUUGAAAUAUUUCAUGUUCAUUAAACACCACAUCUUUACUGAUUAUUGUCCUUGGUGCCUUCAUAUAUGUACACCACAGCUUGUAUCCCUUCACACCAGCAGGAUAUCUUACGAACACACAUUUAAAGGCCCUAGGCUCUAACUUCCCUUAUUUAACAUAAGCAUAGGCUGGGCAGCCAAAUAUUCUCAGAUGAGAAUAGUCUGCUAGUUUGCCAGCCCAUAGCUCAUAUGGUGUUAUGAAAUUAAUUCCAAAAGAGGGGCUCAUGUUUACUAGGUAGCAUGCAGUACAUAGAGCUUCAGCCCACAGACUCAUGGGUAGCUUAGAGUGGAUAAGCAUACACCUAACUUUAUCUAUUAAGGUUCUAUUCAUUCUUUCAGCUAAUCCAUUUUACUGUGGUGUAUGUCUUACAGUUUUGUGUCUAACAAUGCCAUGUUUUGUGCAGAAAUCAUCAAAGUCCUUAUUGCAGAACUCUAAACCAUUAUCUGUCCUCAAUCUUCUCAUAUUUCUAUUUUUAUGUGUUUCAACUAGUGUUUUCCAGUUCUUAAACUGAUCAAACACUUUAUCUUUACUCUUUAACACAAACACCCAAACCAUUCUUGAGAAAUCAUCAAUAAGAGAUAAAAAGUACCUAGCCCCACCUAGAGAAGCUGUCUGUGCAGGCCUUCACAGAUCAGCACGAAUGUAGUCUAGAGUUCCCUUUGAGUUAUAAACACUAGUACUGAAUUUCACUCUUAAAGAUUUUCCUAAGACACAAUCUUCAUAGAACUUCAAAGACUCUAUCUUAUUUACUCCUAAGACCCCUUAUUUUGAUAGUUUCUUUAAGUCUCUUUCAUUCAUGUGGCCUAACCUCAGAUGCCAUAACAUGGUUUUGUUUAGGUUCUGGUUUGACACAGCAACAUCCCCUGUGACAGCUGAGCCCUGUAGCACAUACAGGCCAUUGCUCACGUUCCCUUUCAUCACAACCAUUGACCCCUUCAUUACCUUUAAAGUGCCUGACUCAAGUUUAACUAGGCACUCUAUUUUAUCCAGCAUUCCUAGAGAGAUAAGGUUUUUUUUGAGAUCAGGCACAUGUCUGACAUCCCUUAGUUCCCUAAUCAUGCCAUCAAACAUUUUCAACCUAAUUAAACCUCUGCCAACCACUCUACAACUUGAAUCAUUACCCAUUACCACUAUUCCACCAUCACAAGUUUCAUAGUUUGUGAAUAAGUUUUUAUUAGGGCACAUGUGGAAGGAACAACCAGAAUCUAAAACCCAAUUACCUUUUGUUUGAGCAUCAGUUGCUAUUAGAACUCCAGCUGAGUCAUAGCCAUCAGAUUCUUCAAAUUCUGAUGCAGCAACAACAUCUCCACUCUUCACCUUUGUAUUUUUUUUCUUGUUUUUCAUCUCAGGGCAAUCUUUCUUGAAAUGACCUUCCUUAUGGCAGUGGAAGCAUUUCAAGUUCUUUGGCCUGGAUUUGAUCUUUUCUUUUUGUUCUUUCUAGUUUCUCUCUUUUCAGUUCUUCCCCUUGCUGUUAGACUUUCUCCAUCCAUACUUUAUUUCUUAAUUGCAGCCUUGGAACUCAGAGCUUCCUUUACAUCUCCCACAUCGAGAGUAUGUCUCCCAUACAUCAAUGUAUCCACAAGAUUCUCAUAGGAACUCGGCAGAGAGCAGAGCAGGAUCAUGGCUUUGUUUUCAUCAUCAAUUUUCACAUUGAUGUCUUCAGGAUCCAAGAUGAUCUUGUUAAAAGCAUCGAUGUGAUCAAUUAUUGAUGAUCCUUCUUCCAUCUGCAAAGUGUAAAGCUUCUUCUUUAUGGUUAGUCUUUUAGCCAUUGACUUCUUUGUGUAUAAGUCUUCAAGCUUCUUCCACAAUCUUGCUGCUGUUUUUUCUCCACCAACUUCUUUGAGUACACCAUCCCCAAGACUUAUAAUUAUUGCACUGUGUGCCCUAUCAAGCACUUCAGAUAAUUCUUCUUCAAUCACCUUCAUUGGCUUCUUGGAUGAUGACUCAUCAUCAAGUGCAACAUCCAACCUUUGAUGCACCAGUAAGGCUCUUAUCUUGAGCCUCCAUAGGUGAAAAUCAUUUUUCCCUGUAAACUUCUCCACCUCAAGUUUAGUCGAUGCCAUUCAAAGACCAAGAAACCAGAGAUAGGCUCUGAUACCAAUUUGUUGAAACCAAAUCAAUCUCCAAGAUCAACUUGGAACCCCUAUGACCCACUCUAUGAAACUUGAUCUUGUUCUGGAACUAACACUAAACUGAGUUUUAACAGGAAUUACAUUUAGUAACUAAAAUCAAACACACAAUUAAAGAAAAACAGAUCACACACUUGCACCAAGGAUUAUAGUGGUUCGGCCAAUUUCUUGCCUACAUCCACUGUGAAAAGAGAAACAAGUUUUUACUGACUUCCAGAGAACAAAUUACAAAUAUGAAGAGUACAUGCAACUCAACCAAUACUUUUAGUAACAGAUCCUAGGACCUUUUAUACUCCACUCAGAACAAUAUGAAAGAACCCUAAGAAGUCAGCUCACGCUCCUGGGUUUCCAGCCAAGAAGAUCUCCAGCUGCCUCCCGCGUGAUCUAACCGAAAAAACCACUUCUUGAAUUUGCUUUGGGACACUUGUCAAUUGUUCACGCAAGCUGCUAACUAAAACGCAGAUGUGGCUGCCGUUUGAAUUAGUGGAACAUGUGACCCAUCACGUGCAUUACUAACGCAUCCAGUCGACAUAACGUUUAUAUCAUUCAGCUGCUCUGAACUCCAAAGCUCGACAUGUCGUUAUUCUUCCGGACAAACAAGCGACGUGUCAUACAUAUCCCUAAGUUCAUAUUUGAGCUUCAUAACUCCAACAUGCCUACUUUCUCUCUUUUUGAAUCUUUUUUUCUGAUAAAUCUUUCCAACACAAUGCUUGGAACAGCCAAUGGUGAUUCUUUAGGGGACUGUUGGGGCACACCAUAUGGAUACUCAAAUAUAUUAAAAAAGAGUAGCAUUCAAAUUUUAUCUUCCAUUUACUCUAAUAUUUUGGCAUUUUUAUAUUGAUGUUUCAAAUUGUAGAACACAGAAUGGAGGGAAUGCUAAAUUUCCAAGGCUGACAACAAGAUGAUAUGGUUUAAUAUUUGUAUUUUGUUGUAUUUAUCUUGUGGCUUUUCUUGCAAGCUACUGAUUUUGGGUUGACUUUCGAAUCUUUGGCGCAUUCCACGUCUGUAAUUCUUUCUCCAGUUGAUGGAUUUUGCUAAAGGCAAGAUUGUUUUGGCAUUGGAAGGAGGCUACAAUCUUGGCUUUACGUCAAAUUCAGUGCUUGAAUGCAUGGAAGUUUUGCUGGAAAGCAAGCAGGUCACUAGAUCUUCAAAGGCCUAUCCUUUUGAGUUAGUUAUCCUACAAAAGGUAACAUUAUUAUCUUCUAUGUCUUAUUCGCUUGCUGAAUUAGUUAUUUCCUCUCCCUGCCACCUCUCUUCUUUAUAAGUGGUGUGUUAUAUUAUUUUUUAACCUUUCUUCUAGGUUCGUCAUGAAUUAAGUGCUUUCUGGUCGAUGCUAGUAGAUGAAAUUAUCAACAACAUUAACUAACCAUGAUGAGUUCUUCUUUCUCUGGGGUUACUCGGAUGAUACACUUUUUCCUGAAAAAUGCAUGAAGAUUUCUCCUUUGGAUCAUCUUUCUUCGAGGAGAAAAUUUAAGAUAAGGGAAAGUGAUUUCUUUGAUUUUGACACUGCUGAUUGAGUCAUUGACAAAGCUACUUUUCAAUCAAGGAAACAUUUGAGGAUGAAUUUCUGACUGGUCCUACUGCUAAAAAUGACACUCAGACGGUUUCGGUUAGUGACUCAAUCAAAGACAAGCUAAGAAUGUUGCACUUGACAAUCCUGCCUUUGUUGCUCCGGCUAAUCUUCGCCAAGAGCAACCAUCUGAAGCCUAACACUAUCAUAGUUCUAGUCCCACUCCCAAGACUACUUAAGAUCGCCCUUAUGAGGUCCAAUGCAUUUAUAAUCCAUCUAUCGCUCCUGAAGUCGUGCCAUUUGUACCCUAAUCAUCCCUGGAACCAACAAUUGAUUAAGGUCGGUCACUUCUUUAGGUUUUGUAUUUCCUAAAAACAUCCCAACUCCAGGGCAAUCUUCCCAUCGUAGACAUCGAGACUACUGCCCUACCGAUAGUCCUGAAAGAGUGAACAGAAAUAACUUGUGAAGUGUUGUUUAGGAGACAGAGUAAUGGAGCUCCGAUGCUGAUUGGAGAUGUGUUGCGUGAUGAUCCUCAAGCUUGCCUUACUUUAUUAUUUGGUCUCCAGACAAAGGGAGAUUUGGACUAAUUUGGUAGUGGUAGCAAUAAAAGGCUUUUGGAAUCCGUUACACAAGGAUUAGUUAAGGUAAUAACUCCAUUCCAUUUUAAAAUGUCAUUAGUAUCUGUGUGCGGUGUUUAACUCCUAUUCUAAUUUGUAGGGACUUUGGAUAUGUUACAUGCAUUUCAACCUUAUAAAUUAGGGUAUAUUCAUAAUUUUAUUAAUAAUUUAUGGGUAAAAUGGCAAGUUAAUAUAUUGACUUGUAUGUUUUAGGGAGAUAAUAGUAAUCAUAAGUUGAAAAAAAAACUAUGUUAAAAUUAACAGAAUUUAUUAACAAUUUGGGGUUUAAGUGUCUUUUUUAAAAUGUUAGGGACUUUCAUGUCCCUUUCCUUAAACAUUUGGUGUGUGUUAGUCAUUUUCCCUAUGAAACCAAAAUUACAUUAUUCAAUUUAAAUACAAAAUCAGUAAAUAUAUAAGGUAAUCAAUAUUAUAACUUAAUUGAUGUGAAAAUUUGUUUAAUAUUAUCAAGUGAAUUAUUUUUUUCGGUGUAUUAAACCAUCUGGUAUCCAAAGACCACAUUGGGUCCCGACUAAUUCAGAUUCGAGCCGGGUAGGACCACUAGGGCGAUAAAGCACCAUCUGGUAUCCGAAGACCACAUUGGGCCCCAACUAAUUCAGAUUCGAGCGGGGUAGGACCACUAGGGCGAUAAAGCUCUCCCAACAAGUAUUUAACGCAGCUGCAUUCCCAAGUCUCGAACCAAGGACAUUGGUUAAGUUAAAACAACUCCAUGCCAGUUGAUCUACGCGCUUGUUGGUUAAAUUAUUAAUAAUGAUUAAAACUUAUAAUCAUACUCAAAGUACACAUUGGCACGAAAUUUUGUACCAACAUUUACAGUCGAGCAUGACUAAUUAACUAUAUUUUUUAAGUUAUAUUAAUUAUUGGUUAAUAGACACUGAUCUGCAUGGACCCUCAUGGAUAAGACUCUCGUCAAUGCGCUCUAUAGUUGCACGAAAAAUCCAUGCACAGUUUACAAAAACAAUAGUCAUCAAUUUUAAACGUCACAAUCAUCACCAAAGGAACAUAAAGUUCAACGCAUGAUAAGACCAUCUUGCGAAGUAUAUUAAUUUUAUUAUACGAAAAAGGUCUCGCAUUUGCAAGCAUAAAAGUUGAAAAUUACAAAAGACACACCAGAGAUUCGAUUGACACACACAGCAACAAUCCACAAGCAUGAAAAUGACAAGAACUUUUCUGUUUCUAGAUGUGGUUGUUUAUUCUUCAUUAAAAAAAAAAAGAUAAAAAAGAAUCAAACGCGGCAACUCGGUCGACCGCUAUCUUGCUCUCAGUAAGUUUUUCAUCAAACCCUUUCUUUAUUCGGAUACCAUUCGCCUCUCCUACAAGAACAAAUUCAUCAGUCUCUUUUAUUUGUCACUUAAUCACUAGGAACACAAUUAAACAGAACACGGUGCUUAAAAUUGAAAUGCUUAAUGUAAUUCUGAACUACUAGUCUUUACAUGUACAGUUUUAAAAAUAAAUGAGAUUAUCAUAAAAGCAUAAGCUAUUCAUGGCCGCUUUCUAGUAGUAGUAAGGAGGAGGGGGAGAUGCAUAGACGUAAGGGUGAGGCGGUGGUGGCGAGAACUUGGGGACAGGAGGUGGCGGAGAAGGGAAAAUUGGAGUUGGUGGCGGAGCAGGCUCGCAGGCUGGUGGAGGAGGUGGCGGGGACUUGUAAUCCGGGGGUGGUGGUGGAGACUUGUGAACCGGUGGCGGGGGUGGUGGAGAAUUGUGAUCCGGUGGUGGAGGUGGUGGAGAUUUGUACUGGGGAGGGGGAGGUGGUGGUGGUGGAUAUUUCUUUGGUGGGGGAGGAGAUGUGUAGUAGUAAUUGUUUGCGGAGGCUUCUAAUGGCAAGUGGCUAAGAGAGACUGAUAUUACCAAAAGAGUGGCAAAGAUAUAGCCCGUUUGAGACCCCAUCGUUCAAUACAAAGUGGAGUUUCGGUUGUGCUAUAAACCAAGCUCCUUCCCCUCCUUAUAUAGACUUAGGCUUUUCACCUGCUCUACCAAACUUGUCAUAUACAACCUUGAUGUUAAACAUUAGUAACCAAAUGAUGAAAACGGUGUCAUCAGGUUGGCACAAAUUUGACUAAACAUAAAAUUUUAUGUUUUUCUUUAAUGGCUAGCUGUUGCCCAAACAGGGAAUAAAGUAAUUAAAAGUCACGAUCCUUUUAAUGAUAUGGCAUUUUUUGUAUCAAUGUAAUGAUUUGAACAGCAAGUCUCUGUGAUUUACUUCAAUAUCAUCAUUCUUCAUGAAGAGAUUGAAAACAUGUAGCUUGAAACAUGUAUUUAAUUACCUAACUUAUCAUGAAUGUUUUGGCCUUGGGUCCAGGCGGCGAGACUUUUUUUCAACUUCAUAUUCAUUUAUUUAUUUAUUUUCACUUCGUAGUUAAUUAAUCGUUUCAAUUUCCUGAAAAAUAAGUAGCUAGCGAUAUAUUUAACAUAGCAUUAAUUUUACUUUCUUAUGAACUGUUUUUAAUGCUCUUAUCUCACCGUGAAAUUAAUUUUCCCCCAGAAAUGUUAACCGACGGAGCAACGUAGCGGAAGAGAAACACUACACAUCGUUUAAGUACUGAAUCAAGACAACACAACUAAGUUACGUUCUAAUCGAAGUGUGAUUAGAUCUCGUUCUAAUUCAAAUAACUAAAUGGGAUUUUUAAUAUUGCAUUACGCAAAGUUAGAUGAUGUUAUAAUCUAAACAACUCUACAAGAGAGAUUUUUAACAUAUAAUAUCAAAGGAAAUUAUGAAAUAGGGGUUUUUAAUUGAGGAUGCGUUUGGGAUUGAGAUUGGGCAGCUGUAGCUUAAAAGCUACAGCACUAAAGUGUUUGGUAAACACUAGCUGCUGUAGCUUUUAAACUAUGUUAAUAUGAUUUUUCACUUGUAUAAUAUAAAAUUUAUUAUAUCUUUAAUAAUUUUAUCAAAAUUAUUAUUUAAAAUUUAUAUUUACAAUAUAUUAUUAACUUUUGUUUCAUAAUUACAGUUUUUUUUUCACAGCAGCUGUAGCUUAAAAGCUACAGCACCUCAAUUCCAAACGCACCCUGAAUAAUUGAAGUUGAAGUUAUAAAAAUAAUUACAAGACCUCUGUAUUUAUAAUAGAGUAAAUCUACUAACCUAAUUUAACUUAAAAAGGGAAACUACAUCAUAAUUAUAAUAGAAAUAAAAAAAUUAAGACACGCACUUUAAUUAAAAAAAGAAAUAUCAAAUGGUUAAAGUAAUAAAAUCUUAAAAUAACGUCCUACAUCAUUAACGAGUAGUAGAAACAACCCAAUCAUGAUGUAUUAACUAUUUAGUUUAAUUUCUUUUGUUGUCAUUGGUAGUUUGUGGAUCUUUGAAUAUAUAUUCAACAUCAAUCAAAAUGUUAAGGACCUGUGCAUAUAGUCGAACAAAGUACGAAAUUAUAAAAUUAACCCAAAAUACGAAAACAAAAUUGAGUAUUUUAAACGAAAAAUUCAAAACAUGUAACAAAACUAAGAUGCAAUAAUUUAUUUAGAAAAGAAAAAGCAAAAUUAGCAUUUAUACCGCACUGAGUACCCAUACUAAGCACCAGAAGCACAAUUUUUUGUGAAAUUAUAUAAUUUAUAUAAUUCAAGGAUUUCACAUUUUAUUUUUGUUUAAUUGGUUUUGAACAACUAGACGAUUUUUUUUUCCAAUCUCUUCUACAUCUAUUUUUAAAGCUUUUUGAAGUUUUAAUUAUAAUGUUAUAAAGAUCUAAAUGAUUAUCAAAUUCAUAAAAAUCAUAAUAUAUUAUAGCACCGGCAUUCAUCAUUUCUUGUCUCUCUUGAGACAUAAACUAAAUUUUUUCUUCCAACAAAUCUAUAGAUAUGUCCAAUCUAUUUUCCCAACCAAGGUACAUGCCAUCAAUCCUUUCACAUUGAUAUUGUAAUCUAAAUUCAGCAUUCCCAAUCAAAAAGUUCACAUCAUUAUUAUUGUUAUUAUCCAUCAAUAGACUUAUUAUGGAUGGUUUAGAGUUCUGUUAUUUGUUUUACAUCUGUCUUAAAUUUUUUCAAGAUUGGUUCGAUAGAUUCUAUUAAUGUUAUUCUAUUUUCUUCCUAAAAGGUCUCAUAUAUUUCAUUGUUAUCUUCAAAGUUUAUUUUCUUUAUGUCUUUAUACAAGCGUUUGCUUGCAAUUAAUCAAGUUUUAACAAUUUCCAUUGCAUAAAUAACUUAAAUUCCUAACUAAAGUCUAGAUUAUCUGUGGCAUCUAGAAGUUUCUUGACUUAUCAUUCAACGUUUUAUGAAAAUUAAGUUACACUUAUCACUUUAUAUCUUGUAAGAUCUAAAAGAUAAUCUAGGUCUAACAUGCUUCUGUUUGUCCAAAAUAUAAUAAGAUAAUUCCAUGUACUAGCCAAUGUACUAUUCCUCAAAAUUCGGGAAUAAAUUCGCUAAUUCCUCGAGACCAUAGAUUGGCCCAUGGUCAACAUCGCUCUAGCUGCACGCAUCAUGCAAGAUCACUUCUGUAACUGUUCUAGACGGCCUAAUGCAACACACUACAGACUUGCCCAAUAAGAUCUAUCUAUGUGAAUCCCUUGCAAUUGCCUUUAGAAGAGUGCUUAAUAACAUGAAAUCUUUUUCAUUUAACACAAGUGUUGGCAUGUAAGAUUCUUGAUUUUUGUUUCUCAAGUCUAAAUAAGAUAGAUAUAAAGAUGAUAAUUUCACUCAAAAAGAGUUUUUUUUCAAUUUAUUUAUGAAUUUAAAGAGAGAAUAAAGAUGAGAAUAAUAGUAUAUUCGUGAGUGAUCAUCUCCUAUCUUACAUGACCCUAUUUAUAGACUUGAACAGAUAACAUAAUCCCUUCUUACAUGACACAUAUAGAUUUUAGAGAUGAGAUUAUCUCUUUUUACAUAGCACUUGUUACAUGGUAGACUUCCUAGAGACAAGCUAACCCUUCCCCUUGCAUUAUUGAAGACAACUAUUGUCUUCUUUUUGUUUUAUGGUUAACAGUCUUCAUAUGGUUGAGGUAAGGAUUCUGAUAAGCCUUAUCCUUUCCCUUGGAUUCUCUAUGAAUUAUUGAUGCUUUUAGCUAGCAUCUUUUAUCUUUUUAGUGGUCUCAUGUCACAUACUAAGUACAAGCUCUUCAUCUAAAGACAAGUCUUUUCUCGCUAGAUUCUUCUUUUGAUUUUUUAUAGCAAAAGCCACAAUGCUUAAGCACCUUGCAUAUCCCAUGGUGUGUUAGUAAGCUAGAUUCCACAAGAUUCUCAUAUAUUGCCUUCUUCUUUUUCAAGAUGGCUUGUUUGGCUAAAAUGUUUUCUUUUUUGCUUAUAUUUUCUGUCAUGACUUGGUGAAGCCAUAUUUUAUUCUUUACUUAUUUGUUCAAGUUGUUUAUAGAGGACUUUCAUCUCAAUUGCCCAUUUGCUGGUAAGAGCUUUAGGCUCAAAUAAUUCAAGAUUAUAGUCAUUAUAGACUCGAUUUAAAUCAAUGGUUUGAUUAACCCUUUUGUUGUUAAUUCUAACUUGUAUCAUAUGUUAUGCUGAGUACCAUUUAUUAUUACAGUACUUAGUACAAGCAGUGAGGAAUUUGACAUAAAACAAAGAAGCAAAAUUCGGUCUCCUCCCUAGAAAAUUCAAAUUUGGUGCAUAAUGUUGUGUUGAUUUAUUUUCUGAUCUUCUUUUCAUCUUUAUAAAGAGUCUAUGUGGAUCUUGGAUCACUGGACAUUGAAAAAUUGUUAUUGAUCACUUUGCAAAGUGUCUUGAGGAUCGUGGAUCAAAAGGGGUAGUAAUUAUUCAAGAGAAGCAUAUUCACUCUAAAGUUGAGUAAACUGUAUGGUGAUAAACUGUAAGUGAGAGUUUUAAGUUUGAUAAAUCUAUAGGUUAUAACAUCUCAACUUAAUGAAUUACUUUUCACUUGGGCGUAACCCUGUGGAUGUAGGAUUGAUUAAUCUGAACCACGUAAAAAUCUCCGCGUCAUUUAAUUUCUAAAAUUUAUUGUGUUUUUGGAAACUUAUAUUCUUGAUGCAGAUGAACAAUGCCAAAGAACAGUAACGGUAAACAGUAACGAUGAACAAUAUUUACGAAAAUUAAUUAAGUUGUUAAUUCUAGUUUUUUUGAUUGCCUACAUCUAUUUACAAUAAAUCUAAAUUUCUUUCAACUUCAACCAGAGUGCUUUUAUUAAUUUGUAUAAAAACACAAAGAUUUAUGCACAUGUAUUUGAAUCUAAUGCCAAACUAAGCGAUGCUUUAUUUUUUUAUAAUACUCUAACAGGUGUGCAUUUAUAGCACUACACAUGCAACCUAAAUUUUGUGAUAGUGUAAUUUUAUUUAUUUAUUUUUCCAUAAACUGUUGUGGUUAAUUUUGUUGGAUCAUAAACUUGAUCCAAGAUUAAAAAAAACAUUAAAAAAAAUUAAUAAGCCCAACCCAUGGAAGGUUCUAUGAGUAGGUAUGGUUGGUGAGGUUUGAAUUAUUUUUUUUAGGUGUGGUAGGUUUAGUAGGUAAAAAUGAAUGGUUAUUAAUUUUUUGUAAUUUCUUAUUUGAAUAGUUUAGAUUUCUUCUCAUAUACUAUAAAUACCCCCUUGUGUCAUUUGAUUAUGCAUCAAGUCAAGUAACAAAUUCUCUAAGUUGUAGAGAGUGAAAAAUAAGAGUUGUAGUUGAGGAGUGUUGUUGAAGAAAUAAAAUAGUGUGUUUUUUUAGUGUUUAAUUUGUUGAUUCUCCAACAAAGUGGUAUCAGAGCUAGUGAUCAAUGUUAUAUAUAGUCAAAUAGCAUAUCUAAUCGAAUAUCUCGACAAGAGGAACGCGAUGCCACAAAACUCAGCCCGAUAAGAGAUCAGACGCACCUGUACUAGCCACUGGAAGUUUUCUGUUCUGAAGCUAAGUCGACUCAAUGAGUUAAACCAAGCUAAACCAAACCGAACCAAGUUGAGCUGAGCCAAACUAAAUCAAGUCGAAACAAGCCAACUUGAACCGAACCACGCUGGACCGAACCAAGUCAACUAAGCCGACGUUGACCGUUGACUGACGUAGAUCGUUGAUCGAUGUUGACCAUUGACUGAAAGUUGACUCGAGUCCCUUCCAAGGUUUUUCGACAUGCCGGAUCCAUCCGUCCACUCAGAAUCUCCAAAUUCUUAGUCAAUUUGUGAGUUAUGGCAAAUAGUAGUAUGAUGUCAUUUUAAGUUCCACAAUUAAAGGGGAGUAAGUUUGACAAUUGGAGUAUUAAAAUUAAGGCUCUAUUGGGUGCACAUGAUGUAUAAGAUGUUAUGAAGAAAGACUUUAUUCUACCAGAAAAUGAAGCCACUUUAACUGCAGCACAGAAGGAGAAUUUAAAAAACUUGAAGAAGAAAGAGAAUAAAACAAAGUAUCUCAUCUUUCAAUCAUUAGAUGAAGAUAGAUUGCAAGUGCAAUCUCUUAAAAAGAAGCAUGAGAGAAGUUAGAGAUCUCUUAUAAAGAAGUGGAGCAAGUUAAGAAGGUUCAUCUCCAAACAUUACGAGGAGAAUUUAAGUCUUUUCACAUGAAGGCAUCAGAGUCAAUUUUUUACUACUUUACUCAGGUUAUGACUGUUUCCAAUGAAUUAAAAAAAAUAGCGAGGAGUUUGACCAUAUUAUUAUGACAAUUGAGGAAACAAAAAAUCUGGAAGAUAUAACAAUCAAGCAACUUUAAGGAAGGUUGCAAGCUUAUGAAGAAAAAUUAGAAAAAAAGUAAGGAAUCAAAGAACAACUUCUCAAGAUGGAAGUCAAUCCAAAGAAAAUAGAAGAAAGCUCCGACAAUGAGAGAAGGCAUUAUGUCUGAGGUAGAGGUCGAGGACGAAGUAGAGGUCGUGGUCAUGAAUGAGAUUGGAAUUUUAACAACAACAACUCCAAUUAUGCCAAAGGAGAAAGCUCAACCAAAGGAUGAGGCAGAGGCAAUCCAAGAUCAAGGUAUGACAAAUCUCAAGUAUAAUUCUAUAAUUGUCAAAAGUUUGGGCAUUAUGCUUCAGAAUGUAGAGCUGCAACUACCAGAAUUGAUGAGAGAGUGAAUUGUGUUGAAGAGAAAAAUGGUGAAGAUGAAACCCUUUUACUAGCACGCAAUGACACAAGUGGAGGUUAAGAAAAUACAUGGUAUCUUGACACAAGUGCUAGCAAUCAUAUGAGUGGAAACAGAAGCAUGUUCGUGGAACUAAAUGAAUCUAUAAAUGACAAUGUCUCUUUUGAAGAUGAUUCAAAAGUACCAGUAAAGGGUAGAGGUAACAUUCUAUUUUGUGCAAAAGAUAGUAGCCACCAAAUAAUUUUGAAUGUUUAUUAUAUGCCCAAUAUGAAAAGCAACAUCUUUAGUUUGGGUCAACUCUUAGAAAAAGGUUAUGACAUUCACUUAAAAGAUUGUAGUCUUUUCCUAAGAGAUGACAAAGGAAAUCUAAUUACAAAGGUGAAAAUGUCGAAGAAUAGAAUGUUUCCUUUAAAUAUUCAAAAUGAUGUUGCAAAAUGUUUCAAAACUUGUCACAAAGAUCUAUCCUGGAUUUGGCAUCUACAAUAUGGGCAUCUCAACUUUGGAGGACUGGAGCUAUUAUCCAAGAAGAAUAUGAUGAAAGGCUUACCAUACAUCAAUCACCCUGAUCAACUUUAUGAAGGAUGUUUACUUAGCAAGCAGUUCAGAAAGCGCUUUCCAAAGGAGUCAAAUUCAAGAGCUCAGAAGCCACUUGAGCUCAUUUAUAUUGAUGUGUGCGGUCCAUUCAAGCCAAGCUCCCUUGGUAAAAGUAACUACUUCCUUCUAUUCAUAGAUGAUUUUUUAGGAAAACUUAGGUAUUUUUUUUUAAAUCAGAAGUUUUUAAAGCUUUCAAGAAGUUUAAAGCAGUAGCAGAAAAAGAAAGUAGAUACCAGAUUAAAGCCAUGAGGUAUGAUUAAGGUGGAGAGUUCACUUUCAAAGAAUUUGUAGAGUUUUUUGAAAUAAAUGGAAUUCGACGCCCUUGGACAGUUCCAAGAUCCCCCUAACAAAAUGGUGUUGCAGAAAGGAAUAACAGAACCAUCCUCGACAUUGCAAGAAGCAUGCUCAAGAGUAAGAGGCUACCUAAAGAAUUUUGGGCUGAAAUUGUUGCAUGUGCAGUCUACUUGUCCAAUCAAUCUCCAACAAGAAGUGUAUGGGGCAAGACGCCACAAGAAGCUUAGAGUGAAAGAAAGCCCGGCAUCACCCAUCUAAGAGUUUUGGAAGCAUUGCCCAUGUACAUAUACCAGACGAAGGAAGAGCUAAGCUGGAUGACAAAAGUGAGAAGUUCAUCUACAUCAGCUAUGACAACAACUCCAAAGGAUACAAGCUUUACAAUCCAAACAACAGAAAGAUGGUGAUUAGUCGAGAUGUAAUUUUUAAUGAAGAAAGAGAAUGGGAUUUUGGUUCUGGUGUGGAUGACUUCAACUUCUUUCCCAUUGAAGAAGAUGAUCAUACACAGAUAAAACAAGUAGAAGAACAACAAGAGCCAACUACUCCACUUAUGUCACCAGUAUCAACCACACGUAGAGAUUCACCACCAUCUUUCUUAAAUGAAAGAACCAAAGAACUUACAAGGAGUCUUCAAGAUCUCUAUAAAGUAACUGAAAGACUUGAUAAUCUCACUCUCUUUUGCCUCUUUGCUGAUUGUGAGCCAGUCAGCUUCUAAAAAGCUACAGUAGAUGAGAAGUGGAAAAUUGCAAUGGAUGAAGAAAUCAAAGCCAUUGUGAAGAAUAAUAAUUGGGAGCUUCUCUUCUUAAAGGUCACAAGGUGAUCGGUGUCAAAUGGGUGUACAAAACGAAAAAAAAUGCGAAAUGAGAAAUUGAAAGGUACAAGGCAAAACUAGUUGCAAAAGAUUAUAGUCAAAAGGCUGGCAUAUACUACGAUGAGGUAUUUGCUCUUGUAGCCUAACUUGAAACUAUUAGACUUAUUAUUUCUUUGGCUACCCAUAACAAAUGGAGGAUUUUUCAAAUGGAUGUGAAGUCUGUUUUCUUGAAUGGAUUCCUUGAAGAAGAAGUUUACAUCGAACAACCAUUAGGCUAUAUGGUGAAAGGACAUGAAGAUAAAGUUUUAAGAUUAAAGAAAACUCUUUAUAAGUUAAAGCAAGCACCAAGAGCAUGGAAUAGUAUAAUUGACAAGUAUUUUCAAGAGAACGACUUCACUAAAUGGCUAUAUGAACAUGCUCUCUACGUCAAAGAAAACGAUGGAGACAUUUUGAUUGUGUGUCUAUAUGUGGAUGAUCUCAUCUUCACUGGAAGUGAUCCAAGCUUGUUUGAAGAGUUUAAGAGAGUAAUGAUCAAAGAGUUGGAGAUGACUGACAUCGGACUGAUGGCAUAUUACCUCGGCAUUGAAGUUAAGCAAAAGGAAGAAGACAUAUUUAUCUCCCAAGAAAGCUAUGCAAAGGAGAUUCUCAAGAAAUUCAAGUUAUCCAUACAUGAUGAAGGCUAAGAUAUAGAUCCAACAAUCUUUAAAAGUUUGGUCAGAAACCUACGUUAUUUGACAUGCACAAGAUCAGGUAUCCUUUAUAUUGUUGGACUUGUGAGUCGAUAUAUAAAGAAUCCAAAGACCACCCAUUUUAAAGCUGCAAAAAGAAUCCUUUGCUACAUCAAAUGUACAAUUAAGUUCGGCUUAUUAUACUCAUUUUCUAAUGACUACAAGCUUGUUGGAUAUAACGAUAACGAUUGGGGUAGAGAUGUAGAUGAUCGAAAGAGGACCACAGGAUUUGUGUUCUUCAUGGGAGAUACUGCUUUCACAUGGAUGUCAAAGAAGCAACCGAUUGUCACACUUUCCACCUGUGAAGCUGAGUACGUAGUUGCUACAUCAAGUGUUUGCCAUGCAAUUUGGCUAAAACAUUUGCUGAAGGAGUUGGGCUUGCCACAAGAAAAGCUGUUGGUGCAUAAAUACUAAUGUUAUCGGUGUCAAUGUGCAAGUGUACACAACAAGUAAUAAAGUGAUGAGUAUUCAAGAUCGUCUCCACAGGGAUUAAUGUUAUCAGAUUUGCUACAGCAAUCUUAACAAUGCAGAUUUUGUGCUAAAUUAAAAUAAAACAAUUAAUGAAACUAAUGUACUAAUUAAAAUAAAAAGGCAAUAAAUAAAAUGCAACAAAGUAGAUUAUAACGUCAAACUCAAGGAUAAAACUAAUGGGAAUAUAUAGUAGUUGAGUGAAUAAACUCUCUUAAUGGUCUUGACUAUUUUCUAAUGUUUUCCUCGGUUGCUGCAGCACUGCUACAGCACUGGGCAGAAUCCUUAUAUAUCCUCAGCCGUCGCCUGUUGGAUAUCUUAUAUCUAUAUGCAACCUAACAGUGAUCAGUUGUUAUGCCAACAUAAGAUAUAACAUUACACGCUUAGGUUCUAUUUACCCUACAAGGUGAAUCCAUAUGUCUAGUUCAUCACUAAUCUUAAAUCAAGCAUGACCCUUUUGGGACUCAAGUAAAACUCAAUUUAAGAUCAAAUAUUGUUCUGAUAUAUUCCACUAAGAUAUGCCCUUUUGCGGCUCUUCAUUCGCUAGUAUCAUUAAAUGGGUGAUCAACCGAAAUAAUGAAUAAAAUAAAUAAUAUCAAAACAAACUGCUACAGCAAACAUGAUAAUUCAUUUUUACGAAUUUAAAUAUUUCAUUUUUAAUAGCCAAUAAUUACUUUUCAUUGCUAUGAUAAUUCUUUUCUACGAAUUUAAAAGUUCUACUUGUACAUUCACAAAUAUUUUCUUGAUUUGUUUUUAGAAUUGCACAUCAAGGAUUAUCCAAAGCAUUAGUUUCAAGAAUUAAAUUAUCAUUAGUGGUAGGAAAUCCUAAUCUUGGUAGAUUUUUAUAUUUUUCUCUUAGUUUCUUUACCAUCUUGGUAUGGAGAUCUUCCCAAGACUUUCUAUUAUUCUUUUUUAAUAAUCCUUGUAAGGGUUGUCUUUCUUUUGCUAAGUUUUCUAUGAAACCUUUAAUGUAAUUAAGACAUCCUAAAAAUAUUUGAAUCUGUUACUUUAUAUUCUAACUUAUUUAGAAAUAAAUAUAUUUUUUUAGAAGUAUGAGGUUGCAUCUCUAUUCCCAUUACAUCUAUUAUUAACCCUAGAAACUCUAUUCUAGGUUUCAUUAUCUUGCCACUUAACCUUGGUUAGGGCAAUUUGAAUUCCCACAAAAGUAUUGUAGGGGUAAUUCCUUUCUCAAUUAUACUGUAUAAUUAAGUGGAGAUGGUAUUCUCCUUUACAAAAUAUGAGUUCUCUUUUAUGAAAUAUGAGAGGAGUAGAUAUCUCUCGAAUAUUAGUGAAGGUAAAAAUAUUGGCAAUACUUCUUAAGAUUUAAUGUAAACCGAUCUAGUAAUCGUUUGUUUGUAAAUAUCAGUAAUAAUCUCAUGUAAUUAAAAAAAAUGGUUUCAUUAUCUCAGCUUUCUUUCUAGAAAGUAGUAUUCCAUGUUUCUUGCACAUUUCUGUAAAAGAAACUAGACAAUUAAUAUGACCAGCUUCAUUAUUUGAAAAUAUUAAUAGAUAAUCCAUAUAGACAAUGCAAACUUCAUGAAAUUCUUUGAGAAUUUUAUCCAUUCUUCUUUGAAAUAUUUGCGGUGCAUUUUUCAAUCCAAUCCAUUCAUACUACCCUUGAGGUAUAAUAAAGACUAUAAGUGGUAUACAUUCUUCUUCAAGUUUGAUUUGCCAAAAACUUGAUUUGCAAUCAAAGUUGUUAUAUAUCUUUUUAUUAAGAGUGGGACCAGUGGCACCCUUCUAAAUAUCUCUUGACACCCAUUUUCUUAAUUACCCGAUUAAAAUAUUUUUAAAAUUUAUUAAAAUUCUUUUAACACCUUUAUCAAUGAAAAAAAUAAACCCCAAUCUCUAAUUUUAUUUAUUUAUAUUAUUGAACCCCAUUUGAAUAUCGGGGUUUCUUCCAUUCAAAAAAAAAAAAAAGGGUUUUCAUUCUGUCUGCUGCAGCCACUGGUGGUAAACUCGUCACUCCAAAAAUUAGAGAAAAAUGUGACUUUUUUAAUUUAUAAAAUGUUAGAUUUUUUUAAGGAAAAAUUUUUUUGACUUUUGAGUGGGGAGUUUAAUUUGAAAUUGUCCUAUUAUGUAAUUUCAAUAAAGGUUAAAAUUGUAAAAUAAUUAAAGGGUUUUAAGAGGUAUUUGGAGGGGUGUCAAUAGUCUCACUCUUUUAUUAAUUAUAGAAGUAAAUAAUGUAUCUUUAUGAGGUAAAAAGUACCCAUUAAAUUUGGUAUACUUAUUUAAUUAUUUAUAAUUAAAAAUCAUACGAGCUUUUCCUCCUUUAAUUUCUACAUGAUUCCUAGCCAUAAAGGUUAGGCUACUAUGUGGACUUUUAGAUUCUUGAAUAAUCUUGAGUUCCAAUAACCCUUUAGCCUGUUUAUCAAUCUCGAAUAUAUCUUCUUGCUCAUAUCUUAUAGGCUCAACUCUUAUGACAACAUUUGGAUUUUUUUAUUCAAUUCGGCAUAAGUUUUAUCAAAUUCCCAUCAACUGGGUUUUAACCCAAAUUUUUAUCUAACUUUUCUAAAAUUUUUCGUAAUAAGAUAUGAUUUAAUUAAUUUUUCAAUUGAAAUCAACAUGUUGGCUGCUUCAAAGAUGAAAUUUUUGAGUUGUUCACCUUAUAGGGUUACAAAUCGUAUGUGCAAUGAUGGAAUUGUUAUACGGCGUUUUAAGAGAAUUGUUUUGUUUGUUAUUAUAUAAAUGAAUUGAAGAACAAUUGUUUUGUUCAUUAUUAUAUAAAUGAACUGAAGAACGAAAUUAACUUCUAAAGCAUAUCUGCACCCAUAUGAUCGUAUGACCACAGUAUUGGUAUGCUUAGAAUAUAGUUCUCAACUUGUAUCAAAGUUUAAUUCUACAUGUUGCUAAGGUGAUUUGUUCACCAUUUAUUCCUUGUCCUAUUAAGGGCUUAUAAUAUUUACAAUAAGAUUUUUGAUAAAUCCUAAGACUAGCUAAACUAAUUCCUAAACCAGUAUCAGUUAAAGCAUGGAACUAUUCUAGCUUAUGGUUAUAAUAUGGUAUGAUCACUUAUAUAUAUAUAUUAUAAAAGGUUUAGACAUAUCUUGAUAUUGUUUGUUUGAUUUCAUCAAUUGUUAUAGAUAUUUCUCUAUCUCCUAUGAAAUAAGGGCGAAAGUUUAAAAAAAAAUUCAUUCCUUAUAACAAGGACUUAUUACUGUUUUGUAUUUAGGUUCAAUGAAAAAAAGAAAGAUAAACUCUAUUCCUUUUAAUCCUUAAUGGUAUUUAUAAUCCCGACUUAGCAUCUUCUUUCUCCAUUAUAUCCCACAUAUCUAUGAAUGUGGUUCUAUUAGAAUUUUUCUUUCUAAGUAUUUAAUCAUUUUGGCAUCAACAUAAGAUUUUGCAGCUCCUAUAUCUGGGAUAGCAAAAGUCUCAUGCCAUAACUUCCUAUUGUUAUAAUCAAUCUUGAUUUUUAAAUUUUGAUUAUUUCUUCUAAUUGUUGCCAAUAUUUCAUUUGAUAGUGGUAUUAUUAGUUGGGUAUAUCUAGUAAAAUUUUGUAUUCCAUGUAAUUCUAGUUCCUUUUUGGGUACAGAAAAUAAUCUUCUAUUUCCUAGAAUGAUUUUUCCCUCUGGAGUAUAUUCUAUAGUUUUAGGAGUACUCCCCCUAGUCAAAGUAGGUUGAUUGCUCAAAUCCAUUUCCCAUUCUUCUGGUAAAUUUAUUUCUCUCAAAAUCUUGAAAGAUAGUGUUUUUCCAAAGUUAUCGAAAAGGUCAUCUAUUUCUCUAAAUUCUUUAUCGGCAAACAUUUCAUUAUUAAUUGAAUUUGUCAAUGCAUAUUCUAUCGUAUAUGUUAUGCUAUGUGGAUAAGAUCCAUCAUGUAUUAUAUCAAAGUAUUGAAAAUCACGACUUAAAGUUAAAGUCUUGUUUAUAUUUUUGUCUCUAAGACUUAUAGAAUAUUUGGGGCAUAUCUUAAAUAUUAAUUUAUAACUAAUAUUUCCUUGUAUUAUUCUGAGGAGUUCAUAUUUUCGAUCUUUUAAUCUAUCAUCUAGUAUAGCGCAAUUUACUGGGCUAUCUAUUCCUUCUAAAAAAAUGAGCUUUUAUCAUAAUUUGAAUUCCUUGCAUAUGAAUAUAUCCAAUCUUAGCUGUAUUACUAUAUCUUAUUCUAUUGAUUUGUCUUCUAUAACUGAUUUUAGCAGUCAGAGUAUAUUUGUAUUUCUUCUGGCAUGCCUUAUUUCAAUUGGUUCUUCUCUUAUAGUGGCACUAAAAUAAAAUAUAUUUUUUCUCUUGAUCAUGUUAGCAAUUUCUUGUGCUAAUUUAUUAACUGAUGUCAUAGAUGUUUCUAAUCUCUUUUUAUUAAUCUUAAUGUUAAGUCUAUUAUUUAUAGAGUUGGCAUCUUAUUGCAAGUCUAGUUAAAAUAGAAUUUUAUUUAUUGCAUAUCUUGUAAUAGGGAUUAAUUUAUUAAUUUCCUAAUUUAGUGACAUUCGAAUUUAUUAGGAAUAUUUGUUUUCUAAUUUAAUUAGAUGUCUAAUUUAGCAAGUCAAUUGAUGAUGAGAUUCGAUAAUUGGCGCAUGAGAUCUAUGUAGAGUAAGAAGUUGGUUCAAACAGGAAGUUCAUUAAAUGCUCUAGAUAUUUAUUGGGAGACAAGUAAGGAAAGAAGAUCAGAUUUAUUCCUAUUCAGAUUCAUAGGGAUUAUAAGAGGAAAUAAAUUCUUAUUUGGAAAGAAUUCAAGUUUUUUAAGACUUGCUAUUUUUGUGAAACCCUAGAGUAUAUAUAAAUAGAGGUAUUUCACAAUUGAAGGCACACAACACAAAGUAUAAAGUAGAGAAGAAAAACUCGGCCUCUUCCCUAAAGAAUCUGGAUUUGGCACACGAUGUUGUGUUGAUUUGUUUUUCUCCUUGGAGAGUUUAUGUGGAUCUUGGAUCACUAGACAUUGAAGAAUUGAACAAUUGUUAUUGAUCACUUUGCGAAGUGCCUUGAUGAUCGUGGAUUAAGAGGGGUAGCAAUUAUUCAAAGAUUCAGUCUAAGGUUGAGUAAAUUGUAUCGUGAUAAACUGUAAGUGAGAAUCUUAAGUUUGGUAAAUCCAUAGGUUGUAACAUCUCAACUUAGUGAAUUGCUUUUCAUCUGGGCAUGACCUUGUGGAUGUAGGAUUGAUUAAUCCGAACCAUGUAAAAAUCUAUGUGUCAUUUAUUUUCUGCAAUUCAUUAUUUUUUUUAAAGUAAUAUUUUUUAUGCGCAUGAACAAUAACCGUGAACAGUAACGGUGAACGGUAUUUUCAAAAAUUAAUUAAGGUUCUAAUUUUAGGUUUCUGAUUGCCUACAUCUAUUUGCAAUAGAUCUAAAUUCCUUUCACUUAAGGUAUUGUUUUUUGUCAAAGACUAAUUCUCUAUUAAAAAAAUAUUGUUCUUUUAAUUCUUUAUCCUAAUAUAGAUUUUUAUUAUCUGUCUGCUCUAUACUCAUUUUGAAUAUGAGUUACUUAGAGUCUCAUUAGAUAGAUAAUAUAUGCUAUCAUUUCCACUAAUAUUUUCACAGUCAGUUAUUAAUUCUAUUUCAUUAAAAUCUCCAAAAAUUUUAAUGUUUGCUUUCUGUUUCUUUGGACAUUCGUUUGCAUAAUGCCCUUCUUCAUUACAUAACCAACAUUUACACUUUUCGAGUGUGCUUGUUUUAGAUUUUCCAUUGCAUUUAUUUUUCUUGAAAAUUUUUCUUUUAUAUUUAUUUUUUUAAUAUUUUUUAUUGGUUUUAAAGAAUUUCUUCUUUUUGAACUUUUCCUAUGUUUAUAGGUUUUAUUUGAACAUCCAAAUCUUAGAGGUUCUUCUAAUUUAGAACAACAUAGUCCUCGAUUUUGCAUUUUCAUUAAUCUUUUAUCUUUUAUUUUAGUACACGAAAAAUUUAUCCUAUUUCAUGCAAACCUAAUUCUAUAUCCAAGUGUAUUAGUGUCUAUACUAUAUCUAUAUUCUUGGUUAUAUUCUAGCAUAAUCUUUUUACCUCAUGGAUAUGGUAUUCUCAUAAAAUAUAGAUCAUUAUAAUAUCCUGCUGUAUUUUCAUCAAUUUCAAAUUCACAUUUAUACUAUAGUUUUUCAAAGCUACAAGCGUAUGCUUCUAAGUGACACAACUUAAAAAUGUUUGAUUUACUCCAAAGUAUAAGAGUAUCUUGUUAUAUUAUAACUCGGUGAGUCUGAGGUCGAUCCAUAGAGAAAGGAUUUAAUUUGUUUACUUAAGUUUAUCCAAAUAAAAAUAAAAUUUAAAAAUAUGUAAUUUAUUUAAGAAAAAGUAUAAAAUUGAAUUAGUUAGGGUUAUGGAUCUACUCUUAGUAAUAAAUACAAUUUAACAAAUUCUUUUUAUUUUUAUUUUAUUUCUCAAAAGAUUAAUUAUAUAAAUUAAAAUUAUUUUCCCAUUUAUUUUAUUGUGGAUUAAGAAUUUAAUGUGCCAAAACUUAAUUUGUCUACACUAAAUCAAAAUACCAUUUUUCCAUAUUUUAUACAAAGAUAUUAAGAAUUUAUUGUGCCAAAUUCCUAUUUUUGUCUACACUAAAUCAAAAUUUCAAAAUAUAAAAUAUGGAUAAAAUUAAAUAGAAAAUAAUUUAAUUUAUAAAAUUAAAAAUACAAUUUGAUUAAACCAUAUUUUUUUACUAAGAGUUUCACCUUCCCCUAACUAUGAAUAUUUAGUUAAACAUAAAGGAAAUUAUUAAAAUUGAAAAACACAUAAUUAAAAAAAUUGGAAUAAAACUAAUUUUAUUGAUUGAAAAUAUAUUACAAAGAGAUAUGAGAAGAAGAAUUUGGGGGAAAAGAAGAGAAGAGAAUGUGUGAAGAGGUGUGUUCACCCCCUCUCUAUUUAUACUAAUACAUGGUAAAUCCACACCACACAAAUAAAAAAAUCUAAUUGCAUCUUAACCUUACAUUUGUCCUACUAAUAAUCCCACUAAUAAAACAUAAACCUAGCUUAAUCCACUUAAGUAUAUCCAACACAUUUCACUAACAAUUACCAUACAUAACAUGAUAAAAACUUAUAAUUUUACAAUUACCACAUUUACCGUGGUAAAAACGUAAAAAUUUACAACAAAAGUCUCGGCUCCUCCUCGAAAAUGACAUAAUUUCUCGGACUUCCUGAAUCCAAAUUUGACAUUCGUACAUUUUUUUAAAACUUCAAAUUGCGUGAAAUUAUUAUUUUUGCCUAAUAAACACACAAAAAUACACAAAAUCAAAUACUUAGAAAAAUAAUUAGAAAUUCACAAUAUGUUAUACAAUUACAAAUAUAAAUUACAUUAAUAGCACAAAAUAACAUUUUUACCCCUUAAUAAACAUACAAUUUUUAACACUAAUCACUAAGUAACAUAUAUCACAUAUUGCAAGUCUAAUUAGCUUCAUUACAUUUUAUGUUCUUUUUCUCUUCAUUUCUUGUUGAAAAUUAGCUUUCUCCUAAGAAUUCUUUUCUUAUUUCACUUUUAAAUCCACAUGAAAUUUGUUCUUAAAGUUCAUUUAGCCUAGGAUUUUCUACACAUAAUAUUUUAUCUUUAUUUUCUUGUUUGAGUCCCAUGUGCCAUUGUGCAACUAUUUUUAUAAACAAAGUUUUAAAAAUUCUAUACUAUCUUUUCUAUCUAGAUUGCGAAAUGCAAGAGCAAUUUUCAUAGAUUUAACCUAAGGGAUUAAUAUUAUUUUAUCUGUAUUCUUAGAGCAAUCUAAAUCCAACCAUACGCCAUCACGGCUGAUUAGUGUUUCUCUAUACUCUCCUGGAGUUUUAUAUUCCUUUUUAGGUUUGUUAGACCUAAAAUAUCGACUCUAUGGUCCUCCAUAAGUUGAUAUCUCUUCUCUAGCAUAAGGUGUUGUAUUGCUAGAUUCGCCUUAUUCAUAAAUUCUGGGCUUUGCCUCAUUCAUCUUUAGAUGUUCUAUUCUAUUUUUGAUAUCUUGUAAAUUAAUGAAUACAUCUUCGUUUUCAUCUCUUUUAGAUUCUUCAUUUCUAUUAGAUAGCUCUUUUAAUCCAUUGUUUGGAUUUUCACUUAUCAUUUUUAAGCUUAUUAAUUUUUUGUUUCCUUCAAUUUUUUUGAAUAUUGGUCUUGAUAUGGACCGAAUUUCAUUAUUUUUCUUUUCAUUGAACUAUUGUGUCCUGCAGGAUUUUAUUUUGAUAUUGAAUUACAAUGAAUAAUUCUUCAUAUUAUUUUUUAUUUUCUGUACUUUAAUUUUCUUGAAGUUUUCCAUGUAUGUUUAUAGCAAACUUAUUUACUAGUUGCUCAAAACAUGACUUUAUUGUUACUUUUUUUUUCUAAUUUAUAUCUAGUUGAAUCUCAUCUCUUGUUUUUCUGAUUGCAUCUAAAAGUUUUGGGGUUGAUUUCUCGAAUUUUAAUGAGAAAUUAUAAUGUGUUGUUGAUGUAUGUUAAUUGAAUUAUAAAUAACUCUAUAAAUUAAUAAAUUAUUAACUUAUCAAUAUUUAAUUUCUCUUUUAAUUAGUAUAUUUUACCCAGCACAAUUAAUUUAUAGAUAUUCUAGUUUAUGUGGGGUUGGAGAGUUAGUUUGUGAACUUCGGGAAAAAAAUCCUCUCUUGAUCUGAGCUCUCAUGAGCUUUUAAAGAUUUUGUGUCAUGUGUCUUUAAGUGAUAGUGUAUGGAUAGAAUUUAACUUUUUUAUUUUCUUUAUUUUAUUAACUAACAAUCAUCAUAUGUAUGUUUACUCAGGAGGAGAUCAGAUCAGAAGAGAUUUAAAGAUCUUGUGUCAUGUGUCUUUAAGUGAUAGUGUAUGGAUAGAAUUUAACUUCUUUAUUUUCUUUAUUUUAUUAACUAACAAUCAUCACAUGUAUGUUUACUCAGGAGGAGAUCAGAUCAGAAGAGAAUCCUGAUCCGUGAGCUUCGUGGUCUCUCUAAAAUCAUUAUGCUAUGGGUUUUAAUUUGUCCUUUUCAAUUUUUCCUUUUCCCAAAAAUUAUUUCACCAAGAUUAUGAAACUGCAUGCCUGCAUUAAUUAGAUCUAUCAUUGAGAGCAAUAUGUUCUUACUGCAGUUGUUAGAAGAGUAAACUACUUUGCCCUACCCAAACAACAGGGAUUAGGGGGCAAAAAAAAUUAAAAAAAUAAAGAAUUUGACCGUACCGAUAACAAUAAGACAAUGCAAACUAAUAGUAUGAUCAAUUAUUUUGUAUUUAACUAACUUUAAACACUUAAUAAUUAAAAUAUCUCUUAUUAAUUAUCUGUAAAUCCUAUUUGCAUAAAAUAAAUACCAAGAUGAUGCUAUGCUUUUUCAAGUUUAGAUGUUAACUAAAAUAAAAAAUUAGGAUGAAUCAAUAACAAUAAUAAUGAUAGUAAUUUCCAUAAUUUUUUUAAAGGUAAUCUCAAGUAAAAAAAAAGUAAUAAUAUUGAUAAUAAAAAUAACAAUAAAUCAAAAUGCAAACAUCACACACCUGAUGGUGGUGAUCACCCCGAGAAUCCAAAUCGCAUAAGAGCUACUUGAAACAUGUUAGAACAAGAAAAUUUUUGGUGAAAAUUAUCACCUAUAAACUAUGAAUUUUCAUAUUUUAUCACUAAGAAUUAAUAAGAAAUUAUGCAGAAGCAUACUUGAAUCCACAACGUUGAAUUACUCUAUAGAGUUGUGUGGUUGGUCUCCUAGAUAAACACGUUCUCUUAGAGAAUCCUUUAAUUUUCUCUGUGCACUCUCUCUCUCCAGACCAUAACCAUUUAUAUAGACCACUUUUUCCUGUUGUCAUUAGAUAUUCUUAAUUCUACCCAUUAUAGAAUUAGAAUACCAUUAGCUCUCUACACAUUAAAAACCCACAUCCUAUCAGAUACAGUAAAACCCAAAUUACUGAAAACCUUAAUGGAUCACUUUUAAUUUGGCUUAACUUUAUAUGACAGUCCGUAACACAUAAUUAUUCACAUAUAAUCCCAACAUUGGAUUAAAGAUCUAACAAUCUCCACUUGGGCUAUAUACUUAAACUUAUAAUUAUACUUUUUAAAAUAACCUAUGAGCUCAACCUUACUAUCAUCAUCGAAAUGUAUCUAUUAUCAAUCUGGUCCAUCAAUCAUACCAACAUAGAUCAAAGCGGUCUUCCAUUACAACUAUCGUAACUCAACCUAUCAAUGGUCACUAUGCCAAUACACUGAUAACAAGGGUUCAUAAUGUGGAUGUGUAGCAUGGAAAAUUUCAUGCUUAUUUCCACUAGUCUACCUUAAUCUUAGUGAGAUCAAACCAUAUUAAAAUUAGAGUGUGAAUAAACCAAAACUUUAUUUCUAUAGAAAAUAACCCAAAAUAUCCCAUAAACUGAAAUAACUGAAAAAUGUCUAAAUUAUAAGAGCAUCUAAAGUCACAAACUCCCACUAAAACUAAAUAUCCUUUAAUGAGGGGACGCCCAUAUGAGCAGUGUGCUCAUCAAACAUCUUGGGUGGCAAUCACUUCGUAAGCGGAUCUACAAUCAUGGAGUCUGUGUCGAUGUGCUCUAUAGAUAAUUGUCCACUCUGAACUUUUUUUUAACAACUAGGAACUUGAUGUCUAUGUACUUUGACUUCGCUGAGCUCCUGUUGUUAUUGGAAUACAAAAUUGCUGACUUAUUGUCACAAAAUAAUUUGAGUAGUCUAUCAGCACUAUCUACAAUACGUAGCCAUGUAAUAAAGUUCUGCAGCCAUAUUUCGUGAUUGGAUGCCUCGUAACAUUUUAUGAACUCUGCUGCCAUCGUAUAAGAGGCUAUAAGAAAUUAUUUAACACUCUUCCAGGAGAUAGCACCCCCAACUAGUAGAUAGAUGUAACCCGAAGUGGAUUUCAUACUAUAUUGGCAUCCAGCAAAAUCAUAGUCAGUAUACCCAACGAUCUCAAGCUAAUGCGACCUCCGGUAUGUGAGCAUGUAGUCUUUUGCUCUUUGUGAGUAUCGCAAGACUCAUUUGGUUACCUCUCAGGAUAAUGCUGAAAUCUUAUUUUCUUGGAACAUUUUUGUAAAAUGAUUGUCAAUGCUUCUCAGGAUAAUGCUGGCAGCAUAAAAGUCUUCAUUUUGUUUUUAAUUUAUUAACUCUCUCUUUUUCUACUCAAAGGCUUUACUUUUAAACUCUUCUAUUCAAUAUUCUUCCAUAAGGCAUUUUGACUGUAAGAAGUUUGUCUUUUAUACAGGUAUUUUUAGGACUUUUUAUCCUAAAAAUGAAAAUUGACGAAGGACAUGAUGUUACAACAUUAAUGUCUCGUGGGAGAAUGUGUUAUGUGGAAAUGAGGACUAUCUUAUAGUUUGAGAUCAUAUUUUACUUCCUAUUACCAUGGAAAUUGAUCCUAAUAUAAUUUCAAUAUCCAUCAGAUUCGAUGCAAGUUAUGUGGUUUAUUUCUAAUUAUGAGGCUCUAUUAGGAUGCCUUGCUGUUUCCAUUCCAAAUUUUAAAAUGUAUAUUAAUCAAGUGCCAUCAUAGAAAUCUAAUCUUGGCGGCAAUUUCAAUGGUUAAUGUAUAUUUCAUAAAGAACUAUUAUGCAUGAUAUUUUGACUACCAAUCCAAGAUUCCUACUGCUCAGGAUUCUCAAUCCAAUCCGAAAAGUAAAUGCUACCUUAAAUAUCUUACUCAUCAAAUAAAAUUUUACAAUUACUAUUUUUGGGUAUAUUUAACGAAGUGGGCAUAGUAGAAACAAAAUUGAUAGGGUAGGAAACACUAAAUAUCAUUCUAGUACCUCAUUUAGCAAAAAUGAUUAGUUUACGCUCUAACCGAAUUGUGAUUAUAUCUUGUUCUAAUCCAAAUGAUUCAAUGAGAUUUUAAUAAUGCACAAAGCGAGAUCAGAUAACCCUCUAAUCUAAACUACUCUGCGAGAGAAAUUUUGAUAGCUAAUCCCAAUGAGAAUUAUAAAAGAGGGGUUUUAUUGAAUAAUUGAACCUAAACUUAUAAUAAUAAGACCUCUAUUUAUAAUAAAGUAAACAUACUUCCUUAAGUUAACUGAAAAGGGAAACUAAAUAACAAUUAUAAUGGAAUCAAAGACUAAGACACAUACCAUAAUUUACUCUAAUUAAAAUAUAAAAUCCUAUAAUAAUAAAAUUCUAUGAUCCCAAAAUAAUGUCCUACAUCAUUCUCCAUCUCUUAAAAGAAACUCGUCCUCGAGUUUGAAUAUAAUUUGGAGGGUGAAACUUGUAAUGCAAGACCAAAUCAUCUUGUAAUUCGAACUUCUAGUCUUUCUCAUCAAUCUUUCUCGAAAUUUUGAGGAAUCAAUAAUUCCUUGGCUUAUACAUUCUCGGAGAUGAUGAAGAAUUCUAAGAACGAACAACGAUAGAAUAACUCUUAUCCUUCCCUAAUCGUCGCUCAAUGUGCUCUUGAACGAAUUUCAAUUUUUCAAUCAAAUCUUCUUCAAGCACAACCUUCUUCUCUUCAAUGUGAAUAGGCGGGACCAUUUCAAUCAUUUCAGCUUCUUCAACUUGAUUUUGUUGCACUACCUCAAACUUAUUGUUAGACUCAAUGCGCAAAUCAAGAAUACUUUGUUUUUCUUUAAAAAUCUCAAAUAAAUCAAUAACCUCAUCAUUUGUAAUGCUUGUCUUGUCCUCCAAGGAACCUCAUGCAUAUUCUCACACAGAUUGUCAAAGCAACGUCCUACAUCAAUAUUGAAGAUUCAAUAAAGCAUUUGAUGAAAGUACUAGCUCACUAGAUAGAUACUUAGAAAGUGUGGUAUACUCCAUCUAACUCUUUUUGUUUGUCUUGGGAAGUUUAGCUAAUUUUAUGAUAGUGUACUCAUGAAUAACAAUUGAAGUUGAAAAAGAAAUGAUUGUUGGCCAAAUUCGGUUAAUGUGCAAAGCAAAUUUUAUCCAGCUAAUAAUUACAAUGCAAAGAUCUCAAAUUAUUGUUCUCUUCAGAAGAUUGUCGAUAUCCUUUGAAAUCAUUUUCUAGCUUCUUUUGGUUAACAAUGAAAAGUUGCUUAAAACAAAUGUGACCCUGAAAUGUCUCCUUGGUUAUUGUACAUUCUUGAGCUUUGACAGCAAUGUUUUAUUAUGUCUUGUAAUAAUGAAUAUAUUUAUUUAUUUUAGAUUAGUUCAAGGUUUUUUUUUUUUAAUUAUGGUUCUCAAUAUAUCUAAUAUUAUCAAAAUCGACAGCGGCUGGAAAAUUCAUGCUUGAGCAGGUUUUAAACCUUGUUGCUUAUGGUUGAAAAUAAUAAAAUCCGGAAAAGUUCUCAUGGCCCUUUUAUUAAUUGACAUACAUUGGGAUUUUACUCAGCAAGAUGUUAAAUUCAGCUUUUUUAGCAGUAUGCUUGUCAAGAAUUUUUUUUUUUCGUUCUCCAUAGAUUUUCCUUAUUGUAAACUUACCAUAAGUUGCUUUCUUUGUAUCAAAUAGAGUAACAUUGCAUUUUUAGAGUGAAAUGGCAAGCGCCUACUUUCGCUCUUUUUGAAUCUUUUUUUCCGAUAAAUCUUUCUAACACAAUGCUUAGAACAGCCACUGGUGAUUCUUUAGGGAAUUGGUGAGUCAUACCAUAUGGAUACUCAAUUAUAUUAAAAAAGGGUAGCAUUCAAAUUUUAUCUUCUCUUUACUCUAAUAUUUUGGCAUUUUUAUAUUGAUAUUUCAAAUUGUAGAACACAGAAUCGAGGGAAUGAUAAAUUUCUAAGGCUGACAACAAGAUGAAAUGGUUCAAUAUUUUCAUUUUGUUGUAUUUAUCUUGUGGCUUUUCUUGCAAGCUACUGAUUUUGGGUUGACUUUCGAAUCUUUGGCGGAUUCCACGUCUGUAAUUUUCUUUCUCCAGUUGAUGGAUUUUGCUAAAGGCAAGAUUGUUUUGGCAUUGGAAGGAGGCUACAAUCUUGGCUUUACGUCAAAUUCAGUGCUUGAAUGCAUGGAAGUUUUGCUGGAAAGCAAGCAGGUCACUAGAUCUUCAAAGGCCUAUCCUUUUGAGUUAGUUAUCCUACAAAAGGUAACAUUAUUAUCUUCUAUGUCUUAUGCGCUUGCUGAAUUAGUUAUUUCCUCUCCCUGCCACCUCUCUUCUUUAUAAGUGGCGGCUUAUUAUAUUGUUUUUAACCUUUCUUCUAGGUUCGUCAUGAAUUAAGUGCUUUCUGGUCGAUUCUAGUAGAUGAAAUUAUCAACAACAUUAACUAACCAUGAUGAGUUCUUCUUUCUCUGGGGUUACUCGGAUGAUACACUUUUUCCUGAAAAAAUGCCUGAAGAUUUCCCCUUUCGAUCAUCUUUCUUGGAGGAGAAAAUUUAAGACAAGGGAAAGUGAUUUCUUUGAUUUUGACACUGCUGAUUGUGUCAUUGACAAAGCUACUUUUCAUUCAAGGAAAUAUUUGAGGAUGAAUUUCUGAAUGGUCCUGCUGAUAAAAAUGACACUCAGACGGUUUCGGUUAGUGACUCAAUCAAAGACAAGCUAAGAAUGUUGCACUUAACAAUCCUGCCUUUGUUGCUCCGGGUAAUCUUCGCCAAGAGCAACCAUCUGAAGCUUAACACUAUCGUAGUUUUAGUCCCACUUCCAAGACUGCUUAAGAUCGCCCUUAUGAGGUCCAAUGCAUUUAUAAUCCAUCUAUCGCUCCUGAAGCCGUGCCAUUUGUACCCUAAUUAUCCCUGGAGCCAACAAUUGAUUAAGGCCGGUCACUUCUUUAGGGUUUGUAUUUCCUGAAAACAUCCCAACUCCAGGGCAAUCUUCCCAUCGUAGACAUGCAGGCUACUGCCCUACUGAUAGUCCUGAAAGAGUGAACAGGAAUAACUUGUGAAGUGCUGUUUAGGAGACAGAGUAAUGGAGCUCCGAUGCUGAUUGGAGAUGUGCUGCGUGAUGAUCCUCAAGCUUGCCUUACUUUAUUAUUUGGUCUCCAGACAAAGGGAGAUUUGGACUAAUUUGGUAUUGGUAGCAAUAAAAGGCUUUUGGAAUCUGUUACAUACGGAUUAGUUAAGGUAAUAACUCCAUUCCAUUUUAAAAUGUCAGUAUCUGUGUGCGGUGUUUAACUCCUAUUCUAAUUUGUAGGGACAUUGGAUAUGGUGCAUCCAUUUCAACCCUUAUAAAUUAGGGUAUAUUCAUAAUUUUAUUAAUAAAUUAUGGGCAAAAUGGCAAGUUAAUAUAUUGACUGGUAUGUUUUAGGGAGAUAAUGGUAAUUAUAAGUUGAAAAUAAAUUUUUUAUUAAAAUUAAUAGAAUUUAUUAAUAAUUUGGGGUUUAAGUGUCUUUUUCAAAAUGUUAGGGACUUUCAUAUCCAUUUCCGUAAACAUUUGGUGUGCGUUAGUCCUUUCCCUAUAAAACCAAAACUAUUAUUAUUCAAUUUAAAUAUAAAAUCAGUAAAUAUAUAAGGUAAUCAAUAUUAUAACUUAAUUGAUGUGAAAAUUCGUUUAAUAUUAUCAAGUGAAUUAUUAAUAAUGAUUAAAACUCAUAAUCCUACUCAAGUACACAUUGGCACGAAAUUUUGUACCAACAUUUGCACUCGAGCAUGACUGAUUAACUAUAUUUUUUUAAGUUAUAUUAAUUAUUGGUUAAUAGACACUGAUCUGCAUGGACCCUCAUGGAUAAGACUCUCGUCAAUGCGCUCUAUAGUUGCACGAAAAAUCCAUGCAGAGUUUACAAAACCAAUAGUCAUCAAUUUUAAACGUCACAAUCAUCACCAAAGGAACAUAAAGUUCAACGCAAGAUAAGAACAUCUUGGGAAGUAUAUUAAUUUUAUUAUACGAAAAAGGUCUCGCAUUUGCAUGCAUAAAAGCUGAAGAAUACAAAAGACACAUCAGAGAUUCGAUUGACACACACAGCAACAAUCCACAAGCAUGAAAAUGACAAGAACUUUUCUGUUUCUACUUUCUACAUGUGGCUGUUUAUUCUUCAUUAAAAAAAAGAUAAAAAAGAAUCAAACGCGGCAACUCGAUCGACCGCUAUCUUGCUCUGAGUAAGCUUUUCAUCAAACCCUUUCUUUAUUCGGAUACCAUUCGCCUCUCCUACAAGAACAAAUUAAUCAGUUUCUUUUAUUUGUCACUCAAUCACUAGGAACACAAUUAAACAGAACACGGUGCUUAAAAUUGAAAUGCUUAAUAUAAUUCUGAACUACUAGUCUUUACAUGUACAGUUUUAAAAAUAGAUGAGAUUACCAAAAAGCAUGAGCUAUUCAUGGCCGCUUUCUAGUAGUAGUAAGGAGGAGGGGGAGAUGCAGAGACGUAAGGGUGAGGCGGUGGUGGUGUGAACUUGGGGAUGGGGACAGGAGGUGGCGGAGAAGGGAAAAUUGGAGUUGGUGGCGGAGCAGGCUCGCAGGCUGGUGGAGAAGGUGGCGGGGACUUGUAAUUUGGGGUGGUGGUGGAGACUUGUGAACCGGUGGUGGAGGUGGUGGAAAUUUGUGUUAUAUUGAUUUUCGGAUAUGGAGGCAAAGAACAAAGAAAUUUCUUAAGAUUUGAGACGUCUUUGCACACUUUCCUUUAAGGUUUUAUUUACCCUCACCAAUCUUAGUUUGCUAUAGAAUUUUAAUGGUAAAUUACCUCCAAGAUAUAACAAAUCCUGAAUACAAUCUCUAGCAAAUAAGAUUGUAUUCUAGAACACAAAGAAAUCUGUAAUUAAUCUGAUCUAUUUGAUCUAAUGUAUGUGUCUAUUUUAAUGAAGAACAUGUUUAUAUGAAAGAUUACAACCAUUAGAAAUGGUACUUCUUUAAAGACACUCUUUUUGGUUUGAAAUUUGCAUCCAUUCACAAUUAAAUUUUCAAGCCUGCCAACCGUUUUUCCAGUUGACGUGAAAACGCGCUCCCUAGAAGAAAACGGUUAGCCGGUUUCUCAAUAACGGCGAGCCGUUUUAUUCUAGAAUGUCAAAUAAGUUACUCUCUGGAAAUAACCGAUGAGCCGUUUUCUCCAAACGGUUAGCCAUUUUCUGUAGAACAUAAAAUAUGCAUUCUGGAAAUAAACGGUUAGCCGUUUUCUUCAAAUGGUUAGCAUUUUUUUUGUAAAACAGAAAACAUGCUCUCUAGAAUUAAAUGGUUAGCCAUUUUCUCCGGAAACGGCAAGCCGUUUUCUUCUAGAAUGUCAAACCAAAAAUUGAAAAAAUGUUACAAUCUCUUUUACAAUUUGUACUGGGGAGGGGGAGGUGGUGGUGGUGGAUAUUUCUUUGGUGGGGGAGGAGAUGUGUAAUAGUAAUUGGUUGCGGAGGCUUCUAAUGGCAAGUAGCUGAGAGAGACUGAUAUUACGAAAAGAGUAGCAAGGAGAUAGCCCAUUUGAGACCCCAUCGUUCAAUACAAAGUGGAGUUUCGCUUGUGCUAUAAACCGAGCUCCUUCGCGUCCUUAUAUAGACUUGGCAUUUUACCUUCUCUACCAAACUUGUCAUUUAUAACCUUGAUGUUAAAUAUCUGUAACUAAAUGAUUCUGGUUAUGUAUGAAAACUGUGUCGUCAAGUUGGCACAAAUUUGACUAAAUAUAAAAUUUUAUUAUUUUGUUUAGUGCCCAGCUGUUGCCCAAGCAGGGAAUAAAGUAAUUAACAGUUACUGAGUUACGAUCCUGUUAAUGAUAUGGCAUCUUUUUUAUCAAUGUAAUAAUUUGAACAGGAAGUCUUUUGUAAUUAAUUUCAAUAUCAUUAUUCUUCAUAAAAAGCUUGAAAACAUGUCAUUACCUAACCUAUCAUGAGUGCUUUGGCCUUGCGUCCAGGCGGCGAGACUUAUUUGCAAUAAUAAUAGUAAUAUGAAUGUUUUUUCUUUUGCUCAAAAAUUAUUUCUUCAAGAUUAUGAAGCUGCAUUGAUUAGAUCUAUGACUAACAGUAAGGGUGGGCACUAUUUAGUUUGGUUCGGUUCAGGUUCAGAAUUGAAUCAAGUUAAAACUAAAUGGUUCAUGAAUUUAUGAAAUAAAUGUGAACCAAACUAUAGAACUGAACCAAAUAGAUUCAAUUUAGUUCAGUUCUAUAAUCUGGUUUAGUAUGAUUUGGUUUUAUCUUGUAUAUUCAUUAUUUAAUUAAAAAAAGAUAUAAUAGUAAUACACUACGAAUACAAUAAUAAUUCAAAAAUUCACAAACAAUAAACAACAUAAUAAAAUUAACAAUAAGAAAUUAACAUAAUAAUUAAAGUCCAAAAAUAAUCUAGAAAUUCACUACAUAUUACAAAAUAAACUUCAAACUUCUAGUACCGACAAUCACUCUCCCAAACUUUUUCAUCCUUUAACUUCCGCAUCCACAAUGCAUAUAUUAUUUCUCAAAUUCAAAGUAAGAUAUUAGCCAAGCACCAACAAUUAAUAAAAGAAUAAAAUAAAGUGUAUGCUAUGACCUAGAUAAUCACAUUUAUUAACUAGCAGAUAAAAGUAAAAAAGGAUAAAUUAUGAACUUUUUUAAUUUUUAUUUUUAUUUUUAUUUUCUUAAAUCAUUUAGUUUAGUAAUUUGGUUUGGUCUUGAACUGAACCAAAUAAAAAACCAAAUGGUUCAAACAUUCUAAAUCAUUUAGUUUUUAUGCUUUGAACCAAAUUGAAUUGAACCGCCGCCAUAAUAUAGUUCGGUUCGACUUGGUUUAGACUAAACCAAGCCAAAGGCACACCCUAACUGAGAGCAAUAUGUUCUUACUACAUUUGUCCGAAGAGUUAACUAUUUUGCCCAACCCAAAUAUAUGAACAGACAAUAAUUGGUCUUAGGGGGGUGAGAACUGGGAAAUUCGACUCGUCCCAAUAAUAAUAAUAUAAUGCAAAUCAAUAAUAUGAAUUAUUUUGCAUUUAACUAAUUUUAAACACUUAACAAUUAAAAUCUCUCUCAAAUAAUUAUAUAUAAAUCCUAUUUAUAUGAAGUAAAUACCAAGACGAUGCUAUGCUUUUCAAGUUUAGGUGUUAACUAAAAGAAAAAGUUAGCAUGACUCAAUAACAAUAAUAAUAAUAAUAGUAAUUUCCAUAUUUUUUAAAAAAUAAUCUCAAGUUAAAUUAACUACUCUCGUCCCUCCAAAGAAAAAGUAAUAAUAUUGAUAAUAAAAAUAAUAAUAAACCAAAAACACAAUUCAAAUCUUUUUAAAUUCUUUUGAAUGCUUCAAACUGCCACAUAGAGAGAGAUAAAGAGAAUUAAAAACUAUUAAGUGCAAGGUCGGCUCUAAAGUAUUGGGGGCCUAAAGAGAAAAAGAAACUAUAAUAAUUUUCUUUACAAAGAAGAGCACAAGAAAUUUUAUUAAGUCAAAUAAUUAAGCAUUUUUUUAAAUAGAUAAAGAAUUUAAUCUUUUUUCUUGGAAGAAUCAAUAAUAGAUUAACGGUUAGAUAAUAUUAUUAAUUAUACGUCUUUAACAUUAAGUUAU